CGGCUGCGGCUGCACCCAGUGCAAGUGCGGCACCAGCUGCGGCUGCUCCUGCUGCAGUUGCUAGAUCCAUCAUCGGUCAUGCAUGCACCGCGUGCAUCAUAUCUUUGAUCGAUCCAUCCAUCUACUUACCAUGUAACGCUACCUGAUCGAGGGUCUUUGUAUGUAUGUACGCACCUGCCUGCAUGAGCAGAGCAGGUGCCAUGCCAUGCAUGUAAACCCCUAAAUAAAAUCUCCCGUGGUUUAACCUAUAUAAAUGCGUUUGUGUUAUAGACCAGCUUCUGGCCCACGUUUACUAUCAACUUGCAAGGUGCCUGGGUUGUUAAUAGACCAGCUGAAUGAGCUUCAGGUGCUACAUUCGUGAAAAGGACUCGUGGUUUAUAACGCAUAUUGUAGCCUACUAGCCACAUAUCAGCUGCGCUCAAUAUGCAGGAUUUCCAUUGGAUCAGAUCUUUCGCUUUGACGAAUUUGGACCUAGCGAAAAGGAUUCUUAAGCCUUCGCGCAAACAAGCAAAGUAGAAGCAAGACGAGGAAGUGGAGCUGUCGUAGAAGCAGUAGCUUCCCCCGACAAUAUACAAUACAACAGUAGCGACCAUGAAUAAAAAAGCCCCUUGUUUAACGAGUUCGCUGCUUUUCCCAGGCCGGAGAAGGGCAACUACUUAUUGAUUGAUCGCCUUUCUUUGAUAUGUGUUCAAUUUAGUAUAAUACAAACUACAACUAGAUCAAUGCGGAAGGGCCACUCACUAUAGAAGCUAUAACUAGAAAAGCCCUAGCCAAUAGUUUAGUAGUCGGCCAAACCCCCAUGCUCACGACAUGUUCUUGAUAUUGAUUGAGUUGGAGAGAGUCAGAGACUACCACGGAAUCCUUCCAUAGUCACCCCGGUGACCUUCGUCACCAAAGCGUCACAACAGUUUCCAAGACCCCUCAUAUAAUCUCCAGUGGGGAUCAGUCGGAGCACAUAAGAAUGCCGACCACUACAUAAGCCGCUGGCGGAGAAAGCUCGAAGAGCUUCCCUUCAUUCGCUUCGCGGGAGUCGCACACAGCACAUAGCUGGAAGUCAGAGGGCCCGUACUACCUGCCUAACCCUUCGCUCUGAGGGACCGUAGAACGGAAAGCGCCUUCUAAACAACUCGGCAGAAGGGAAGGGGCCUAUGUAUUUGCAUGACCCCUGCGGAUUUGACCCUACCUACACCCGGAGCCAACCCCCUAGCGGUCCUGCCACCACGCCGCAGAACAGGAGCUCGUGUGGAACCUUGGAUUUCUGGCAUAACAGUGAUGGAAGGUAUCAAAAUAUUACGGCUGCAUAACCAUAACAUAGUAUAUACGCUAAGGUCGGCCAAAAUAUGGACACCCGAAGGGCCCGGCGCGCACAAUCCUAUCCUAUCCGAGCCCGUCAUUGCAUGCACUUCGGACAGCCGUCCGUAGCAUCAUAAGGAGCACCUCCCUUUCGAGGUACCCAAAUGGAACGGUCUUUAUUUGUGUUGUUGGUUGAUCUUUCUCAACGUGGUCUAUAGCACGAAUAACCAUUCUUUACAAGAUAGGGCCGUUCACAUGAAAGAAAAUACAAAAUCCAUUCUUCAUGGUCAGACGCAUUUCUCCAAAUCCUCCAGGAUCACAAGUGGAACGCUAAGCAAGGGUGGGGAGGCUGCGAGCUCUGCGUCGAACAGAAAGAACCAAGCAGGGGGUGUUGCCGUAGCGCGACGGAGAGCAAGCGUAGGCAACCAAACUAAAUAAGGCUACAAAAGUAGCUAGCUAGCGUUUUUAAGCUAGCUGCCUUUUCUAGCGCGCGUACUCUUCUGUGGAGUCGCAAGGAACGAGCCUUGUCUUCCCUCCAACGACUAGCUCCCUUUUCUUAUUUCGGUCACCCUUCUCUUGUCGUGGAAGGACUUUUGCUUGUGGUGUGGUCCAACCCGUGGACGGAGUCGUCCUCAUCCCCCCAUUGCUCAGUGCUCCCUGCAGCUUCGCUGGGCUUUACCCGCGUGGGCGCGGGCUUCUAUAAGAGAAUGAAAAGCUCUCUUUUUACAAUAAAAUGCGAACCACACGGAGCCCACCCUUUUUCGUUUUUUGCCGCCACUGGGUGGCCACAGGGGAAACACAUCCCGGCCGCCUCUCGGGAAAGGGGGGUGGGCCUACCUAUCCCGAGGGAGCAGCUGAGAGGUUCAAUAUGCCGAGCCGAAGGGCAGAACUUCAAUGUGUGAUCAUAGUAUGUCACCUCGUCUCGUCCUCGCAGCAUCGAAGAGUACCUAUGCACUAUGUUCGGUUCACUGAUAAGGAAGAUAGAGUUGGGGUGGGGGUCUACGAUGUGAUUCUAUAGUAUGCCCCGGGGAGAAAGAUGCACAACUCAAAACGGAAGCAGGAAGCGUGUUGUCAAAAAUGUUGGAGGUUACCGGAUCUCCGAGACUACUAUCGAUCCGACAGAGCGGAACGACCAGAAAAAGAAGUGGAGUUAGAAAGCCGUAUGAUAGGUGGUAACUAUCUUGUACGGUUCGGGGGGUAAGCGGCGUACUCUGGGGGAAUAUUAGGCUCUAUCGACCAUACAGGGAAUUGGAGGUAGCAUUUUACUUAUGUUAAGUCAUGGACUGGUUUCUUCAGCCCUUUUUCUAUGUGUUGGUGUUCUAUAUGACCGACAUAAACUCGACUUGUGAGAUAUUAUGGAGGUUUAGUGAGCACCAUGCGGAAUUUCUCUACCAUUUUCUUAUUUUUCACUUUAGCCAAUAUGAGUUUACCUGGCACUAGCAGCUUUAUCGGGGAAUUUCUAAUCUUAGUAGGAGCUUUCCAAAGAAAUGGCUUAGUAGCCACAUUAGCUGCGCUUGGGAUGAUUUUAGGCGCAACAUAUUCCCUUUGGCUAUAUAAUCGUGUGGUUUCUAGAAAUUUAAAACCCGAUUUCCUCUAUAAAUUCUCCGAUCUAAUUGGUAGAGAAGUUUCCAUAUUUCUACCUUUUCUUGUUGGAGGGGCGACCGUCCGUUGAACUACCAAAAAAUGGUAAACCAAUGUGAUCAUGACAUUGUAGGUGCUUGCGAUGGGACGGAUGUGACUUCCCUCAUAAGUAAUGGGUGGCAUAGCUCGUAGCAGAAGUCCCCUUUUUUAUCCAUUUCUUUAUUACCCCAGAGGGGCCAAGCCUUGCGGGACCGAGAGAAAGAAAGGACGGGGGGCGACCAUGCAUGGCACUUCUCGACCGUGUCUCCGAGGAACAGUUGAACGAGCGACUCAUGAAUGCUACCGGGUCGGACGAGCCAAUAACUCGAACGUGUUCGGUCAUUUUUUUGAGAAAGAAUCACAGUGUUACCUUACCUUCACCAUGAUACGGACUCCAAGUUCUUAUGGCAGAGCACGAGGAGUUUCCUUCAAUAUGAUGAUGAGAGUGGAAACCAGAAGCACGACUGGGUCUUCGUAGUCCGAGAUCAUACUUAUAUAUCAGUCACAGUAAUGUAAGCAUGAGAAUUUUUGGUAGUACCGGUGAACCAGAUGGCCACAGCGAGGGAAUCUGGGACGGAGGACUCGUAAUAUCUCUAUAGAUCUGGCAAAAGCGAAAGACCCUAACAUCAGGGGCUGACCAAUGAGCUCACUCAGGCCCCGCUGGGCGGUCCAGAGUGGGUGCGAGCUGGAAUUGCCAUAGCUUAUGGUUAGAGCAAUAGGAAAGGGCCCGGCAGAGAGAACAGUCAGGAUAACGAGCGUGGAGCCCACUUGGCAGGCGGCAGGAGCAGCGGGCAAGUGCUUGCUUGGUAGGCCAACAGCCCUGUGAACCGGGCGGGGCACUCGACGAAAGGGGGGCAUGCUGAGCAAGUACGCAAAAUUGGCCCUGUGGAGCUUUCAAAAAGAAAAGCAAGGACCACUACGGGAGGUCGAACCACGGACCGGAGGUAGUAGAACGUAAUCCGCACCGGUCAAUAUUGGAUCAAACAAUAGGGGACCGUAGCACUGACCUUUUUUUCAAGACAAUAGGUAUUGUUCCCUACCAACACAAGGGACACUCUCGACGGAUCCUCCACGCGCUGGGCAUACCAUAGUUCUUCCGUUCGUCUUUAUCAUGGCGGAAACAGAACAAGAGGGAAAGACCCGGCCGACUCACCAAGGGCUCGAGGGCGAGCCAUACGAGAGUGAGUCGAAUUCUGUUUACGUACUCGGUUUGGGUUCGGUCCCCUCUCGAUCUUUUGUGUAUAAGGGAAGGGGGAAGGAGUCUAAAUCUAUGGACAUUAAUGAACCACCAUUGAUGGACGUUGCACAUGACACAAGAAAUUUGACUCGACGAUCCGGUGCUAAUAGAAGUCGCUUACUCUCCGCCUAGCGAAGGUGCCAGAUCCUUAAAGUAAAGUAUCUAUCAGCCUAGUGUACCAACCACGUGGUAUGACGGGCACUCAAAGACCUGACGAAUGAGGGGCCACCCCACCUAAGAGCGCUUAUGUCAUAUGGGAACUCUCGGCUGGAAACAAUCCUUAUGGUUUUUAUAUCCGGUUAGAAUAAUAAGAAAGAAUCAAAGUCCAUGUUGGUUGGUGAGCCUAGUGAUAGGACACUAUCUAGCUUGGUUCGGAGAGCACUUGUUGGGUUUCAGAUUCGUUUUUUGCUAAAUGUUACGGCCCAAAUGCUGAACUAUUGACCCUACUUGUUCGGAUGGGUGUUCACCCCAAAGUGUUCCCGGACUGCAUGCAUACAUCCUUAAGUAACUUAGUGCAACAUGGCAAAUUUCAUUGAGAAGAAUCAGCAAACAAAAUAAAUCUUCUCCGGGUGACAGGGCCGCUUCGUUAAUAGAUCAUGCAUAUUGUCGAGUUUUGUGUUUUAUAGCGCAAGAUUUUGUUUUUACAAAAGGUGGAUCCCAACAAGACACGAUGGUAUGCGUAUCUUGUAGUCUAUCUGUCUUCUUGAGAAAAUACAUUAAUGUCUCAUGGUGUAGUAGGUUAUCACGUCAGUCUAACACACUACAUGGCGAAGCCAAAUUGUUAUUGUUUUUUUUCCUGCAAAACUACAAAAUGCACCAAUAAAUCUUUGUCAUUUGCUAGUUUCCCAUUCUCGCGACUCUUAAUAUGAAGCCCAUGAAGACAUUAAAGAUAGCGGUGGACAGCUAAGGGCCUAAGGCCCAAGGGCGACUUAGUGCCCGUAGGUAUAAACCGCCAUAUAUGUAAAACGUGUAUUGUAAGGCAUGUAAAGAUAGUCACUGAGUCGGACACGUUGUCUAUGAGCCAUCCGGGACUCUAUGAUCCGCUGGGCGUCGACCUGUCUAUAUAAAGGGACGACCCGGCGGCGGUUCAGGACAAGAAACAAGAGAUCGAAAGCUAGGUCAAGCAGAUUUGCUCCCUGAUAAUCGAGACAUAAGCAAUGCCACCCAAAAACUGGAUUGUAGGCUUUUACCUUCACCAUAAGGGGCCGAACCAGUAUAAACCCUGUGUCCUUUGUCCCAUUUAACCCCUUUAAGCUAACCUAGAGGCGAUGGCUCCACGACUAAGUCCUUUCACGAGGACAUUUGUCGUGACUAUUCCACGACAGCUCUCCUCCCGAUGAGCACGUGCAGGGGUCUGAUUGCAUGCCUCCCGUAAUCAAAUAGCUACCCCACAUGGCACCUCCUAGCCAAUAAAAAAAGGGACGCGUGGUGGCACGUCAUUGGUAAGUAGAACGCCCACGGUUUCAAUAAUAGUUGUGUUUCCGAUUUGUAACGUGACAACACUUGUUCCAAAAUGACUUUGUUGAUUUUUAAUGUGUGCGUCUUCGCAAAUCGGACAGAAAAAUUACCACAGCAUGUUGGUGCCAUGUCAUGACACCAUGCCAAGUUUCAUGAUUUUCAGGCAUGUUUUGGACACCAUGCCAAGUUUCAUGAUUUUCAGACGUGAUUUUCAUGCAUGUUUUGGACACCAUGCCAAGUUUCAUGAUUUACCGCAGAAUGUUGGUGUCAUCAUGACACCAUGCCAAGUUCCAUUAGUGCCGGUUCCAACGGCUAGCCGGGAGGAGCUCUUUAGUACCGGUUCGUGGCAAACCUUUAGCACCGGUUCGUGCCACGAACCGGUACUAAUGAGAGUGGUGGCAGGAUCAUGUCAGAGUGGGGCCCUUCCAGCACCUUUAGUAUCGGUUCGUGGCACGAACCGGUACUAAAGGUCGUCCUAUAUAAACCCUUCGUCCACCCGCACUCUGUUCUUCCCCCUUUCCCCUCUCCCUCUCCUCUAUUCUUCCCUUCUUCCUCUCGAGUUCAUCACAAAAUUUGCCCCAAAUUUGUCAAGAUUUGCAGGCCCUCAUCCAUUCAAAUGAUCACCAAGGUUAGCAACUUUGUCCUUUCAUCUCUCAUUGCUAGAUUAGCUCUUGCAUUGGUUUAUAUAGUGAUUAAUUGUGGGUUUUAGUAAUUUGGGAGGAAUAAUAUGUGGUAGUAUUUGAUUUAUAUGCAAUUUGAGUUCAAAAUAACACUUAGUUUGCAUAUGUAGGUGUGGUUUACUUAGUGCCUUCUAAAUCUCCGUCGUAACCACCGUCGAUCGCCCACACCAUCCCGUCGCCGGCACCACCUUGUGGUGAGCCUCUUGUUCAUGAAAUUUUAUAUAAAAAAUUGAUGUUUGUGUGAUUUGGAUAUAUAGUUACUCGUAUAAUAAUUAUCUUGCAUGUACGUUGUCUGUUAUACAUAGUGCCAUGGUUUUGAUAUCCGUCCCCGUCGGCCCUCGUCCUUGUUAUGAUUCGGAUGUGUUAUAUUCUCUUUUAAAACUAUUUGUUGCAUUUCGUGUUUAUGACAAAUUAUGCCCAUCAAGUUGACAUAGAUAUUUUUAUCUAGGAGGUAUGUGAACCGGAAAUUCCAACCGACCCUAUUGUCUAGAGGUUAAAUUUAGUUGGAAGAGAAAACGAGUACUUGAAAGAAAAUUUGAAAAGAAUUGAGGGAGAGAAGAUGGAAUUAGAGUUGCAUGUUGCCGAUGUCGUCGAUGAUCACAAGAUCAAGAUGGAGAAAAUGCGCUUGAAGAUUAGAAAGAUUAGAAAAUAUGCCAUCGAUAGUGAGGCUUGGUAUCAUUAUGCUGUUGGAUCAAUUGUUACCUUAGUUGCGAUCUUGAUCGCAUUUGUUGUUGCAUUUAAAUGCUUUAGCUGGAGAGUUAUUUGUUUGUUGCAUUUAAGUGUUGUAUGAACUUGUAUUAAUUUGGUCUAUUCGGUGUUGUGUAAUGAAGAUGAGCCGGCAAUGGAUGUACGAUGACCGAUGCUCUCCCCAGUUCAUUGAGGGCGUGCAUACUUUUCUGCUUGUGGCUGAGGCAAACAAGCGGGCGGAUGGUUUUAUGCCUUGUCCAUGUGCUGGCUGUAAGAAUGGUCGCAAUUACUCUACGUCAAGAACCAUUCACGUCCACCUGUUUGAGUCCGGUUUCAUGCCCCACUAUAAUGUUUGGACCAAGCAUGGAGAAAGAGGGGUCAUGAUGGAAGACAAUGAAGAAGAAGAGGACGACGACAGCUAUCCUGGCCAUGGGUUCCCUGAAUACGAUGAUACAACAAUGGGGGAAGAAGCUGAGCCGGUAAUGCGGGAAGAAGCUGAGCCGGCAAUGCGGGAAGAAGCUGAAGAAGAGGCAUCAGAUGAGCCCGUUGAUGAUCUAGGUCGGGCCAUUGCCGAUGCAAAGAGAAACUGCGCAAGUGAUUUGGAGAAGAAGAAGUUGCAGCGCAUGUUAGAGGAUCACAAAAAAUUGUUGUACCCGAAUUGCGUAGGUGACAAGAAAAAGCUGGGCACCACACUGGAAUUGCUGCAAUGGAAGGCAGAGAAUGGUGUAUCUGACAAGGGAUUUGGAAAGUUGCUGGUAAUGAUAAAGGAUAUGCUUCCAAAGGACAACGAAUUGUCCGAGAGUACAUACGAAGCAAAGAAGGCUGCCUGCCCUCUAGGGUUAGAGGUGCAGAAGAUACAUGCAUGCCCUAAUGAUUGCAUCCUCUACCACGGUGAGCACGAGGAUUUGAACGCUUGCCCGGUAUGUGGUGCAUUGCGCUAUAAGAUCAGCCGCGAUGAGCAUGGUGAUGUCGAGGGCGAGCGCCCCAGGAAGAAGAUUCCUGCCAAGGUGAUGUGGUAUUCUCCUAUAAUACCAUGGUUGAAACGUUUGUUCCAAAACAAAGAGCAUGCCAAGGCGAUGCGAUGGCACAGAGAAGACCGUAAGAAAGACGGAAAGUUGAGAGUACCCGCUGACGGGUCGCAGUGGAGAAAAAUCGAAAGAAAGUACGGGAAGGAGUUUGCAGAUGACGCAAGGAGCGUAUGUUUGGUCUAAGCGCAGAUGGCAUUAAUCCUUUUGGGGAGCAGAGCAGCAACCAUAGCACCUGGCCUGUGACUCUAUGUUUGUAUAACCUUCCUCCUUGGUUGUGCAUGAAGAGGAAGUUCAUCAUGAUGCCAGUGCUCAUCCAAGGCCCUAAGCAACCCGGCAACGACAUUGAUGUGUACCUAAGGCCAUUAGCUGAGGCAAACAAGCGGGCGGAUAGCACCAACCCAUCCAUGCCGAGAAGAAGCGUGGGUUCGGCCGCCCCGGACGAUGCAAUGCUGGGUAGAUACCCCGUGGAUGACAUCACGGAGAACACUAACUGCGAGCUACACGUCAAAAUAACGAACAUAUCCAUCAAGGUGGCGGACGCCGUUGCUUUUACAAAUCCCCCCGAGGCAACCUUCCAUUGCAACCCGAUUCCAGCGGGCUAUGCUCGUGUCUUGGUUGAUGAGGUGGUGGACCCACCAUAUUCGGAGCUACAGCUUGACAUUCCUGGAGGUGACGACGAGCACUUUCUCGGAGAGGCCAAACAUCGUAUCAUCCUAUGGAAAAAGGAUUGUAUCAUCUUUCGAAGGCCACCGACACCGCGUCAGCUGACUCCUCGUCGAAGUCCGCCACCGAGUCAGCAGUCUCCCGCUCCUGCAAGUCCACCAAGUCCGGCAAAGUGUCAGGCCACUCCUCCUCCAAGUCAGGCAAAGUGUCAGGCCACUCCUCCUCCUCCAAGUCCGCCACAGCGUCAGACGUCCACUCCUCCUCCAAGUCCGGCACAACCUCAGGCCACUCCUCCUCCAAGUCCGGCACAGCUUCAGGCGGCCACUCCUCGUCCAACUCAGUUCCGUCAGCCGUCUCCGCCGCCUCAGCAAUCGCAGAAGAGAUACCCCGCAGCUAUGGUGCGUAGCGGUACGAGUCGAGGUAGUACAGGAAGUACAGGGGGAGGCAAGCGAUAUAAAUAUGGUCCAAGCCUCACACCUCUUCAGCAGAGGGCUUAUGACAGGUCCGAGGAGGAAAUCUCAGCCAUAUCGAAGGCCGAGGUGGAAGUCCAUUUUGCACCGAAACCGCCACCGCCGCCAAGGGAGAAAGUGCCUGAGGAAACGAUUGACCACUUCAUUCGUAUGGCUCAACCACCAGCUCCCAAGCCUGUUGACACAGACUAUGAGCGCCACAUCAGGAAGUUAAAUCGAGCACGUCUACGUCAGGAGGCGAGCUCGGGAUCGAGCAAACAAGAAGCAGCUGUCAAAAAAUGCGGGAAAACCAUUCCCCAGCUGGGAGAACAGGCGGCGCAAUCGAUCCCCUCACUUGUUGUGCCAACAACACAUGACAGUAUGCGCGCCCAAUAUUAUCGUGGGCAAACAGUUUACGUUCCUGAGGUGGGCAAUGUGGUAAUAACGGAGGAGCAUAUAAUGCAGGCUGAAGUUCUCAAAAUCACUGUUGGACAACUCCUCGAGAUCGAGCCCAUGCCUGUGCUUAGAGAGGAUGAAAUAAAACGGAAAUAUGUCCGGGGCCAACCUUUGGUCGAGCCAGACAAGGUCAAGAACCUCCCAACGAGAAUGUAUGAAUUGCAUCAAUGGUACAUGAACAUUACCAAGAUUUCAGAUCGAUUGUCCCUCAUGGUGAAUGUCAAGGAGGAUCAUUACUUUCAUGAGAAAGCUUUGUCCGUUGAGUAUUCUAAACUGUUUCGGUUAUACAAUCAAGACGCACUCGACAAAUCUAUCGUCAGUUGCUAUUGUCUGUAAGUGAUUUCUUUCUGUAAUUUUACGUCUCAAGCUAGCUGUAGUGAUCCUUUUGAUCAAUCAUUACCUGUAAUUAUCCUUACUAUAUUCUUUUCUGUGGUAUUAUGCAGGAUGAAGAUGUAUGAAAUGAGAAAAGGUGGACGCUAUGGCAUUGGGUUCAUUGACCCAAACACCGUUAAUGAAUACACAUGGCGGAUAAAUCCACAUCAUCAAAAGGACGUAGAGGACAACAUGCUAGAGUUCUUAAAGCGCCUCAAAUACAAUAAAAAUAUACUACUUCCUUACAACUUCCAGUGAGUCACACUGUCUUGUACUACAAAUUCGCUGUUUUUGCCUACUAGCUAGCUACAUGUUUUUGCUUACAUAUGCCCGCUUAAUUAAAACAUGCAAACGUGUGUGCAUGCAGAUUUCACCGGGUCUUGUGCAUCAUUAAAGUUGACGCCGGAACAGUUGAAAUACUGGACUCACUACUCAAAGUUAAAACUGACUAUAACAUCUUGUUUGGGAUAGUCAACAGGUAAUUUCAAUCAUUAUUAACUAUAUAUCUCGGCCUAUUUAGUUCGUCAUUUCAUGAUAUGAACUAUUUAAUAACCCCUUUAUUCAUUUUCUUUGUCGGCGGGCAGGGCUUGGGCAAGGUUCAUCAGCAUCACGGAUGGCGAAUGGAAAAAAAAGCUUCAAUGGUUUCGACCCAAGGUAAGUAAUUAAGUAGUACUAGCUAGCUGGCUAGCUGCCAUCUCUUUAAUUAUCAUGCUUGGUUAAUUAUUAUCUGAUCAAAUUCCAUUCUCGUAAAGACCCUGAAGCAGGCGCAGGGGACUGAUCUAUGUGCAUUCUGCGUUUGCGAGAACAUUCGCAUGAUGGCGUCCGAAAGGAGCAGAUCUCAAAGACAGGAAUGGGUACGCUUGUCAGAACACUAUUCACAAUUUUUACACUAUUAUCGAUAUCUAGUCACACAACUAAUACACAUGCAUAUUGAUCUCCUUCUUAACCGUUCAGAGAGGUGCGGGAGAAGCUCCUAGAAACGGAGCGCAUAGAAGCACUUCAAGAGGAAAUAGCGGGAUUUUUGCUCGACCAGGUCAUAAAUCCGAAGGGAGAAUACUAUUACCCGCUACCGCCCCCAUGAAAACCACUUCCAAUUGUCAUCGUGCUCCGAAGGCACCAAUUAGGCUAAUGCCACUGGCUCCGAAGGCAACAUGCAUAUGUAGGAGAAAUUGUAUAUAGCUAGCUAUACAUUUGUGUAUGUGUGAAUUAAUUAAUAUGGUGGUUUGUGAGACAUUGAUGAUAUAUAUAUGCAUGAUUGGUUCUACUAGAAAUUCUAUUUAUAUAUAUAUAUAUAUAUAUAUAUAUAUAUAUAUGCAUAACGUGUAUAAUGUGUAGUAUCGUAAAAUACCAGCAAACGAAAAAGAAUUAAAAUGGAAACACAAAAUUAAAUGAAAAAGAAAUAAUAAAACUAAAAAAACCCCAAACCUUAUGCCACGUGGUUGCCCUUUACCACCGGUUCGUGCUGAACUGGUACUAAAGGGGGGGGCCUUUAGUGCCCACACUUUAGUGUCGGUUAUGGAACCAGCACUAAAGGGCCUUACGAACCGGUGCUAUUACCCGGUUCUGCACUAGUGUUGGUUUUGCUUAUUGAAUGCUCAUAUUGGAAAAGUUCUCCUUCAUUCCCGUGUGCUAGACAAUUUGGUGUAAUAAUGCACUCGGGAAUGAAAGGAGGAGCUACGUACAUCACUGAUAGUCAACCCGUGAUUAAUAAUAAUGAUCUAGUUUAAUAUUUGAAUUAUGAACAUAGGCCGGAAAUGUCGUACUCGGACGAUGAAAACCGCCCGGGGGAGUGCGACUGGUGCCACGACGACCGAGGUAUGUGCGACAGGUUCAUUGAGCUGGACGAAGAUCGACGCUUCAGCAUUAAGCUCGAGGAUACCUUCGAUGUUCAUACGGUACGCAACGACGACAAUAGUUUUUUUCUUAAUUAAGCACGACUUUAACUAUUUUAACGUGUAUUUUUCAUCUUUUCCAAUUUGACUAGCUUAUCCCAUGCUAUGCAAGACGCUAUGUCUUGGAGAGGAUGAAGGAAAUAUGCCCUAGAGGCAAUAAUAAAGUUAUUAUUUAUUUCCUUAUAUCAUGAUAAAUGUUUAUUAUUCAUGCUAGAAUCGUAUUAACCGGAAACAUAAUACAUGUGUGAAUACAUAGACAAACAUAGUGUCACUAGUAUGCCUCUACUUGACUAGCUCGUGAAUCAAAGAUGGUUAAGUUUCCUAGCCAUGGACAAAAGAGUUGUCAUUCGAUUAACGGGAUCACAUCAUUAGGAGAAUGAUGUGAUUGACUUGACCCAUUCCGUUAGCCUAGCACUUGAUCGUUUAGUAUAUUGCUAUUGCUUUCUUCAUGACUUAUACAUGUUCCUGUAACUAUGAGAUUAUGCAACUCCCGUUUAUUGGAGGAACACUUUGGGUGCUACCAAACGUCACAACGUAACUGGGUGAUUAUAAAGGAGUACUACAGGUGUCUCCAAAGGUACAUGUUGGGUUGGCGUAUUUCGAGAUUAGGUUUUGUCACUCCGAUUGUCGGAGAGGUAUCUCUGGGCCCUCUCGGUAAUGCACAUCACUAUAAGCCUUGCAAGCAAUGUGACUAAUGAGUUAGUUGCGAGAUGAUGUAUUACGUAACGAGUAAAGAGACUUGCCGGUAACGAGAUUGAACUAGGUAUUAGAUACCGACGAUCGAAUCUCGGGCAAGUAACAUGCCGAUGACAAAGGGAACAACGUAUGUUGUUACGCGGUUUGACCGAUAAAGAUCUUCGUAGAAUAUGUAGGAGCCAAUAUGGGCAUCCAGGUUCCGCUAUUGGUUAUUGACCAAGAAUAGUUCUAGGUCAUGUCUACAUAGUUCUCGAACCCGUAGGGUCCGCACGCUUAAGGUUUCGAUGACAGUUAUAUUAUGUGUUUAUGAGUUUUGAUGUACCGAAGGAGUUCGGAGUCCCGGAUGAGAUCGGGGACAUGACGAGAAGUCUCGAAAUGGUCGAGACGUAAACAUCGAUAUAUUGGACGACUAUAUUUGGAGUUCGGAAAGGUUUCGAGUGAUUCGGGUAUUUUUCGGAGUACCGGAGAGUUACGGGAAUUCGCCGGGGAGUAUAUGGACCUUAUUGGGCCAUACAGGAAUAGAGGAGAGAGGCCAAAAGGAAGGAGGCCUGCGCACCCCCUCUGGUCCGAAUUGGACAAGGGGCGCAGCCCCCCUUUCCUUCUUCCUCUCCCCCUCUUUCCCCUUCUCCUACUCCAACAAGGGAGGUGGAAUCCUACUAGGACUAGGGAGUCCUAGUAGGACUCCACACUUGGCGCGCCCCCUCCUAGGGCCGGCCUCCUCCCCCCUUGCUCCUUUAUAUACGGGGGCAGGGGGGCACCCCAUGACACACAAGUUGAUCUACGUGAUCGUUCCUUAGCCGUGUGUGGUGCCCCCCUCCACUAUAUUCCACCUUGGUCAUAUCGUCGCGGAGUUUAGGAGAAGCCCUGCGCCGGUAGAACAACAUCAUCGUCACCAUGCUGUCGUGCUGACGGAACUCAUCCCCGACACUUUGCUGGAUCGGAGUCCGGGGAUCGUCAUCGAGCUGAACGUGUGCUGAACUCGGAGGUGCCGUACGUUUGGUACUUGGAUCGGUCGGAUCGUGAAGACGUACGACUACAUCAACCGCGUUGUCAUAACGCUUCCGCUUACGGUCUACAAGGGUACAUGGACAUUACUCUCCCCUCUCGUUGCUAUGCACCACCAUGAUCUUGCGUGUGCGUAGGAAAUUUUUUGAAAUUACUACAUUUCCCAACAGUGGCAUCCGAGCCUAGGUUUUAUGUGUUGAUGUUAUAUGCACGAGUAGAACACAAGUGAGUUGUGGGCGAUACAAGUCAUACUACUUACCAGCAUGUCAUACUUAAUUUGGUUCAGCGGUAUUGUUGGAUGAAGCAGCCCGGACCGACAUUACACGUACGCUUACGCGAAACUGGUUUUACCGCCGUGCUUUGCACACAGGUGACUAGCGGGUGUCUGUUUCUCCAACUUUAGUUGAACCAAGUGUGGCUACGCCCGGUCCUUGAGAAGGUUAAAACAACAUUAACUUGACGAACUAUCGUUGUGGUUUUGAUGCGUAGGUAAGAACGGUUCUUGCUCAGCCCAUAGCAGCCACGUAAAACUUGCAACAACAAAGUAGAGGACGUCUAACUUGUUUCUGCAGGGCAUGUUGUGAUAUGGUCAAGACGUGAUGAGAUAUAAGUUGUUGUAUCAGAUGAUCAUGUUUUGUUGAAGUUAUCGGCAACUGGCAGAAGCCCUAUGGUUGUCUCUUUGUUACAUAAGAUGCAAGUGCCAAAUAAUUGCUUUACUUUAUCGCUAUACGAUAGCAAUAGUUGCAAGAGCAAUAGUUGGCGAGACGACCAUGUGACGACACAUUCAUAUAGACCAAGAUGAUGAAGAUCAUGGCAUCGUGCCGGUAACGAUAGAGAUCAUGACAGUACUUUGGAGAUGGAGAUCACAAGCACAAGAUGAUGAUGGCCAAUAUCAUAUCACUUAUAUUGAUUGCAUGUGAUGUUUAUCUUUUAUACAUCUUAUUUUGCUUAGUUUGACGGUAGCAUUUUAAGAUGAUUUCUCACUAAAUUAUCAAGAAGUGUUCUCCCUGAGUAUGCACCGUUGCGAAAGUUCUUCAUGCUGAGACACCAUGUGAUGAUCGGGUGUGAUAGGCUCUACGUUCAAAUACAGCGGGUGCAAAACAGUUGCACACGCGGAAUACUCAGGUUAAACUUGACGAGCCUAGCAUAUAACAGAUAUGGCCUCGGAACACGAAGACCGAAAGGUCGAGCGUGAAUCAUAUAGUAGAUAUGAUCAACAUAUUGAUGUUCACUGUUGAAACUACUCCAUCUCACGUGACGAUCGGACAUGGUGUAGUUGAUAUGGAUCACGUAAUCACUUAGAGGAUUAGAGGGAUGUCUAUCUAAGUGGGAGUUCUUAAGUAAUAUGAUUAAUUGAACUUUAAAUUUAUCAUGAACUUAGUCCCGGUAGUAUUUUGCAAAUUAUGUUGUAGAUCAAUAGCUCGCGUUUUUGCUUCCCUAUGUUUUUAUAUGUGUUCCUAGAGAAAAACUAAGUUGAAAAGAUGUUAGUAGCAAUGAUGCGGACUUGGUCCGUGAUCUGAGGUUUAUCCUCAUUGCUGCACAGAAGAAUUAUGUCCUUGAUGCACACGCUAGGUGACAGACCUAUUGCAGGAGCAGAUGCAGACGUUAUGAACGUUUGGCUAGCUCAAUAUGAUGACUACUUGAUAGUUUUAUGCACCAUGCUUUAUGGCUUAGAACCGGGACUACAAAAACGUUUUUGAAACGUCAUGGAACAUAUAAGAUGUUUCAAGAUAUGAAAUUGGUAUUUCAGACUCAUGCCCGUGUCAAGAGGUAUGAGACCUCUGAGAAAUACUUCGCCUAAAAGAUGGAGGAGAAUUGCUCAACUAGUGAGAAAGUACUUAGAUUGUCUGAGUACUACAAUCACUUGAAUCGAGUGGGAGUUAAUCUUCCAGAUAAGAUAGUGAUUGGCAGAGUUCUCUAGUCACCAUCACCAAGUUACUGGAACUUCGUGAUGAACUAUAAUGCAAGGGAUGACGAAAACGAUUCCUGAGCUCUUCGUGAUGCUGAAAUCGAUGAAGGUAGAAAUCAAGAAAAGAGCAUCAAGUGUUGAUGAUUGACAAGACCACUAAUUUCAAGAAAAGGGUAAAGGGAAAGAAAGGGAACUUCAACUAGAAUGACAAGCAAGUUGUCACUCCCGCGAAGAAGCCCAAAGCUGGACCAAAGCCUGAAACUGAGUGAUUAUACUGCAAAGGAAAUGGUCACUAGAAGCAGAAAUGCCCUGAAUAUUUGGUGGAUAAGAAGGAUGGCAAAGUGAACAAGGGUACAUUUGAUAUACAUGGUAUUGAUGUGUACUUUACUAGUGUUUAUAGUAGCCCCUGAGUAUUUGAUACUUGUUCAGUUGCUAAAAUUAGUAACUUGAAAUAGGAGUUACAGAAUAAACAGAGACUAGUUGAGGGUGAAGUGACGAUGUGUGUUGGAAGUAGUUCCAAGAUUGAUAUGAUCAUCAUCACACUCUCCCUACACUUUCGAGAUUAGUGUUGAACCUAAAUAAAUGUUAUUUGGCUUUGCGUUGAGCAUGAAUAUGAUUUGAUCAUGUGUAAUGCAAUACGGUUAUUCAUUUAAAGUCAGAGAAUAAUUGUUAUUCUGUUUACAUGAAUAAAGCCUUCGAUGGUCAUACACCCAAUGAAAAUAGUUUGUUGGAUCUCGAUCGUAGUGAUACACAUAUUUCAUAAUAUUGAUGCCAAAAGAUGCAAAGUUGAUAAUGAUAGUGCAACUUAUUUGUGGCACUGCCAUUUGGGUCAUAUCGGUGUAAAGCGCAUGAAGAAACUCCAUACUGAUGGGUUUUUGGAAUCGCUUGAUUAUGAAUCAUUUGAUGCUUGCAAACCGUGCCUUAUGGGCAAGAUGAGUAAAACUCCGUUCUUCAGAACAAUGGAACGAGCUACUGACUUGUUGGAAAUAAUACAUACUGAUGUAUGCGAUUCAAUGAGUAUUAAUGCUCGUGGCGAGUAUCGUUAUUUUCUGACCUUCACAAGAUGAUUUGAGCAGAUAUGAGUAUAUCUACUUAAUUAAGCACAAGUCUGAAACAUUUUAAAAGUUCAAAGAAUUUCAGAGUGAAGUGAAGAAUCAUCGUAACAAGAAAAUAAAGUUUCUGUGAUUUGAUCACGGAGACAAAUAUCCGAGUUACGAGUUUGGCCUUCAUAUAAAACAAUGUGGAAUAGUUUCACAGCUCAUGCCACCUGGAACACCAUAGCAUUAUGGUGUGUCCAAACGUCGUAACCGCACUUUAUUGGAUAUGGUGCGAUCUAUGAUGUCUCUUAUCGGUUUACCACUAUCGUUUUGGGGUUAUGCAUUAGAGACAGCUGCAUUCACGUUAAAUAGGGUACCAUCUAAAUCCGUUGAAACGACACCGUAUGAACUAUGGUUUGGCAAGAAACCAAAGUUGUCGUUUCUUAAAGUUUGGGGCUGCGAUGCUUAUGUGAAAAAGUUUCAACCUGAUAAGCUCGAACCCAAAUCGGAGAAGUGCGUCUUCAUAGAAUACCCAAAGGUAAAUAUUGGGUACACCUUCUAUCACAGAUCUGAAAGCAAGUUUCGUUGCUAAGAUGGAUCCUUUCUAGAGAAGAAGUUUCUCUCGAAAGAAGUGAGUGGGAGGAAAGUAGUACUUGAUGAGGUAAUUGUACCUUCUCCCUUAUUGGAAAGUAGUUCAUCACAGAAAUCAGUUCCAGUGAUUCCUACACCAAUUAGUGAGGAAGUUAAUGAUGAUGAUCAUGAAACUUCAGAUCAAGUUGCUACCAAACCUCGUAGGUCUUCCAGAGUACGAUCCGCACCAGAGUGGUACGGUAAUCAUAUUCUGGAAGUCAUGUUACUAGACCAUGAUGAACCUACGAACUAUGAGGAAGCGAUGAUGAGCCCAAAUUCCACGAAAUGGCUUGAGGCCAUGAAAUCUGAGAUAGGAUCCAUGUAUGAGAACAAAGUAUGGACUUUGAUUGACUUGCUCGAUGAUCAGCAAGCCAUGUUAAAUAAAUGGAUCUUCAAGAGGAAGACGGACACUGAUAGUAGUGUUACUAUCUACAAAGCUCGACUUGUCACAAAAAGGUUUUCGACAAGUUCAAGGUGUUGACUACAAUGAGAUUUUCUCAACUGUAGCGAUGCUUAAGUCUGUCCGAAUCAUGUUAGCAAUUGCCACAUUUUAUGAAAUCUAGCAAAUGGAUGUCAAAACUGCAUUCCUUAAUGGAUUUAUUAAAGAAGAGUUGUAUAUGAUGCAACCAGAAGGUUUUGUCAAUCCUAAAGAUGCUAACAAAGUGUGCAAGCUCUAGCAAUCCAUCAAUGGACUGGUGCAAGCAUCUCGGAGUUGGAAUAUACGCUUUGAUGAGUUGAUCAAAGCAUAUGGUUUUAUGCAGACCUUUGGAAAGGCCUGUAUUUACAAGAAAGUGAGUGGGAGCACUAUAGCCUUUCUGAUAAGUAUAUGUGAAUGACAUAUUGUUGAUCGGAAAUAAUGUAGAAUUUUCUGGAAAGCAUAAAGGAGUGUUUUAAAGGAUUUUUUCAAAGAAAGACCUCAGUAAAGCUACUUACAUAUUGAGCAUCAAGAUCUAUUGAGAUAGAUCAAGACGCUUGAUAAGAUUUUCAAUUAGUACAUACCUUGACAAGAUUUUGAAGUAGUUCAAAAUGGAACAGUCAAAGAAAGAGUUCUUGCCUAUGUUGCAAAGGUGUGAAAUUGAGUAAGACUCAAAUCCCGACCACGGCAGAAAAUAGAAAAGAGAAUGAAAGUCAUUCCCUAUGCCUCAGUCAUAGGUUCUAUAAAGUAUGCUAUGCUGUGAACCAGACCUAUUGUAUAUCUUGCUUUGUGUUUGGCAUAGGAAUACAAUUUUGAUCUAAUAGUAGAUCACUGGACAGCGGUCAAGAAUAUCCUUAGUGAGGACUAAGGAAAUACUUCUCGAUUAUGGAGGUGAUAAAAGAGCCCGUCAUAAAAAGUUACAUCGGUGCAAGCUUUUACACCGAUCCGGAUGACUCUAAGUCUCAAUCUGGAUACAUAUUGAAAGUGGGAGCAAUUAGCUAGAGUAGAUCCAUGCAGAGCAUUGUAGACAUAGAAUAUUUGCAAAAUACAUACGGCUCUGUAUGUGACAGACCCGUUGACUAAACUUCUCUCACGAGCAAAACAUGAUCAUACCUUAGUACUCUUUGGGUGUUAAUCACAUAGCGAUGUGAACUAGAUUAUUGACUCUAGUAAACCCUUUGGGUGUUGGUCACAUGACGAUGUGAACUAUGGGUGUUAAUCAUAUACAGAUAUGAAUAUUGAUGUUAAAUCACAAGGCGAUGUGAACUAGAUUAUUGACUCUAGUGCAAGUGGGAGACUGAAGGAAAUAUACCCUAGAGGAAAUAAUAAAGUUAUUAUUUAUUUCCUUAUAUCAUGAUAAAUGUUUAUUAUUCAUGCUAGAAUCGUAUUAACCGGAAACAUAAUACAUGUGUGAAUACAUAGACAAACAUAGUGUCACUAGUAUGCCUCUACUUGACUAGCUCGUGAAUCAAAGAUGGUUAAGUUUCCUAGCCAUGGACAAAAGAGUUGUCAUUUGAUUAACGGGAUCACAUCAUUAGGAGAAUGAUGUGAUUGACUUGACCCAUUCCGUUAGCCUAGCACUUGAUCGUUUAGUAUAUUGCUAUUGCUUUCUUCAUGACUUAUACAUGUUCAUGUAACUAUGAGAUUAUGCAACUCCCGUUUACCGGAGGAACACUUUGGGUGCUACCAAACGUCACAACGUGGGUGAUUAUAAAGGAGUACUACAGGUGUCUCCAAAGGUACGUGUUGGGUUGGCGUAUUUCGAGAUUAGGUUUUGUCACUCCGAUUGUUGGAGAGGUAUCUCUGGGCCCUCUCGGUAAUGCACAUCACUAUAAGCCUUGCAAGCAAUGUGACUAAUGAGUUAGUUGCGAGAUGAUGUAUUACGUAACGAGUAAAGAGACUUGCCGGUAACGAGAUUGAACUAGGUAUUAGAUACCGACGAUCGAAUCUCGGGCAAGUAACAUGCAGAUGACAAAGGGAACAACGUAUGUUGUUAUGCGGUUUGACCGAUAAAGAUCUUCGUAGAAUAUGUAGGAGCCAAUAUGGGCAUCCAGGUUCUGCUAUUGGUUAUUGACCAAGAAUAGUUCUAGGUCAUGUCUACAUAGUUCUCGAACCCGAAGGGUCCGCACGCUUAAGGUUUCGAUGGCAGUUAUAUUAUGAGUUUAUGAGUUUUUAUGUACCGAAGGAGUUCGGAGUCCCGGAUGAGAUCGGGGACAUGACGAGAAGUCUCGAAAUGGUCGAGACGUAAACAUCGAUAUAUUGGACGACUAUAUUUGGAGUUCGGAAAGGUUUCGAGUGAUUCGGGUAUUUUUCGGAGUACCGGAGAGUUACGGGAAUUCGCCGGGGAGUAUAUGGACCUUAUUGGGCCAUACAGGAAUAGAGGAGAGAGGCCAAAAGGAAGGAGGCCUGCGCACCCCCUCUGGUCCGAAUUGGACAAGGGCGCAGCCCCCCUUUCCUUCUUCCUCUCCCCCUCUUUCCCCUUCUCCUACUCCAACAAGGGAGGUGGAAUUCUACUAGGACUAGGGAGUCCUAGUAGGACUCCACACUUGGCGCGCCCCCUCCUAGGGCCGGCCUCCUCCACCCUUGCUCCUUUAUAUACGGGGGCAGGGGGCACCCCAUGACACACAAGUUGAUCUACGUGAUCGUUCCUUAGCCGUGUGCCGUGCCCCCCUCCACCAUAUUCCACCUCGGUCAUAUCGUCGUGGAGUUUAGGCGAAGCCCUGCGCCGGUAGAACAUCAUCAUCAUCACCACGCCGUCGUGCUGACGGAACUCAUCCCCGACACUUUGCUGGAUCGGAGUCCGGGGAUCGUCAUCGAGCUGAACGUGCUGAACUCGGAGGUGUCGUACGUUCGGUACUUGGAUCGGUCGGAUCGUGAAGACGUACGACUACAUCAACCGUGUUGCCAUAACACUUCCGCUUAUGGUCUACAAGGGUACGUGGACAUUACUCUCCCCUCUCGUUGCUAUGCAUCACCAUGAUCUUGCGUGUGCGUAGGAAAUUUUUUGAAAUUACUACGUUUCCCAAUAGAGGAUGGGUUUUGAAGACCAUGAAAGUAUGGAAACCAAAAAAAUUAUCCUAAGUACCCAAUAUGGUGUGGAUUUCCAAGUAAAGCUGUACAAUGCUGAGAGUGUAAUCCAUUUUGGUUGCAAAAAUUGGAAAGCACUUUGCAAGAUGUAUGGUUUUGAUGAGGGUAUGCUUGUCACCAUGGAUCUUGGUGAUCCUACAAUCGAGUAAGAGAGACCUUCGAUUUGGGUCCUUGUGGAUACACCUCCAAUUCUUUCCCCAUGUGAGCUUAACAUAGUUAUUAAGUAAUUUAUAUUGUUUAUUUCAAAAUAGUUGACAUCUUAUUUCCAUUAACAGAUUAUUUUCAUUCUUCAAAGAAUGUGUGGAAGAUGGUAGACAAAACCCACUACACCGAUGGCUCCGAAUUAACUUAUAGGGUGAAAAAUCAUCUGAUCGCAUUUUGUACUGAUCUUGAGAAUUACAAUGUCUAUAAUCGAACUCCUCAACAUUAUGGUCAAUACGUGCCACUAGUGCAUGUGUUGAACUACGGUAACUACCAUGGAGAUACCCUGGUAAGAGUUUUUACUAUUACGACAUCCGUGCAUCUUUUUGCACACUUCUAAAACUAGUACAUCAUUGCUAACUACGAAGUUAUUACUACUUUUUCAACAGAUAAUCCCGAAUGAUUGUGUGCCUCAUCUGAUGUAUACGCACGGUACCCUUCAUGUUUUGAACAUACAACCAGGUCUUCCUACGAAUCUGAACUGUCCAUACCGGGUUUCUAAAAGAAGUGGAGACAUGACAAUCAAAGAAUGGAAAAAAUGUAUGGACAGUCGUAAGGAGCUUCUUGGAAGCAAAAGGCAGCGAAGCGCAAGAAUUGGAGACAGGAUGAUCUCCAUUCUUCAUAAUGGAGAGUCAGGGUCUAUAUUAUUUUAUGCUAUUUUACCUUAAUGGUGUUUAGGUCCUACCUGAUACUGAUAAUCAUGUGCUAAGAACAAUUAUGUAGGGUUGGGUUCGAUGACUAUGAGAAUGAUGAUCGUAUGACUUAUUAUUAAUAACGAGUAGAAGUUGUAUGAUGAUGCAUGAUUAGUAGGACUUGUUAUUAUAUAUGAUGAUGUAUGAUGCGAGCAUGCAUGAGUUAUUAUAUCAGCGGGUGAAAUGAACAUAACAGCAGCAUUGGUAAACCAAGGACGAAGAUAUAAGAGAGGACACUUCUCUCUAUUAGCUAGCUAAUAACAACCUAAAAAUAACCCCCAAACCCCCUAAAGCAGCCACUUUUUAAAAAAAAACAUCGACUUUUGGUCCCGGUUGAUGCCACCAACCGGGACCAAAGGCCCCCCUGCCUGGGCUCGACGCACCGGCCACGUGGAGGCACAUCUGUCCCGGUUUGUGUUUGAACCGGGACUAAAGGGGGAGGUAUUAGUAACGACCCAUUAGUCCCGGUUCAUGAACCGGGACUAAAGGCCCUUACAAACCGGGACAAAUUCCCCCUUUUCUACUAGUGUACUAACCAGAAUUGAAGCAUCGAGAUUCCCCUCCAUGCCAUUGGCUGCCAGAGUGGUAGUUAGAGGGGCUGUGAUUCCAUGUGCUCUUUGGUGAAGUCUGGAGGGGAGAAUUUGCCCCGGCCUCCAAGGAAUAGAGGAGGAAAAGCUAAACACGUUCUUUGUUUUCUUUGAUCAUUUGCUCUUCUUUAAUUUACCAUCUUAAUGAUUUUCCCUUUUUACUUGCUUUAAAUUAUUUUCAUGUUGUUGGUUGGAUAAUGAUCAAUAUUUUGAUCUAGUUUGUUGGAGGUGAUAACAGAUUAAACAGAAUAUUAUCUAGAUCAUGAGUGUUCAUCCCAUUUUCUUCGAGAAUUAACGAACUAGUUAAUCUUCAUCUAUAAUCAAUUGGAUAGGAUUAAGGGUACAGGUAUGCAUGUAACCACCCAAUGCACACACACAUGCAUGUUCGAGUUGAGAAGUUUGGGGCUGAGGAGAGCUACCGAACAGGCCCUAAGUAGAUGCUCUCCUUUGAGAACCACCAUUCAUCUCAUGUUCAACCCCACCCCGUCAUUGCUUCUCGGUUUCUUUGUGGAAUCCUUUUCCCUAUUGAAGGGCACAUCUCCUGGCAAUCCACUUCUGAGCCCAGGCUCAGCUGCACCCGCCCUGACAAAAAAAAUCAAAACAAAUACUAGGAAAAAUCAAAAAAAAUUGUGUGGUACAUAAUUUGAUGCGUGAGGUCCGCUCUAGUUUUAAAAUCAUUUGGACAUAUGAGCAGCUCUCGGCAAAAAAGACAAAUUCGGGGUCUGUAAAAAUGUUUAUUGUUCAUGCAUUGUUUUGACCUAAUUUGUCUUUUUUGCUGAGAGCUUCUCAGAAGUCCAAAUGAUCUAAAAUUUGGAGCGAACCUCACGUGAUAAAUUGUCUACCAUACAAAAAAUUGGAAUUUUUUGAAUUUUUAUUUUAUUUUUUGUGAUUUGUUUUUUGGGCGGGUGCAGAUGAGUCUGGGCACCGAAACACCGCACGCCACAUCUCCUCUUCAUCCUACUAUUUCAAGAGGAAUUAAUUAAAUGCACCAGGACAUGAAACUGUUUGUCAUCACCCCAAAAACUUGAUAAGCUGUGAGAAAAAAAAUCUCCGACCAAAAGCCACCAAGCAAAACCUUGUCCAACAAGGAUAUCAAAGAAGAGUGCGACCACACACGAAAUCAUUCAAUAGCUAGGAACAAAUACGCUCUCUAUAACAACAAAAAAGUCAUCGAGGAUGUAAAGUGAAGGUAUUUUAACAUCGAAGUAUCUUCAAACUGGAUGCAUGAGAAAAUAUCUCUCAAGUAAAAUAUUGUUUGACGACGUAAAAAGGUAUGACAUAAGAUAAUGAAAAAAAAAUUAUCUCCAUAAAUCUUGGAAUAGAUGUGAUCUAUUUUUCUUGCAACAAAAUGUGACAAACAUGACCCCAAGAUUUAUCUCGAUAAAUCAAUCUUGGAAUAUAAUGUUUUUUUAGAAAUAACCACAUAUAUUUCAUUAGAAAAACAUAUUACAAAGACAUGUGGUCAUCAAAGAAGACACACAUAGAUGUCUUGCAAUAUUGCAUCAAAGACUUCACAAGAACUAAAACUAUAAUUUCACUUCGGCAGAAUCUUGUGCCACGCCCAAACGUCGCCCACCAUCGUCCUCCUUCGCCGCUGAGGUAACGUCGAAGAAAGAGGGGAACCGCCUUCAUACCAAGAUCUAGAGGAGCACCUUUGCAUACAAUGGUGUUUUUCGAGCCGAUGAACCCGACCGUCGCAAGCGACGAGACCGAGAUUUUGUGACAUGUCGUCCGGGGUUCUUCCUCGUGUCCGCUAGAUCCCAGCGUUGUCCACUUCAUUCGACUAGGUCGAAGAAGAUGAAUGCCGCUGCAUUCCAUCAUCCACGCACCCCACUGCAAGACACCAAACACAACCGCAACAGUCGGCACCAAGGCCACCCAAGAGAGAGUGAAGCGCCGACCAUCAGACACAAAUGUUACAAGAUCUGAAGACCGGCAAGAAGACCGAGCCACCUGCUCCCCAGCGUCGUCCAUUAGAGCGCCAUCGGAUAAAGGUAGAGCGGAAGCAAAUUAUUUUGACGCGGCGCCGUCCACACCAUUGAUGCAACAUCUCUGAAAACAAACUAUGCCUAUCCUAUAUCCCUACCUGACAGAAACUGUUGUGACCUAUUUGUCUUGUUAAAAUAGUGGAUCAACUGCACAUGAUGGUAUGUAGCAUGACUCUGCACAGAUAGCUUUCUUAUAAAUUUGAGGCAUAGAGGUUUCGUGGUGUAGUUGGUUAUCAAGACCUUCUAACACACUGAAGGUCUCCGGUUCGAACCCGGGCGAAGCCACUCCGUUUUUUUCUUUUUUUUUCACUGUGUAAAAAAAAGCAAAAAAAACAAGAAAAUAAAAAAGAUGAUGAUGGCCCAUACAGGUCUCCAACCUGUGACCUUCGCGUUAUUAGCACGACGCUCUAACCAGCUGAGCUAAUAGGCCUUUUGUGACAUUUUACAUUUUGUUCCUCAUAUUUCAGAUAGGACUUGUAUAUUAUCAUCCCUUCUCGUUGUAAUAAAUAGAACACGUAAUAGGCCUUUUGGUUCUCUUAAGUUAUUUUAACUUCUAUAUUGCAAAGAACUGAAUAUUAAGUACCUUCGCCAGAAGGGCUAAUGGUCUUUUGCUGUUGGUCUUCUCAUGCUGCGGUUUUCCUCUUCCCUAUGGUUUCAUUUGCAGCAGUAUUUUCUUUUCUUCUGAUUGACGAGUUAUGUAUUAGAUUGUCGAGUUUUGUGGUUUAUAGCGCAGGAUUUUGUUUCUACAAAAGGUAGAUCCCAACAAGACACCAUGGUAUGCGUAUCUUGUAGUCUAUCUGUCUUAUUGAGAAAAUACAUUAAUGUCUCAUGGUGUAGUAGGUUAUCACGUCAGUCUAACACACUACAUGGCGAAGCCAAAUUGUUAUUGUUUUUUCUUUUCUGUAAAACUACAAAAUGCACCAAUAAAUCUUUGUCAUUUGCUAGUUUCCCAUUUCAGUACCUAUGUUUGUAAGUAUUCUUCCCUCUUGGAAUCUCCAUUUUGCCACUGUUUCUCACUUUCUGUGAUGUGAUGUGUGCGCAAAUAUUCCCACAACAACUAAACAAUAAUAAAGCCAUAUACGCAAGCGAUCGAAUAAUGGCAACUUUAUAUUACCACUCAAGGCACAUCUCCAAACCGACCUGUCUGUCCAUAGUUGCGUCUCAACACUCGGGGCAGAAGGCUCGCUCUCAACCACUGCUUCAUAUCACCAGGAUCCACACGGCCAAAUAGUGUCCUCCAUUUUCGAAGUGAUGACAGUAUAUCUCGUGGGAAAAUUGUUUCCACAGUUCAAUAUCCCUCCCUUUGAUGAAAAAAAAUUACACUCAGCUUCUGCAUCACAGGAUGCAUAACGAAAAUUGUUUUGUUCGUUCUGUGCUGGAACACUAUAUCUUGUGUAAAAUAAAUGUUUCAACAAUAUCGACAUUCCCUCCCAUAAAAUAAAAUCAUCAAUAGCUCACUUCUCUAUAUACCUGGAUGGUAAGUAAUGGCCGGUGUGAGCACCCAAGACGGCACGCCAAUUAUCACCACUACGUAGACAAGUCACUAUAUGCACCCAAUUAUGCAAGAAAAAUAAUAUAAGUCAAGAACUGUCUGGACGCAGAUGGAGCUUUCUACAGAUGGGGACAAGAAUUUGGCACCACCCACUCAGUUUACCUCUCACCUUUUUGCAUUGCUUUCAUAUGUAAAAAAUAGUGAGUGGAUUUGCGAUCUGCCUUAAAAUGACAAGAUGGGGGUUGUGGGUUUUAAAAACUUCCAAAUGCAUUCUUUAUGUUCACAUGUUUAUUUAUUUUGUAUUUGUUUGUGCAUGUCAUAAAAAUUAUAAAUUUCCACAAGCAUACAUAAUAUUCAAUGAUCUACAUCGACAAUAGGGUUUGAGAUUUUUCAAAGCAUGACAAAAAAAUCAAAUGAGGUCGGCUGGAAAUUAAAGAUAUGUUCGGAGAUCCAAACAAUUAUGAUCUCUUUGAUACAAACUUCAAAGGAAUCAUUAUAGAAAAAUAGGAGAUUAUAAUUGUUAGAUUAUUUUCCUACGGGACUAGUUGGGCUGGAAACCAUAACAAUAUUUUCUAUUGCCUACUUGACAUGUAUUUGUAAGGAAAAUUAUGUCGAGCCAAAUCUUCUGAAAAUAAUUUCGUUGGUUCAAUGACAACUAUAUGCUUGCACCUAAUGCUUUAGAAAAUUCUUGAAUUUUUCCCUCUUGCGAUAAAUCAACAUCCAUAUUUUACGCAUUGCACUAUCUUCAGUUCUCAUAAGAUUCAACAUAGCAUGACACGAAAUAUGUAUGUUAAUUUUUCUGGUUCCUAUCUUUUUAAAAUGCCGCAAAAGGAUGUGGCAUGUAAUCUUCAAAAAAUAGUGGGAUUGUGAUAGUUAUUGAAAUGCAUGUAGGACGGAGACUAAACUUUCAGUAAAAUUCAACUUAUAAUACUAAAACUGGAAAAGUUGCCAAAACCUACGGCAACCAAGAGCUGCCAAGAUUUCUUAAAUAAAAAACCUUUGCGCGACAUUCCCCUAAGAAGACAUAAAUGUUUCCUUGUCUUGACAUUCAAAAACACUGAGUGAGGGUUCUCGGCCGAAUUUCACUAAGAACUUGCAUAAAAGAGAGCUGUCUAUUAUUAUUAUUAUUUUCUAGGGUUUCAGAAUCUAGUUGGAUAUUGCUUUAAUUUGGAAUUCAUAAUUUGCCGAGAAACAGCACUAUAAAGUAAAGCAUUCCUAAACUUGACCNNNNNNNNNNNNNNNNNNNNNNNNNNNNNNNNNNNNNNNNNNNNNNNNNNNNNNNNNNNNNNNNNNNNNNNNNNNNNNNNNNNNNNNNNNNNNNNNNNNNNNNNNNNNNNNNNNNNNNNNNNNNNNNNNNNNNNNNNNNNNNNNNNNNNNNNNNNNNNNNNNNNNNNNNNNNNNNNNNNNNNNNNNNNNNNNNNNNNNNNNNNNNNNNNNNNNNNNNNNNNNNNNNNNNNNNNNNNNNNNNNNNNNNNNNNNNNNNNNNNNNNNNNNNNNNNNNNNNNNNNNNNNNNNNNNNNNNNNNNNNNNNNNNNNNNNNNNNNNNNNNNNNNNNNNNNNNNNNNNNNNNNNNNNNNNNNNNNNNNNNNNNNNNNNNNNNNNNNNNNNNNNNNNNNNNNNNNNNNNNNNNNNNNNNNNNNNNNNNNNNNNNNNNNNNNNNNNNNNNNNNNNNNNNNNNNNNNNNNNNNNNNNNNNNNNNNNNNNNNNNNNNNNNNNNNNNNNNNNNNNNNNNNNNNNNNNNNNNNNNNNNNNNNNNNNNNNNNNNNNNNNNNNNNNNNNNNNNNNNNNNNNNNNNNNNNNNNNAAUUUAGGUUUUUAUAAACUUGGUCAAACAUAGAAACAUUUGAAGAAAAAAAGUAGAGCUUAUAUUUUGAAAAUGGGAUUUAGUAAGUACACCAAUAAUUCGAUAUACCCACAAAAUGCUGGCUUUAGUUCCUUUCAUGGUUCCUUUGUUGUAAGAAAGAAGCUAGUAGACACAAAGGGAAUCAAAUCAUGGGAGGAGGCGGCCCUAUCCUUAUUCCUCUUCCCCACGCGGUUGCUCCCGUCCAUCCUUUGCCAAAGGUGCAGCAUCUCGCAUUUCCUUCUUCAUCUUCUCUUUCUCCUCCUUCCUUGAUGCUCACUCGCCUAUAAAUAGCCCUCGCUGCCUGCCAUUGUUACUCAAGCCAGCAAGCAAGAAGCACAGAAGAAGCUCCUAGCCAACACCAAUCAAAGCUUCCAUCCAAUCCCAAGCAACCUCGACGAUGUCUUGCUGCGGAGGAAACUGCGGCUGCGGCAGCGCCUGCAAGUGCGGCAACGGCUGCGGCGGCUGCAACAUGUACCCGGAGGCCGAGGCCGCCGGCGCCACCCUCCUCGUCUCCGCCACCGCCACCCACAAGGCGUACGUCCCUUCUCUUCUCCUCAGCUCAUACAUCAUCAUGCACUCGAUCGUAAUAGAGAGAAUAUGACUGUAUGUUGAUCUUGGUAUGGAUGGGGUACGUGCAGGAGCUCCAGCGGCAUGGAGAUGGCGGCGGAGAACGGCGGCUGCGGCUGCACCCAGUGCAAGUGCGGCACCAGCUGCGGCUGCUCCUGCUGCAGUUGCUAGAUCCAUCAUCGGUCAUGCAUGCACCGCGUGCAUCAUAUCUUUGAUCGAUCCAUCCAUCUACUUACCAUGUAACGCUACCUGAUCGAGGGUCUUUGUAUGUAUGUACGCACCUGCCUGCAUGAGCAGAGCAGGUGCCAUGCCAUGCAUGUAAACCCCUAAAUAAAAUCUCCCGUGGUUUAACCUAUAUAAAUGCGUUUGUGUUAUAGACCAGCUUCUGGCCCACGUUUACUAUCAACUUGCAAGGUGCCUGGGUUGUUAAUAGACCAGCUGAAUGAGCUUCAGGUGCUACAUUCGUGAAAAGGACUCGUGGUUUAUAACGCAUAUUGUAGCCUAGUAGCCACAUAUCAGCUGCGCUCAAUAUGCAGGAUUUCCAUUGGAUCAGAUCUUUCGCUUUGACGAAUUUGGACCUAGCGAAAAGGAUUCUUAAGCCUUCGCGCAAACAAGCAAAGUAGAAGCAAGACGAGGAAGUGGAGCUGUCGUAGAAGCAGUAGCUUCCCCCGACAAUAUACAAUACAACAGUAGCGACCAUGAAUAAAAAAGCCCCUUGUUUAACGAGUUCGCUGCUUUUCCCAGGCCGGAGAAGGGCAACUACUUAUUGAUUGAUCGCCUUUCUUUGAUAUGUGUUCAAUUUAGUAUAAUACAAACUACAACUAGAUCAAAGCGGAAGGGCCACUCACUAUAGAAGCUAUAACUAGAAAAGCCCUAGCCAAUAGUUUAGUAGUCGGCCAAACCCCCAUGCUCACGACAUGUUCUUGAUAUUGAUUGAGUUGGAGAGAGUCAGAGACUACCACGGAAUCCUUCCAUAGUCACCCCGGUGACCUUCGUCACCAAAGCGUCACAACAGUUUCCAAGACCCCUCAUAUAAUCUCCAGUGGGGAUCAGUCGGAGCACAUAAGAAUGCCGACCACUACAUAAGCCGCUGGCGGAGAAAGCUCGAAGAGCUUCCCUUCAUUCGCUUCGCGGGAGUCGCACACAGCACAUAGCUGGAAGUCAGAGGGCCCGUACUACCUGCCUAACCCUUCGCUCUGAGGGACCGUAGAACGGAAAGCGCCUUCUAAACAACUCGGCAGAAGGGAAGGGGCCUAUGUAUUUGCAUGACCCCUGCGGAUUUGACCCUACCUACACCCGGAGCCAACCCCCUAGCGGUCCUGCCACCACGCCGCAGAACAGGAGCUCGUGUGGAACCUUGGAUUUCUGGCAUAACAGCGAUGGAAGGUAUCAAAAUAUUACGGCCGCAUAACCAUAACAUAGUAUAUACGCUAAGGUCGGCCAAAAUAUGGACACCCGAAGGGCCCGGCGUGCACAAUCCUAUCCUAUCCGAGCCCGUCAUUGCAUGCACUUCGGACAGCCGUCCGUAGCAUCAUAAGGAGCACCUCCCUUUCGAGGUACCCAAAUGGAACGGUCUUUAUUUGUGUUGUUGGUUGGUCUUUCUCAAUGUGGUCUAUAGCACGAAUAACCAUUCUUUACAAGAUAGGGCCGUUCACAUGAAAGAAAAUACAAAAUCCAUUCUUCAUGGUCGGACGCAUUUCUCCAAAUCCUCCAGGAUCACAAGUGGAAUGCUAAGCAAGGGUGGGGAGGCUGCGAGCUCUGCGUCGAAUAGAAAGAAGCAAGCGGGGGUGUUGCCGUAGCGCGCCGGAGAGCAAGCGUAGGCAACCAAACUAAAUAAGGCUACAAAAGUAGCUAGCUAGCGUUUUUAAGCUGGCUGCCUUUUCUAGCGCGCGUACUCUUCUGUGGAGUCGCAAGGAACGAGCCUUGUCUUCCCUCCAACGACUAGCUCCCUUUUCUUAUUUCGGUCACCCUUCUCUUGUCGUGGAAGGACUUUUGCUUGUGGUGUGGUCCAACCCGUGGACGGAGUCGUCCUCAUCCCCCCAUUGCUCAGUGCUCCCUGCAGCUUCGCUGGGCUUUACCCGCGUGGGCGCGGGCUUCUAUAAGAGAAUGAAAAGCUCUCUUUUUACAAUAAAAUGCGAACCACACGGAGCCCACCCUUUUUCGUUUUUUGCCGCCACUGGGUGGCCACAGGGGAAACACAUCCCGGCCGCCUCUCAGGAAAGGGGGGUGGGCCUACCUAUCCCGAGGGAGCAGCUGAGAGGUUCAAUAUGCCGAGCCGAAGGGCAGAACUUCAAUGCGUGAUCAUAGUAUGUCACCUCGUCUCGUCCUCGCAGCAUCGAAGAGUACCUAUGCACUAUGUUCGGUUCACUGAUAAGGAAGAUAGAGUUGGGGUGGGGGUCUACGAUGUGAUACUAUAGUAUGCCCCGGGGAGAAAGAUGCGCAACUCAAAACGGAAGCAGGAAGCGUGUUGUCAAAAAUGUUGGAGGUUACCAGAUCUCCGAGACUACCAUUGAUCCGACAGAGCGGAACGACCAGAAAAAGAAGUGGAGUUAGAAAGCCGUAUGAUAGGUGGUAACUAUCUUGUACGGUUCGGGGGGUAAGCGGCGUACUCUGGGGGAAUAUUAGGCUCUAUCGACCAUACAGGGAAUUGGAGGUAGCAUUUUACUUAUGUUAAGUCAUGGACUAGUUUCUUCAGCCCUUUUUCUAUGUGUUGGUGUUCUAUAUGACCGACAUAAACUCGACUUGUGAGAUAUUAUGGAGGUUUAGUGAGCACCAUGCCAAAUUUCUCUACCAUUUUCUUAUUUUUCACUUUAGCCAAUAUGAGUUUACCUGGCACUAGCAGCUUUAUCGGGGAAUUUCUAAUCUUAGUAGGAGCUUUCCAAAGAAAUUGCUUAGUAGCCACAUUUGCUGCGCUUGGGAUGAUUUUAGGCGCGACAUAUUCCCUUUGGCUAUAUAAUCGUGUGGUUUCUAGAAAUUUAAAACCCGAUUUCCUCUAUAAAUUCUCUGAUCUAAUUGGUAGAGAAGUUUCCAUAUUUCUACCUUUUCUUGUUGGAGGGGCGACCGUCCGUUGAACUACCAAAAAAGGGUAAACCAAUGUGAUCAUGACAUUGUAGGAGCUUGCGAUGGGACGGAUGUGACUUCCCUCAUAAGUAAUGGGUGGCAUAGCUCGUAGCAGAAGUCCCCUUUUUUAUCCAUUUCUUUAUUACCCCAGAGGGGCCCAGCCUUGCGGGACCGAGAGAAAGAAAGGACGGGGGGCGACCAUGCAUGGCACUUCUCGACCGUGUCUCCGAGGAAUAGUUGAACGAGCGACUCAUGAAAGCUACCGGGUCGGACGAGCCAAUAACUCGAACGUGUUCAGUCAGUUUUUUGAGCAAGAAUCACAGUGUUACCUUACCUUCACCAUGAUACGGACUCCAAGUUCUUAUGGCAGAGCACGAGGAGUUUCCUUCAAUAUGAUGAUGAGAAUGGAAACCAGAAGCACGACUGGGUCUUCAUAGUCCGAGAUCAUACUUAUAUAUCAGUCACAGUAAUGUAAGCAUGAAAAUUUUUGGUAGUACCGGUGAACCAGAUGGCCGCAGCGAGGGAAUCUGGGAUGGAGGACUCGUAAUAUCUCUAUAGAUCUAGCAAAAGCGAAAGACCCUAACAUCAGGGGCUGACCAAUGAGCUCACUCAGGCCCCGCUGGGCGGUCCAAAGUGGGUGCGAGCUGGAAUUGCCAUAGCUUAUGGUUAGAGCAAUAGGAAAGGGCCCUACAGAGAGAACAGUCGGGAUAACGAGCGUGGAGCCCACUUGGCAGGCAGCAGGAGCAGCGGGCAAGUGCUUGCUUGGUAGGCUAACAGCCCUGUGAAUCGGGCGGGGCACUCGACGAAAGGGGGGCAUGCUGAGCAAGUACGCAAAAUUGGCCCUGUGGAGCUUUCAAAAAGAAAAGCAAGGACCACUACGGGAGGUCGAACCACGGACCGGAGGUAGUAGAACGUGAUCCGCACCGGUCAAUAUUGGAUCAAACAAUAGGGGACCAUAGCACUGACCCUUUUUUCAAGACAAUAGGUAUUGUUCCCUACCAAGACAAGGGACACUCUCAACGGAUCCUCCACGCGCUGGGCAUACCAUAGUUCUUCCGUUCGUCUUUAUCAUGGCGGAAACAGAACAAGAGGGAAAGACCCGGCCGACUCGCCAAGGGCUCGAGGGCGAGCCAUACGUGAGUGAGUCGAAUUCUGUUUACGUACUCGGUUUGGGUUCGGGCCCCUCUCGAUCUUUUGCGUAUAAGGGAAGGGGGAAGGAGUCUAAAUCUAUGGACAUUAAUGAACCACCAUUGAUGGACGUUGCACAUGACACAAGAAAUUUGACUCGACGAUCCGGUGCUAAUAGAAGUCGCUUACUCUCCGCCUAGCGAAGGUGCCAGAUCCUUAAAAUAAAGUAUCUAUCAGCCUAGUGUACCAACCACGUGGUACGACGGGCACUCAAAGACCUGACGAAUGAGGGGCCACCCCACCUAAGAGUGCUUAUGUCAUAUGGGAACUCUCGGCUGGAAACAAUCCUUAUGGUUUUUAUAUCCGGUUAGAAUAAUAAGAAAGAAUCAAAGUCCAUGUUGGUUGGUGAGCCUAGUGAUAGGAGACUAUCUAGCUUGGUUCAGAGAGCACUUGUUGGGUUUCAAAUUCAUUUUUUGCUAAAUGUUACGGCCUAAAUGUUGAACUAUUGACCCUACUUGUUCGGAUGGGUGUUCACCCCAAAGUGUUCCCGGACUGCAUGCAUACAUCCGUAAGUAACUUAGUGCAACAUGGCAAAUUUCAUUGAGUAGAAUCAGCAAACAAAAUAAAUCUUCUCCGGGUGACAGGGCCGCCUCGUUAAUAGACCAUGCAUAUUGUCGAGUUUUGUGUUUUAUAGCGCAAGAUUUUGUUUUUACAAAAGGUGGAUUCCAACAAGACACGAUGGUAUGCGUAUCUUGUAGUCUAUCUGUCUUCUUGAGAAAAUACAUUAAUGUCUCGUGGUGUAGUAGGUUAUCACGUCAGUCUAACACACUACAUGGCGAAGCCAAAUUGUUAUUGUUUUUUUUCCUGCAAAACUACAAAAUGCACCAAUAAAUCUUUGUCAUUUGCUAGUUUCCCAUUCUCGCGACUCUUAAUAUGAAGCCCAUGAAGACAUUAAAGAUAGCGGUGGACAGCUAAGGGCCUAAGGCCCAAGGGCGACUUAGGGCCCGUAGGUAUAAACCGCCAUAUAUGUAAAACGUGUAUUGUAAGGCAUGUAAAGAUAGUCACUGAGUCGGACACGUUGUCUAUGAGCCAUCCGGGACUCUAUGAUCCGCUGGGCGUCGACCUGUCUAUAUAAAGGGACGACCCGACGGCGGUUCAGGACAAGAAACAAGAGAUCGAAAGCUAGGUCAAGCAGAUUUGCUCCCUGAUAAUCGAGACAUAAAAAAUACCACCCAAAACUGGAUUAUAGGCUUUUACCUUCACCACAAGGGGCCGAACUAGUAUAAACCCUGUGUCCUUUGUCCUAUUUAACCCCUUUAAGCUAACCUAGAGGCGAUGGCUCCACGACUAAGUCCUUUCACGAGGACAUUUGUCGUGACUAUUCCACGACAGCUCUCCUCCCGAUGAGCACGUGCAGGUGUCUGAUCGCAUGCCUUCGGUAAUCAAAUAGCUACCCCACAUGGCACCUCCUAGCCAAUAAAAAAAGGAACGCGUGGUGGCACGUAAUUGGUAAGUAGAACGCCCACGGUUUCAAUAAUAGUUGUGUUUCCGAUUUGUAACGUGACAACACUUGUUCCAAAAUGACUUUGUUGAUUUUUAAUGUGUGCGUCUUCGCAAAUCGGACAGAAAAAUUACCACAGCAUGUUGGUGCCAUGUCAUGACACCAUGCCAAGUUUCAUGAUUUUCAGGCAUGUUUUGGACACCAUGCCAAGUUUCAUGAUUUUCAGACGUGAUUUUCAAGCAUGUUUUGGACACCAUGCCAAGUUUCAUGAUUAACCGCAGAAUGUUGGUGUCAUCAUGACACCAUGCCAAGUUUCAUGAUUUUCAGACGUGUUUUGGAUUUACAUCAAUUAAAAAACCAAGUUUCUCAAUCUUUCCGGCCGAGCCAUGACGCCCAGAUGUUUGAAUUUCAUUCUCAUUUCUUGCACGGGACUUAGAAAUUCACCCAAGAACACACAUGUGAUUUUUCAACCAACUUUGGUGCACUGGAGCAUGUGCUUGUAGUUCAAAUUUGAAUUAUGCAUAUUAAAUGCCCGGAAAUUCAACUAAUGUAUAAAAGAGUCCAAAUGAAUCCAGAAUAAUUCCACAAUUUUGCAUGAUACUUCUAUUUGGUCUAAUAUGCCCGUGUAAAAAAAUUAAGGUGGGAGAAGACAGUGUACGUAUGUCGUUUCGCACACGGAGGUGACACGUUCCCUCUCGGAACCACGAGCCUUCUUGAGAGAAGCUCCAGUUUGCAAGAAGCUUAUACCAAAGCUUGUCCCAAUUCGGCCAAAAAAAUAAUCGCAACAUGUUGGUGCCAUGUCAUGACACCAUGCCAAGUUUCAUGAUUUUUAGGUGUGUUUUGGAUUUACAUGAAUUAAAAAACCAAGUUUCUCAAAAUUUCCAGCCGAGCCACGACGCCCAGAUGUUUGAAUUUCAUUCUCAUUUCUCGCAUGGGACCUAUAAAUUCACCCAAGGACACACAUGUGAUUUUUUUCAACCAACUUUGGUGCACUAGAGCAUGUGCAUGUAGCUUAAAUUUGAAUUAUGCACAUUAAAUGACCAAAAAUUCAAUUAAUGUAUAAAAAAGGUCAAACAAACCCGGAAUAAUUCCAAAAUUUAGCACGAUACUUAUAUUUGGUCUAAUCUGCCUGUGUAAAUAAAUUAAGGCGGAGGAAGGCAGUGUACGUAUGUCGUUUCGCACAUGGAGGUGACACGUUCCUCUCGGAACCACAAGCCCUGUUGAGAGAACCUCCGGUUUGCAAGAGGCUUAUACCAAAGCUUGUCCCAAUUCGGCCAAAAAAUUUACCGCAGAAUGUUGGUGUCAUCAUGACACCAUGCCAAGUUUCAUGAUUUUCAGACGUCUUUUAGAUUUACAUCAAUUAAAAAACCAAGUUUCUCAAUCUUUCCGGCCGAGCCAUGACACCCAGAUGUUUGAAUUUCAUUCUCAUUUCUUGCACGGGACCUAGAAAUUCACCCAAGAACACACAUGUGAUUUUUCAACCAACUUUGGUGCAUUGGAGCAUGUGCUUGUAGUUCAAAUUUGAAUUAUGCAUAUUAAAUGACCAUAAAUUCAAUUAAAGUAUAAGAAAGUCCAAACGAACCCGAAAUAAUUCCAAAUUUUAACACGGCACUAAAAUAGUUCUAUGUUGCCUCUGUAAAAAAAUAAGGGGGCGGGAGGCAGCAUAUAUCGUUUCGAACACAAAGGUGACAUGUCCCCCCCCCCUCGGGAACCACGAGUCUUCUCGAGAGAAGCUCCGGUUUGCAAGAAGCUUAUACCAAAAACUUGUCCAAAUGCAGCCAAUUGUUUUACCUCAACAUGUUGGUGCCAUGAAAUGACACCAUGCUAUGUUUCGUGAUUUUCAUGUGAGUUUUGAAUUUCCAGGAAUUUAAAAAUCAAGUUUCUCAAUGUUCCUGACCGAGCCACGACGCCCAGAUAUUUGAAUUUCAUUCCCAUUUCUUGCAUGGGGCCUAUAAAUUCAGCCAAAGACACACAUGUGAUUUUUCAACAAAUUUUGGUGCACUGGAGCAUGUGCUUGUACUUCAAAUUUGAAUUAUGCACAUUAAACGUCAAGAAACUCAAUUAAUCCAUAAAAAUGCCAAACAAAGCCGGAAUAAUUCCAAAUUUAAACAUGACAAUCAUGUAGUUGCAUGUUCACUGUACAUAAAUGUUCUAGCAAUUCAAACACCAUCCCUUCCCUCCAUAACACUGAUAACCCACAAGUGUAGGGGAUCGCAACAGUUUUCGAUAAGUAAGAGUGUCGAACCCAACGAGGAGCUAAAGGUAGAAUAAAUAUUCCCUCAAGUUCUAUCGACCACCGAUACAACUCUACGCACGCUUGACGUUUGCUUUACCUAGAACAAGUAUGAAACUACAAGUACUUUGUAGGUGUGAUAGGAUAGGUUUGCAAGAUGAUAAAGAACACGUAAAUAAAAAGUAGGGGCUGUUUAGAUAAAGAUGCAAUAAAGUAAAUAUAGCGAGUGUGGAAAAGUGGUGGUAGGAGUUGUGGAAUUGUCCCUAACCAAUUGACUAUGUUACUAGACCGGUAAUCACUAUUGCAAUUCUAUUUGAGGGAGAGGCAUAAGCUAACAUACUUUCUCUACUUGGAUCAUAUGCACUUAUGAUUGGAACUCUAGCAAGCAUCCGCAACUACUAAAGAUUCAUUAAGGUAAAACCCAACCAUAGCAUUAAAGCAUCAAGUCCCCUUUUAUCCCAUAUGUAAACAACCUACUUACUCGGGUUUGUGCUUCUGUUCACUCAUGCCACCCACCAUAAGCAAAUCAUAAACAUAUUGCAAACCCUACAGCGGGAAUCCCUCACGCUUGCGCGACACGGAGGGCACCAUAGGACAGCACCAAUAAUAAAACAUGCAACUCAAACCAAUCAUAGCAAUUCAUCAAUCACCGAUAGGACAACGAAAAUCUACUCAGACAUCAUAGGAUGGCAACACAUCAUUGGAAAAUAAUAUGAAGCAUAAAGCACCAUGUUCAAGUAGAGAGUACAGCGGGAUGCGGGAGAGUGGACCGCUGAAUAUAGACGGGGGAAGGUGAUGGAGAUGUUGGUGAAGACGGCGGAGGUGUUGAUGUAGAUCGCGGUGAUGAUGAUGGCCCCCGGCAGCGUUCCGGUGCCACCGGAAGCAAGGGGGAGAGGGCCCCCUUUCUUCUUAUUCUUCCUUGACCUCCUCCCUAGAUGGGAGAAGGGUUUCCCCUCUGGUCCUUGGCUCCCAUGGCGUGGGAGGGGCGAGAGCCCCUCCGAGAUUGGAUCUAUCUCUCUGUUUCUGCGUUCUCUGAUUCUACCCCUUCACCGUUUCCUUUAUAUCUGGAGAUCCGUAACUCCGAUUGGGGUGAAUCUUUUGCUCAGAUUUUUCUCGUAAAAUUAGCUUUCUUGCGGCAAAAGUAGAGCAUCAACCAUCUUACGGGUGGCCCACGAGAGCCCAGGGCGCGCCCAGGGGUAGGGGGCGCGCCCCCUGUCUCGUGGCCACCUCGGACACUGUUUCGCGUUGAUUCUUCCUCCGGAAAAUCCAAAUUUUACAAAAUAAUUCUCCGUCCUUUUUAUCCCGUUUGGACUCCGUUUGAUAUUGGUUUUCUGCGAAACAUAAAACAUGCAACAAACAGGAACUGGCACUGGGCACUGGAUCAAUAUGUUAGUCCCAAAAAUAGUAUAAAAAGUUGCCAAAAAUAUAUGAAAGUUGAAGAAUAUUGGCAUGGAACAAUCAAAAAUUAUAGAUACGACGGAGACGUAUCAGCAUCCCCAAGCUUAAUUCCUACUCGUCCUCGAGUAGGUAAAUGAUAAAAAAAAUUGAUGUGGAAUGCUACCUAGCAUAAUCUUGAUCAUAUGUCUAAUCAUGGCAUGAAUAUUAAGAUACGAGUGAUUCAAUGCAAUAGUCUAUCGUUUGACAUAAAAACAAUAAUACUUCAAGCAUGCCAACCAAACAAUUAUGUCUUAUCGAAAUAACAUAGCCAAAGAAAGCUCAUCCCUACAAAAUCAUAUAGUCUGGCUAUGCUCCAUCUUCGUCACACAAAAUACUACCAUCAUGCACAACCCCGAUGACGAGCCGAGCAAUUGGUUCAUACUUUUUAAAGCGCUUCAGCUUUUUCAACUCUUACGCAAUACAUGAGCGCAAGCCAUGGACAUAGCACUAUGGUGGUAUAUGGUGGUGGUUGUGAGGACAAAAAAAGGGAGAAGAUAGUCUCACAUCAACUAGGCGUAUCAAUGGGCUAUGGAGAUGCCCGUCAAUAGAUAUCAAUGUGAGUGAGUAGGGACUGCCAUGCAACGGAUUCACUAGAGCUAUAAAUAUAUGAAAGCUCAGCAAAAGAAACUAAGUGGGUGUGCAUCCAACUUGCUUGCUCACGAAGACCUAGGGCAUUUUGAGGAAGCCCAUCAUUGGAAUAUACAAGCCAAGUUCUAUAAUGAAAAAUUCCCACUAGUAUAUGAAAGUGAAAGCAUAGGAGACUCUCUCUAUGAAGAACAUGGUGCUACUCUGAAGCACAAGUGUGGUAAAAAGAUAGUAACAUUGCCCCUUCUCUCUUUUUCUCUCAUUUUUUUUCAUUUUUUCUUUCUUUUUGGUGGGCUUCUUUGGCCUCUUUUUUUAUUUGGGCUUCUUUGGCCUCUUUUAUUUUUAAUAAAGUCUAGAGUCUCAUCCCGACUUGUGGGGGAAUCAUAGUCUCCUUCAUCCUUUCCUCACUGGAGCAAUGCUCUAAUAAUGAUGAUCAUCACACUUUUAUUUACUUACAACUCAAUAUUACAACUCGAUACUAGAACAAAGAUAUGACUCUAUAUGAAUGCCUUCGGCGGUGUACCGGGAUGUGCAAUGGUCUAGCAUAGCAACGACAUCAAAAAAACGGACAAGCCAUGAAAACAUCAUGCUAGCUAUCUUACGAUCAUGCAAAGCAAUAUGACAAUGAAUUCUCAAGUCAUGUAUAUGAUGAUGAUGGAAGUUGCAUGGCAAUAUAUCUUGGAAUGGCUAUGGACAUGCCAUAAUAGGUAGGUAUGGUGGCUGUUUUGAGGAAGGUAAAUAAUGAGUUCAUGAUACCGGCGAAAUUUGCUCGGCACAAUAGAGGCUAGCAAAGUGGAAGGGUGAGUGUGUGUAUAUCCAUGGACUCACAUUAGUCAUAAAGAACUCAUAUACUUAUUGCAAAAGUCUACUUAGCCCUCGAAGCAAAGUACUACUACGCAUGCCCCUAGGGGGAUAGAUUGGUAGGAAAAGACCAUCGCUCGUCCCCGACUGCCACUCAUAAGGAAAGCAAUCAAACAGCACAUCAUGCUCCAACUUCAUUACAUAAUGGUUCACCAUACGUGCAUGCUACGGGACUUGCAAACCUCCACACAAGUAUUUCUCAAUUUCACAAUUACUCAACUAGCACGACUCUAAUAUCACCACCUUUAUAUCACAAAACUAUUGCAAGGAAUCAAACAUAUCAUAUUCAGCGAUCUACAAGUUUAUGUAGGAUUUUAUAACUAACCAUGUGAAUGACCAAUUCCCGCCAUCUCUCUAAAAAGAUAUAAGUGAAGCAAGAGAGUUUAAUUCUUUCUACAAAAGAUAUGCCCACGCUCUAACAAAUAUAAAUGAAGCAAAAGAGCAUUCUACAAAUGGCGGUUUUCUAUGUGAAGAGAAACAGGCAAUCCAAACUUCAAACGAUAUACGUGAAGCACAUGAAGCAUCCACUACUAGGGAAAAGCCUAGCAGCAGCGCGGGUUUUAGGCCUAUCAGUAGCGUGGGCAGGAGCGCUACUGAUAAGGCGCUACAGCUAAAGCUUAGCAAUAGCGUGCCUAGACCCACGCUACUGCUAAAUUGACUUAGUAGUAGCGCUUCUCCAGAAGAGCGCUACUGGUAAUUAGUAGUAGCGCUUCUCCUUGCCCGCACUACUACUAUUAUUUAGUAUUUUAUUUCUUUUUUAUUUCAUGUUGUAUUCAUACACCUUUACACAAGUUUUCAUACAACAGGAAUUUAGAGAUUGUUUUUACAUCAUAAUGAGUUAUUACAUCACGGGGUGAAAGAACCAUGGACUAGUUUCAAGUGGAUGUCCAUCCACUUGAAACUAAUCCGCGGUUCUUUCACCCAAUGAUAUAAUAAUAUCAUCAUCAUCAUCAUAUCAUUAACAACUUAUCAUCAUAAUACAUCAUUGUCAUAUAACACCUCCUCAAGAUCAACUUAGCAAAUUGGUCACUAGUCGUAAUCACAAGUACUCCUCAUUAUCAACUCUAACACAUUACCACAUAAUAAACAUAUUGUACCUCAUAGGGCCUACUACAUUCGAUUAAGACCUACUACAUUUUCUAAGGUAAAAUAGCAAAAAAACAAGAUAGCCCCUGACUCUCCAUUAUGGAGAAUGGAGAUUAGCCUGUCUCCAAUUCUUUCCUUUCGCUGAAUGUUACUUCCAAGAACCUCCUUGCGAAUGUCCAUACAUUUCUUCCAUUCUUUGAUGAACAUGUGUUCACCGGUUUUAGAAAUCCGAUAUGCACAGGUGAGCUCCCUAGAUUUACCUGGUAGUAUGUUCAGAACUGUAAGGCGACCAUUCAGAUACAUCAGAUGAGGCACACAAUCCAUCGGGAGUUUCUGUUGAAAAACAUAGUAAUAACUUCAUAGUUAGCAAUGAUGUACUAGUUUUAGAAGUAUGCAAAAGAUGCACGGAUGUCGUAAUAGUAAAAAAUCUUACAAGGGUAUCUCCAGAGAAGUUACCGUGGUUCAACACGUGCACUAGUGGCACGUAUUCACCAUAAUUUGGAGGAGUUCGAUAAUAGUUAUUGUAAUCCUCAAGAAGAGUACAAAAUGCGAUCUGAUGAUUUUUCUCCUUAUAAGUUAAUUCGGAGCCAUCAGUGUAGUGGGUUUUGUCUACCAUCUUCCGCACAGUCUUUGAAGAAUCAAAAUAAGCUGUCAAUGGAAAUAAGUUGUCAACUAUUUUGAAAUAAACAUUAUAAAUUAGUUAAUAACUAUGUUUGAGAAACUCACAUAGCGGUACAAUCGGAAGCAUAUCAACAAGGACCCAAAUGUCCAUAUUGUCUUGCUCGAUGUCAGGAUUACCAAGAUCCAUGGUGACAAUCAUACCCUCAUAAAAACCAUACAUUUUGCAAAGUGCUUCCCAAUUUUGGCAACCAAAAUGGGUUACACUCUGAGCAUUGCACAAAUUUACUUCAAAAUCCAUAUCAUGAUGGGUCCUUAGGUGUAUUUUCUUUGUUUCAAAAUUUUCAUGGUCUUCAAAACCCAUCCUCUCCAAGACAUAGCGUCUUGCAUGGCAUGGGAUAAGCUAGUCAAAUUGUAAAAGAUGAAAAUUAGACGUUGAAAUAGUUGAAGUCAUGCUUAAUUACGAAAAAAAACACUUGUCAUUGUUCCGUACCGUUUCAACAUCGAAGGUCUCCUCGAGCUUAAUGCUGAAGCGCCGAUCUUCAUCCAGCUCAACGAACCUAUCGCACAUACCUCGAUCGUCGUGGCACCAGCUGCACUCCCCCGGGAGACUGUCGUCGUCCGAGUACGACAUUUCCUACGUUCAUAAUUCAAAGAUUAAACUUGUACAUAUUCUAGCACAAGUCGUGCCAGAAUUCACGGAAAAAUCCGGCAUGACCUUUGCGAAAAAAGGACAUAUCGAGCGCCUGAAAUUUGCCGGAACGGAAAUUAAUCAACACUCCGGCAAAACAUAGGCCACUCGGAGGUGUAACCAAAACAUGAAAUAAUUGAUGAAACUAAAAAAUAACAACAAAUAUGACAUGUUCAACUAGUUCUAUUAAUUCAACUAGUUCUUACUAAUUAUAAACUUACUAUAAAUAGAAAGAAACUAGUUCUUUCUAAAAAUAAAGUAGUUCAACUAGUUAUUAAUUUACUUACUAAACUAGUUCAACUAAAACUAAACUAGUUCAACUAAAACUAAACUAGUUCUAUUAAUUCAAUUCGUUCUUACUAAAUAUAAACUUACUAUAAAUAGAAAGAAACUAGUACAUCUACUACUACUAAUUAACAUCUACUACUACAUCUACUACUAAUUAACAUCUACUACUGCUAAUUAUACAACUAGUUUACCAUCACUACUACUAAUUAAUAUCCACUACUACUAAAAAUCAUUAUCUAUGAACCCUAAAUUAACAUCUACUAGUACUAAAAUCAUCUACUAACUAAGCAAAGAGGGAGGGGUAGGGGAGGGGUGGGGGGCUUACAGAGGGAGAGACGGUGGCGGGGAGGUGCUCAGCGACGAAGGUAGGGGCGGCGAGGGUGGGCUCGGGAUCGGGAGGCGGCGGUCCUGGAGUAGGUCGAGAGCGGCGGCGGGCGGCGGCGGUGAGGGUGUGGUCGAGAGCGGCGACAGGCGAGGAGGCGGCGAGGGUGUGGUCGAGAGCGGCGGCGGGCCGCAACGGUCAGGUUGAGUGCGGGCUCGGGCGGCGGCGGUGAGGGCAGGCUCGGGCUCGGGCGGCGGCGACAGGAGUAGGGGAACAGGCCGGGGGGUGAAAGGAGGACUUAGCAAAAAUUUUGAGCUGGGGGUGGUUAAGUCGAACUAGCAGUAGCGCUCAUAAGGAAAAUGCGCUAUAGCUAACUUAUCUAUAGCGUGUUCUAGUGAAAAAUGCUACUGCUAAUGGAAGCAGUUAUUUCUUUUAUUUAUCCCAAUAUCAGUAACGCUUUGUCCUGAAAAAAUGCUCUAAGUCUAAGCAAUGUAAAAACAUCAAAAAUAUACAUUGGUCAUCAUUGAUCUUUUUGUUUAGAAUCUAAAUAGUCAACAUGAAUCCUCACUGUACCUGUAUAGGUACAGGCGAGGAUUCAUAUUGCAGCCACAAAUCAUACACAUAUAGUUCAAUGAAGACCAAGUGCUCGAGAUAGGUUGAGAAGUAACAUAUUUAAGGUGGUAAACACCUUGUUCUCCUAGCAGUAUGGGACUAAACUUAAUUAGUUGCGGUGAUACUUAGCAGUAGCGAGUUUUGAUGAAAAACGCUGCUACUAAGUACUUUAGCAGUAGCGCGUCCCUUGGAAGGGCGCUACUACUAUAUCUAGCCUGGAGGCAACACCGUGGCAAUUAUAGUAGUAGCGCUCGUUUCACCUAGAGCGCUACUGCUAAUUAUAUAUUAGUAGCGCUCUUUACUGAAGCUUGCUACUGCUAAUUAGCAGUAGCGUCUGUUUUUAAACCACACUGCUGCUAAGAUUCUGUGUAUAAGGUUUUCCCUAGUAGUGAUUCUAUAAAGCCAUACUCAAAAGAUUUAAAUGAAGUGCAAUGAGAAUUCUAUAAAUCAACCAGGGACUAUCUCAUACCAGCAUGGUGCAUAAAACAAAAGUGAAAACUAAAUGCAAAAGACGCUCCAAAACUUGCACAUAAUGCAUGAACGAAAUGAAUCCGAAAACAUACCGAUACUUGUUGAAGAAAGAGGGGAUGCCUUCCGGGGCAUCCCCGAGCUUAGACGCUUGAGUCUCCUUGAAUAUUUACUUGGGGUGCCUUGGGCAUCCCCAAGCUUGAUCUCUUGCCUCUCUUCCUUUUCCUCAUAUCGAAACCUCCUCGAUUAGACACUUCAUCCACACAAAACUUCAACGAAAAACUCGGUAAGAUCCGUUAGUAUAAUAAAGCAAAUCACUACUCUAAGUACUGUUGCAAACCAAUUCAUAUUUUUUUUUUGCAUUGUGUCUACUGUAAUAUAACUUUUCCAUGGCUUAAUCCACUAAUAUAAAUUGAUAGUUUCAUCAAAACAAGCAAACUAUGCAUCAAAACAGAAUCUGUCAAAAAUAGAACAUUCUGUAGCAAUCUGAACAUUCACCAUACUUCUGUUACCCCAAAAAUUCUACCAAAAUUAGGAAAACUAAACAAGUUGUACAGCAAGACAGUGCAAAAGGAGUCAGAACCGUUUGACUUUCCAGUUAGAAAUGUAAAAUCGCACACUACAGCCAAAGAUUCUGUCCUGCACCAUACAAACCAACAAGCAUUGUAAACAUCCUAAAGGCAAACCUUGGCACAUUACUUUUAUAAUACAAUGGAAUUGUACAAGGGGAUAAUUAUUUUUGAUGGAAAGUUUCUGUAAUCAAGAUUCACAAAGUUUCCGUGAGCAUGAACAAAGUUCAAGGAGCUCUCCCACAUCAACAAUGCUUAUCUCUCUCACUUUCACUUUCCUUUUUGAAAAUUUUUUAGGUUCCCCUCUUUAUUAUUUUUUUGUUUUUAAACUAUAUGAAAGCACUCAACAGAAAUAAAUGACUCUCUAAAACUUCCGGGUUGUCUCCCUGGCAGCGCUUUCUUUAAAGCCAUUAAGGUAGGCAUAUAGUGCUCAAGUAAUGAAUCCACCCGGAUCCCAAGGUAUAUCAAAGCCAAUUUUAAUUAACAAUGAUUUGUAAUUUAGUAGUGAGCACAAAGUAUUAUAUAUCAAGCAACAACGAAGUCUAACUCUCUUCCUAUGCAUCGGCAUGUCAUAAAAGAACAAUUCAUGCACACAUAAUAAAGGCCAACGCAUAGUAUAAGUAGUUUCUUGCAAUUUCAUAGUAUGGGAAACAUAGAGAGGUGGAUAAAUAGUUCCUCUCUCAUAAUAAUUGCAAGUAGGAGCAGCAAGCACAUGCAUAUUACAUUCAUCAAAAUCAUCAUGUGCAAUGGUAAAAGGCAACCCAUCAAUAUAAUCCUUAAUAAGCAUAAACUUCUCCGAUAUAGUGUAGUAGGGAGAAUUCAGAAAGAUAAUAGGACUAUCAUGCGUGGGUGCAAUAGCAACAAUUUCAUGUUUAACAUAAGGAACUAUAGCAAGUUCAUCUCCAUAAGCAUAAUUCAUAUUGGCAUCUCGGCCACAAGCAUAGCAAGCAUCAUCAAAAAGGGAUAUUUCAAACAAAUUCAAGGGAUCAUAGCAAUCAUCAUAGAAUCAUCCUUCAGUAAGCACGAAGGGGAAUUAAAUAAUGUAUGAGUUGGAGGGUUACUCUCAUUAGAAGCUGGGCACGGGUAGCUAAUCCGCUCUUCCUCCUUUUGUUCUUCGCUCUCCUCAUCAUCUUUUUCCAAUGAGCUCACAGUUUCAUGAAUUUCUUCUUCCAUAGCUUCCUGCAAAAUAUUAGUCUCUUCUUGGACAGCAGGGUAGGCCUCAAUAUAUAGUUUAACAUAGGCAUUAGAAGCAUAAUUAUCAUAGCAAUAUUCAAGUAUGGCAAAAUUUUCAGAUUUGUAGAGAGUAGCAUCAUAUUUUUCAAUCAAAGAAGCAAUUUCAUAUGCACCCUUAAAAGCAACAAAUUCUUCAAUUUGUUGAACAUCAUAGUAAUUAUAAACACCCUUAGCAUAUGAAUAUACGAUUCCAUUAUCACUAAACAAGAAUUGUUAGGGAAGGUGUUUCUUAGGGUUUUCAGAACAACAAGUAACAUCAUAUAAUUCACAUAAAGUCCAAGCAUAGCAUUGCAAACAUUAAAUUUGAUCCCAUAAUAGUUUCCCUUUUUCAUAUAUACGGUGUCGCACAUAACAAGCAUGCUCAUCUAAAGAUUUGCCCUCAACUAAGCUAGUUGGGGUUUCAGCACGAGCACAAAGGGAUCGAAGAUGAUCCAAGUAAAAAGCUUCAGUAGUGUGAUAGAUUUUGAGUGGUUCUUCAACCAUUGGUGCAGUAGGUACAACUAAUUUUUUUGGUAUUUUGCGUUUCCUACCCAUAACUAAAGAUAGAAAACAACUAAGAACAGCAAAUAAAAAUUACUUAGUGAUAAAGCAAACAAGCACAAACGAGAAUAUUCACCCCACGCUAUGACUCCCCGGCAACGGCGCCAGAAAAAGGUCUUGAUAACCCACAAGUAUAGGGGAUCGCAACAGUUUUCGAUAAGUAAGAGUGUCGAACCCAACGAGGAGCUAAAGGUAGAAUAAAUAUUCCCUCAAGUUCUAUCGGCCACCGAUACAACUCUACGCACACUUGACGUUCGCUUUAACUAGAACAAGUAUGAAACUAGAAGUACUUUGUAGGUGUGAUAGGAUAGGUUUGCAAGAUGAUAAAUAACACGUAAAUAAAAAGUAGGGGCUGUUUAGAUAAAGAUGCAAUAAAGUAAAUAUAGCGAGUGUGGAAAAGUGGUGGUAGGAGUUGUGGAAUUGUCCCUAACCAAUUGACUAUGUUACUAGACCGGUAAUCACUAUUGCAAUUCUAUUUGAGGGAGAGGCAUAAGCUAACAUACUUUCUCUACUUGGAUCAUAUGCAAUUAUGAUUGGAACUCUAGAAAGCAUCCGCAACUACUAAAGAUUCAUUAAGGUAAAACCCAACCAUAGCAUUAAAGCAUCAAGUCCCCUUUUAUCCCAUACAUAAACAACCUACUUACUCUGGUAUGUGCUUCUGUUCACUCACUCCACCCACCAUAAGCAAAUCAUAAACAUAUUGCAAACCCUACAGCGGGAAUCCCUCACGCUUGCGCGACAUGGAGGGCACCAUAGGAGAGAACCAAUAAUAAAACAUGCAACUCAAACCAAUCAUAGCAAUUCAUCAAUCACCGAUAGGACAACGAAAAUUUACUCAGACACCAUAGGAUGGCAACACAUCAUUGGAAAAUAAUAUGAAGCAUAAAGCACCAUGUUCAAGUAGAGAGUACAGCGGGAUGCGGGAGAGAGGACCGCUGAAUAUAGACGAGGGAAGGUGAUGGACAUGUUGGUGAAGACGGCGGAGGUGUUGGUGUAGAUCGCGGUGAUGAUGAUGGCCCCCGACAGCGUUCCGGCGCCACCGGAAGCAAGGGGGAGAGGGCCCCCCUUCUUCUUAUUCUUCCUUGACCUCCUCCCUAGAUGGGAGAAGGGUUUCCCCUCUGGUCCUUGGCUCCCAUGGCUUGGUAGGGGCGAGAGCCCCUCCGAGAUUGGAUCUAUCUCUCUGUUUCUGCGUUCUUUGAUUCUACCCCUUCACCGUUUCCUUUAUAUCUGGAGAUCCGUAACUCCGAUUGGGGUGAAUCUUUUGCCCAGAUUUUUCUCGUAAAAUUAGCUUUCUUGCGGGUGGCCCAGGAGAGCCCAGGGCGCGCCCAGGGGUAGGGGGCGCGCCCCCCUGUCUCAUGGCCACCUCGGACACUGUUUCGCGUUGAUUCUUCCUCCGGAAAAUCCCAAAUAUUCCAAAAUAAUUCUCCGUCCGUUUUUAUCCCGUUUGGACUCCGUUUGAUAUUGGUUUUCUGCGAAACAUAAAACAUGCAACAAACAGGAACUGGCACUGGGCACUGGAUCAAUAUGUUAGUCCCAAAAAUAGUAUAAAAAGUUGCCAAAAAUAUAUGAAAGUUGAAGAAUAUUGGCAUGGAACAAUCAAAAAUUAUAGAUACGACGGAGACGUAUCAAACACCAUUUUGUCUUUCAAAACAUAAAGAAAAAAGGUAUACCACAAACAGUUUACUAGAAAGAAUCGUGUGGGAUGCAAUAUAAAACAUCUUGGCGCACCGUCUUGUCUGGCUUACGCAGGAAGCUUCGUGGUCUACAGUCCAUCGCUCCCACUUGAACCACACUUGCGCGCAAGUUUCUCGCGGCACCGAGCGAAAAAAAUUUGCCACCGUGGAAAUAUCUAUCUCCCCACCCCCUCCGUCCCACCAAAAGCCACAUUUCCAUUGUUCCACCUUGCUUUCCAAGUUCAAACCUUCACUUCUGCUUACUGGCAGCUCAGCCUCCUCGGCGGCGACCCUUCUUCUUGUAGCGCCACCUCCUUGCCAGCUACCCUUCUUCUUGCAGCUCCGCCUCCUCGUCGGUGACCCUUCUUCUUGCUGCGCGUCCUCCUCACCGCUGACCCUUCUUCUUGCUAUGUAGCCUCGUCGAUAUGGUCAGGUAAUCCACAUCCCACCCACACCAUCCUCCUUCUUUCCCGUCCCACAUGCCCCGACCGACGGCGCGAAACCUUCCGCCGAAAUCACUGUCCCCCUACUCCAACUAAGCACCGCCCACAGCCAUUUUGCAUGCAGUAUAACAUGGAGCUCAGUAGCAUAUGGUAGCGGAGAAGCAAAUUACGGCCGCAGACGCGCACGAGGUUUCUAUGGCUGCCAUGCGUGCCGACCGCCAAAACUUGGAGGAGCACCUUGUCUUCGAGGCCAUCAUCGACACCGCCACGCGGUUGUCCACUUUAAAAUACAGUUUGUGCUGUUUUCUUGAGGCCACCGCCAAUGUCUUCUAGUGAUUUGCCCUCUGUAAUGCUAAUAUGCAAUCUGAUGUUCAGUUUAUAGUUUGGUCCUCUGAAAUGUAAUGUUCAGUUAACAGUUUGGUCCAACAAUUGCUGCAUUUCGUAGAAGUUUUCUCAAGCAUUUUUGUUUUGUUAACUGUCUUAUCUUCUAGUACAUGUUUCUAUUCUGCAAUGUCGGGCUUAGUUAACUAUUUUGAUUCAUUUGGUAUGUUGUCCAUUUAACUGUUUGGUACAGUUCUGCAAUUUGAUUUCCAUUUGCUGUGGGUACAAUUUUGUAUUGUUACGCAUGUGAAAUAAAUUGAAUUUGGCUUUACUCAAUAGAUAUUCUAUUGAUAUUAUGACAACUCUUAGUUAACCUGGUCAAGAUCUUCCUUAUGUGUGUUGCUAGGAAACAAUGGGACACACCGCGGUUUACCAUCGAGGUUUGUUCAAGCAUGGUCCUUUGGCUAAUAGCACAUUAUUGUGGAUUUGCAGGAAUCAUUCUAAUAUUUAGGUUUCUUACAAUUUGGUCUUGCACAUGUAGGUCCUGCUAUCAGAGGCUUGGACCCACUAUUCGACCCAUUUUGCAUAUGAGGAAAUGAGAUGUCUGUGAAUAUAAGUCAAGUUAAGAAACUCAGAAAGAUUGUUAGGAUGAAGAAACUUGCGAAGAAUAACAGCAAGAUCUUUGUUUGCACAAUGAAGAAGACAUCAGUCAAUUAUAGGAUGGUACUAACUCUUUUACCUUGUUUUUACCCCUUGCACCAUCAGUCGACUAUAGGAUGGUACUAACUCUUUUACCUUGUUUGCAUAUCUUUGUUUUCAGAACUUUUCAAAAUAGUUCACCAAUGAUUACCUCUCAAACCACCUGCAUGGUCAAGAGGCGAGGAAGGUAUUCAUUCAACACCCACGAUACAACAUUGAAGUCUUGCUGAAGAGGACGAAGGUUGGACGGGCAAUUAUCCAUAGCCACUGGCCUAAAGUUGCAAGGACAUUCAACAUGACUGAAGUCUCAACUUUGCCUUCCGCUUUUGCACUUUCCCAGAUGAGAUUCAUCUAUCUAUUUACCGUGUAUGAUGCUAUUCCAAAGGUUUUUGAUGUUGCAUGUGUAACUUGGUGCUGUUGUGUAAUGGCAGAACUGAGUGCUGAAGCUAUUUGAUGUAAUUCGAUUAUGAAAUCCUGGUUGCUGUAAUACGGAUAUGAAAUAUCUAGUGUGUUUUAUAAGAAAUAUCAAUUUGAUUAGUACAUGGAUUAUCAGUAAUAGGCUAAUUACCCUGCUUAUUGGGGUUUUCUGUUGCAGACGGUUACUCAGACAACACCAUGGGCGAUGAACUCAAACAACACGCACAGUUUCUAGAAAGUAGGUGUGUUCGGUCAACUAACAAUCACACAUGGCUUCCGGUAGAGAAUUGUUUGCGUUAGGCCACCUUGCACAAAUGUUUCCACACAAAAAACUGUGUGAUAUACAUACGAGCGGAAAUGUUUUUUCUGGGAUUCAUCAUGUGGGAUGUACAUACGAACGGAAACAAUUGGGUUUCGAUGCCCCACCAGAUCGCACACGAACUCAUUUUUCCCCAGCCAGUGUGCCAGGAGGGCCUAUCCCCGACGGUUUCUGGGUCGUAUGGGAAGGACCCCCCCCCCCCAUCGCCCACACNNNNNNNNNNNNNNNNNNNNNNNNNNNNNNNNNNNNNNNNNNNNNNNNNNNNNNNNNNNNNNNNNNNNNNNNNNNNNNNNNNNNNNNNNNNNNNNNNNNNNNNNNNNNNNNNNNNNNNNNNNNNNNNNNNNNNNNNNNNNNNNNNNNNNNNNNNNNNNNNNNNNNNNNNNNNNNNNNNNNNNNNNNNNNNNNNNNNNNNNNNNNNNNNNNNNNNNNNNNNNNNNNNNNNNNNNNNNNNNNNNNNNNNNNNNNNNNNNNNNNNNNNNNNNNNNNNNNNNNNNNNNNNNNNNNNNNNNNNNNNNNNNNNNNNNNNNNNNNNNNNNNNNNNNNNNNNNNNNNNNNNNNNNNNNNNNNNNNNNNNNNNNNNNNNNNNNNNNNNNNNNNNNNNNNNNNNNNNNNNNNNNNNNNNNNNNNNNNNNNNNNNNNNNNNNNNNNNNNNNNNNNNNNNNNUAAAUCCUAAAAGAUUCCCAAACCAUCAGAGGAAUCCACAAAAGUACUUUUUCGCAGCUGCAAGCCUCUGUUCCCGUGAGAUCCCGUCUUGGGGCCUUUUUCGGUGAUCUUUCGGAGGGGGAAUCGAUCACGGAGGGCAUCUACAUCAACUUUGUUGCCCUUCCGAGGAAGCAUGAGUAGUUUACCACAGACCUACGGGUCCAUAGAUAGUAGCUAGAUGGCUUCUUCUCUCUCUUUGAUCGUCAAUACAAUGUUCUCCUUGAUGUUCUUGGAGAUCUAUCCGAUGUAAUCUUAUUUUGCGGUGUAUUUGUCGAGAUCCAAUGAAUUGUGGUUUUAUGAUCACCUUUUCUAUGAAUAUUAUUUGAAUCUUCCCUGAAUUCUUAUAUGCAUGAUUUGAUAUCUUCGUAUUUCUCUUCGAGGUCUGCAUUGUCUUAGUUCGAACAGUAUCACAAAGCCAUUUGCAGAUAUGUGAAAGUAUUUUUCUCUCAAAGAAAGGGAGGGCCCUUAAGAACUGCAGAUAGGGUGUGUCAGGUACAUCCUUGCUGGCAUGGGUAUAAAGAUAGCUUGUUCUAUGGUUAAGUUUAUAGACAUGAUCAUCUGAGCUAGUUCUAGCAAUGAUACGAAAAUAUAGCAGAAUAUGAACACACGCUUGUGGUUUGUGGUGAACUAAAACUACUAGUAGAAUGCCCGUGCGUUGCUACGGGCUUUUGAAAUAUUUUCCUUGAGUUAUGUGAACAUCAUUGAACAUACUCAUCAGAAUACCAGUUGGAAAUAAAUGUUGCCAUAAACAUUUAUCAUAAUUCCAGCCAGUUUGCUUUAUUUUGAGUGUGUUGUUGUUGUGGGAUAUCAUCACUUGCACAUUUUUUGUUGUAUAAAACAUGGUGAAUUUUUGUCCCCUUCCAAUGAUGUCGCCCCAAAAACCCUCUGAAUGGGUUUCUUUUUGAACCCGACAUAAUCCAUCUCCAUCUCUCUCAUAUUCUACAAAAUUAAAUACAUAUAUAGAAGUAUACCUUUUGAGUAUUAUAUCAUGUGCAACAUACUACAAAGAAGAACAAUUAUUUGCAUGCACCUCUUUUGGUUGUGUAAAACUCGUUGAAUUCUUAGCCCCCUCCAUCAUCGUUACAUCAGGGUCUUUGUCAGUCGACAUCUCCGAAGCACAAUCAAAUCCAUCAGUUUUUAUGACCUACAAAGGUAUUCUAAUAUAAACAAAGAUUAGAAUACCUUUUUUAUGAUGGUGGUAUGGAAAAUAUAUAUUCAUUGGACAAAUUCUAGAAAUGAGCAGUUUCUAGUAGAUUGAGUGGCAUCCCAAUUUUAAUAAUUUUAGGCUCACCUCUAAAUCACAUGUUGAUGGUUAUUCUUACGAAUAUCUAUUAUUUAGGGUAUGUGGUAUAUCGCCCUUAAAAUACUAUGUUACAUUUCUCCACGAGCAAAGAACGGAUUUCCCCUUUAUAUAAUGAUAGUCGGUCAUCCGUAAUUUCUUGGAUAUUUUUAAGUAAUUUAUUGAGAAAAUAUUUUAUGCCAUUCUGAAUAUAUAUAUAGUGUACACGUAUAAAUAAAGCUUUAUUUUUAUGAUAUUCCCAUUAUACCCCUCCUAUACAACUUGUUGUCCUCUCCUGCACGGCCGCACUCUAUCCACUCCCUCUCCGCACCACUCACUCUCUUGUUCCCCUCCCUCUCUAGAUCCAUAGACUUCACCGCCGUCGCUCACUCUCCUCUCUCCGCCCUCGCCACCACAACCAACAGAAUCGGUGACCUCAUCUCCCACCCCUCCACCCUUUCAUCCCUCCCCUCUUCUCACCAAAAUUAGUGAAGGGGGGAUCAAGAUACCAGAUGGUUUCCUGAUCCGCCCACAAACCGGCGAACAACAUCACGCCAAGGUCACCAACGCCGUCAUGAAAUGACAGGCUUCUUCCACCUCGACAGACUUGCUCGCGCACCAAGAUAUGAGAGGGGGCCUUCUACUUCCCGCUCGCUCAUCCCCUUUGGUCAAGCCAUGGAUCAACCUUCCUCUACUCUGACCCAUGCCAUGGACCGAGCGCACUUCCCUCCUCAAGGUCAUCUCUUCACCCCUUUCCUCGUGUGGCAUGUUGCACCGCUAACCCUCACCUUAUCUCCCUCCCUUUCCUCCCAUAUCGAGACAUGCAUGUGUUUCUGCUCGGCCGCUUCACCUCACCGCCGCCUUUGUGGCACGUCGGCCGGGAUUCUUCCUCAUGUCCGCUAGAUCCCAGCGUCGUCAAUUUCAUUCGACUAGGUCAAAGAAGAUGAAAGUUGCUGCAUUCCGUCAUCCACGCACCCCACUGCAAGACACCAAACACAACCGCAACAGCCGGCACGAACGCCACCCGAGAGAGAGUGAAGCGCCGACCAUCAGACACAAACCUUACCGGAUCUGAAGACCGGCAAGAAGACCGAGCCACCUGCUCCCCAGCACCGCCCAUUAGAGCGCCAUCGAGAUGGAGGUAGAGCAGAAGCAAAUUAUUUUGACGCGGCGCCGUUCACACCAUUGAUGCAGCACCUCUGGAAAAAAAAAACUAUGCCUAUCCUAUAUCCCUACCUGACAGAAACAGUUGUGACCUAUUUGUCUUGUUAAAAUAGUGGAUCAACAGCACACGAUGGUAUGUAGCAUGACUCUGCACAGAUAGCUUUCUUAUAAAUUUGUGGCAUGGAGGUUUCGUGGUGUAGUUGGUUAUCACGUCAGUCUAAUUUGUGGCAUGGAGGUUUCGUCAUGUAGUUGGUUAUCAUCCCUUCUCGAUGUAAUAGAGAAUGUAAUAGGCCUUUUGGUUCUCUUGAGUUAUUUUAACUUCUAUAUUGGAAAGAACUGAAUAUUAUGUACCUUCGCCAGAAGGGCUAAUGUAGUCCCUGCUAAAGUGAUCCUCCUCCUGCUAGUGAUCAGAGGCCGGUCUUUUGCUGUUGGUCUUCUCAUGCUGCGGUUUUCCUCUUCCUUAUGGUUUCAUUUGCCGCAGUAUUUUCUUUUCUUCUGAUUGCCGAGUUAUGUAGUAUUAGAUUGUCGAGUUUUGUGGUUUACAGCACAGGAUUUUGUUUUUACAAAAGGUGGAUCCCAACAAGACACGAUGGUAUGCACAUCUUAUAGUCUAUCUGUCUUAUUGAGAAAAUACAUUAAUGUCUCGUGGUGUAGUAGGUUAUCACGCCAGUCUAACACACUACAUGAAGAAGCCAAAUUGUUAUUGUUUUUUCUUUUCUGCAAAAUUACAAAAUGCACCAAUAAAUCUUUGUCAUUUGCUAGUUUCCCAUUUCAGUGCCUAUGUUUGUAAGUAUUCUUCCCUCUUGGAAUCUCCGUUUUGCCACUGUUUCUCACUUUCUGUGAUGUGAUGUGUGCGCAAAUAUUCCCACAACAACUAAACAAUAAUAAAGCCAUAUACGCAAGCGACCGAAUAAUGGCAACUUCAUAUUGCCACUCAAGGCGCAUCUCCAAACCGACCUGUCAUGUCCAUAGUUGCGUCUCAACACUCGGGGCAGAAAGGCUCGCUCUCAACCACUGCUUCAUAUCACCGGAUCCACACGGCCAAAUAGUGUCCUCCAUUUUCGAAGUGAUGACAGUAUAUCUCGUGGGAAAAUUGUUUCCACAAUUCGAUAUCCCUCCCGUUGAUGAAAAAAUCACGUUCGGCUUCGGCAUCACAGAAUGCACUUAACGAAAAUUGUUUUCUUCGUUCUGAGCUGGAAUAAUGUAUUCCCUCCCAUAAAAUAAAAUCAUCAAUAGUUCACUUCUCUAUAUACCUGGAUGGAAAGUAAUGGCCAAUGUGGAUCACCCAAGAUGGCACGCCAAGUGUUGUUUAACUCCACUAUGUAGACAAGUCAUUAUAUGCACACAAUUAUGUAAGAAAAAUAAAUAGGUCAAGAACUGUUUGGCCAUAGAUGGAGCUUUCUACAGAUGGGUACAAGAAUUUGGCACCACCCACUCAGUUUACCUCUCACCUUUUUGAUUGCUUUCAUAUGUAAAAAAUAGUGAGUGGAUUUGCGAUCUGCCUUAAAAUGACAAGACGGGGGUUGGGGGUUUUAAAAAAUUCCAAAUGCAUUCUUUAUAUUCACAUGUUUAUUUAUUUUGUAUUUGUUUGUGCAUGUCAUAAAAUCAUAAAUUUGCACAAGCAUGCAUAAUACUCAAUGAUCUACAAUGACAAUAGGCUUUAAGAUUUUUCAAAGCAUGAGAAAAAAAUCAAAUGACGUCAGCUGGAAAUUAAAGAUAUGUUCAGACUUCCAAACAAUUAUGAUCUCUUUGGUCCAAACUUCAAAGGAACCAUUAUUGAAAAUUUGGUGAUUCUAGUUGUUAGAAUAUUUUCCUACGGGACUAGUAGGGCUGGGAACCAUAAUGUUAUUCUAUGGCCAUGUAUUCGUAGGAAAAUUUAUGUCGAGCCAAAUCUUCUGGAAAUAAUUCCGUUAGUUCAAUGACAACUAUGUGCUUGCACCUAAUGUUUUGGAAAGUUCUUGUGUUUUGUUUUCCUUCUGCAGUAAAUCAACAUCCAUAUUUUAUACAUUACUCUAUCUUUAAUUCCCACGGGAUCCAACACAGCAUGGCAUGAAAUAUGUAUGUUAAUUUUUCCAGUUCCCUCUUUUAAAAAUGCCGCAAACAGAUGUGCCAUGUAAUCUUCAAAAAAAAAGUGGGAGUGAGAUAGUUAUUGAAAUGCAUGUAGGCUGGAGACUAAAAUUUCAGUAAAAUUCAGCUUAUAACACUAAAACUGAAAAGGUUGUCAAACCUAUGGCAACCAAGAGCCAGCAAGAUUUUUUAAAGAAAAAAUAUUUUCGGCGACCUCCACCUAAGAAGUCCUAGCUUUUUUCCUUGUCCUGACAUUCAAAAAACACUGAGUGAUGGUUAUCAGCCGAAUAUAUUCACUAAGGGCAUGCACGAAAGAGAGCUAUUUAUUUAUUGCUAAGGUUUCAGAAUUUAGUUUGAUUUUGAUUUAAUUUGAAAUUCAUAAUUUACCGAGAAAUACAACUAUAAAUUCAAGCAUCCCUAAACUAAAUAAAAACGUAUCUAUAUUUGGAAAAAUUUGAUGUUUUUUUAUAAACUUGUUAAAACAUGGAAACAUUUGACAUUUGAAAAAAAAAAUCAGUACAGCUAAUAUUUUGAAAAAGGAAGUUAGUACGUACACCAAUAAUUCGAUAUACCCACAAAAUAUUGGCCGUAGUUCCUUUAGUGGUUCCUUUGAUGUAAGAAACAAGCUAGUAGAGACAAAGGGAAUCAAAUCAUGGGAGGAGGUGGCCCUAUCCUUAUUCCUCUUCCCCACGCGGUUGCUCUCGUCCAUCCUUUACCAAAAGUGCAGCAUCUCUCAUCUCCGUCUUCAUCUUCUCUUCCUCCUCCUUCCUUGAUGCUCACUCGCCUAUAAAUAGCCCUCGCUGCCUGCCAUUGUUACUCAAGCCAGCAAGCAAGAAGCACACAGGAAGCUCCUAGCCAACACCAAUCAAAGCCUCCAUCCAAUCCCAAGCAACCUCGAGGAUGUCUUGCUGCGGAGGAAACUGCGGCUGCGGCAGCGCCUGCAAGUGCGGCAACGGCUGCGGCGGCUGCAACAUGUACCCGGAGGUUGAGGCCGCCGGCGCCACCCUCCUCGUCUCCGCCACCGCCACCCACAAGGCGUACGUCCCUUCUGUUUCCUCAUACAUCAUGCGCCCGCUAUAAUAUGACUAUAUAUGUUGAUCUUGCUAUGGGACUAAGGAUUGAUGGAUGGGUGCAGGAGCUCGGGCGGGAUGGAGAUGGCGGCGGAGAACGGCGGCUGCGGCUGCACCCAGUGCAAGUGCGGCACCAGCUGCGGCUGCUCCUGCUGCAGCUGCUAGAUCUAUCAUCGGUCAUGCAUGCACCGCGCGCAUCAUAUCUAUGAUCUAUCUACAAUCUACUUACCAUGUAACGCCACCUGAUCGAGGGUCUUUGUAUGUAUGUAAGCACCUGCCAGCAUGAGCAGAGCAGGUGCACUGCCAUGCAUGUAAACCGACCCCUAAAUAAAAUCUCCCGUGGUUUAACCUAUACUUGUGUUUGUACUAUCAACUUGCGAGGUGCCUGGGUUGUUACUAGACCAGCUGAAUGCUCUCUUGAAGCAACGUAUGCACCGCUUGGAAUCGGUGUAUCUUUAUACACCUGUGUAUUUAUUUUACAGGUGUAUAUUUUUCUUAGAAGAAAAAGGCUGCGCCCCUGUUCCAUUUCAGAAGAAACGAAACAACGAUCCAGAGUGUGUUACAUCAUGUAGCUCACGACGGACAGCAGGCACGCUGCCGCAGUAAAACGAAAAGCGUCACAACGCUACUACAAAGCCAGAAUAUAGCUAAAGCCAGAAAAGGAAAAGCGAACACACACAGCUACUGCUCAGCGAGGCCUAUGGUGAUACUACAGGUGCACUGUCCAAUACCAGAGGCUAAAAUGUGUCUCCACGCCUCAGCCAGGAUCUGGCCACAGCAGCAGAGGAGGGCUUCUCGCUUUCUUCUCCAACUCUUUCGUAGCCCACACCAGCUUGUCCCUGGCACAUCCUGAGGAAAGGCACUCCCACGUAGAUAGAUUUGACGUUGUUCUCCUCCAUAUAGCCUGCAAACCAGGCCAACAAACAUUAUUGAAAACCAUGUCGUUGCGAGUUUUCCAGAUCGCCCACAAUCCAGCCGCAUGGACAGUGUUGAUCGCAGCAAACUUGUCUCCCCUAAGCCAGUAUGAGGAGAUAGACAUCAUAUUAAUGUCUUCUCUCACUCCUGUAAGGGUACAGAUGGCUUUCCAGAAUUCAACAGCUACAACACAGGCACUGAAUAAAUGAGAACAGGAUUCUUGUUCAGAACAAAACACACAAGUAGGAUCUCCUACCUCCUGUCUUUUGCUCAGGUUGUCUCUAGUCAGCAAUUUAUUAUUGACCAAAAGCCAGAGAAAAAUUUGAAUCCUGGGAGGAAUUUUAAGGUUCCACACAGCAGGAGAACUAGUAGGCAGAACUCCUCUGAAAUUGAUAAAAUUAUAAAGGAUUUAACUGUAUAGACCCCUUUAGAAUUCAGAUUCCAAACAGGGGAGUCAUCCUCAUCUAUCAAAUGAAUGGAACUAGCAAUUUCUAAAAGCUCAAACCAAAGGGCCAUCUGUUCCUGGGUGAAGCAUCUCCUAAAAGUGAGCUUCAGGGUAUAGCCAUCCCAGAUUUUAUCUAUGGUGGCAUUAUGCUCAUUAGCUAGGUUAUAGAGAUCCCAAUACUGGGUAGCCAAAGUAGCAUUGCCAAACCAAUGAUCCUCCCAGAAUCUAGCCCUCUUGCCAUUACCAAUCUUCCAAGAAAAGCCAAUUUUAGCAGCUUCUGCUGCCCAAAGCAGUCCUUUCCAGAAAGGGGAGGCUCCAGCAGCAGAACAAGCAAAAAUGUUGCUAUUCUGGGGGUUAUAUUUGGAAUCAAUAAUAUUCUUUCAAAUCUUGCCCUCGGAGUUGUAGUACCUACUAAUCCAAGAAGCUAAUAGGGCCAGAUUCAUGUCCCCAAUGUCAGUAAUACCAAAACCCCCAAAUUCCUUCCUCAUAUUCAAGGAGUUCCAGGCAGUCAAAUGGUAUUUGUGAUGGCCCUCAUAAUCAUCCCAAAAGAAAUGAGCUAAUUGGGAGUUAAUGAGUUUAAUAGCCACUUAGGGAAUUUUAUGAAACCCAUCAGAUAAGUUGGGAUACUAGCUAAGCAGGCUUGGACUAAAAUGAGUCUCUUGCCAAAGGAAAGCAGCCUCCCUCUCCACCCAGCAGCUUUCUUGAUUAUCUUAUCAACAGUAGGUCGAAGAUCCUCUCUUCUGAUCUUGCUAAAGUGCAGAGGGGCACCCAAGUACUUAAUAGGGAAAGAACUAAUUUUACACCCUAAUAUUUGAGCAAAAACUAAAGCCUCGUCUCUAUCAAUAUUAAUAGGAACAAGGUCACAUUUAUGAAAAUUAGUCCUCAUGCCAGAAAUUUGCUCAAAGCAAGAUAAAAGCCAUUUAAGGUUUUUAGCAUGGUCUAGGUUCUUGUCUAGGAAGAGUAGAGUACCAUCAGCAUAGUGCAUGCUAAUGACACCAGCAGGAUUAGAGGGGGGGAAACACCAGCAAUUAAGUUUUCUUUAGCAGCUUUUAUCAAGAUUCUAGUGAAAACAUCAGCAACUAAGUUAAACAAAAGGGGGAAACAGGGUCCCCCUGUCUAGCUCCUUUACCUGCUAUGAAAUAUUCACUGUUGGUGUCAUUAAUUCUGACACCAACAGAUCCAUUGCAAAGUAAGGAUUCAAUUUUAUGCAUCCAUUUAGGACCAAAGCCUCUCUUUCUCAGCAUUUUCACAAGGAAUUCUCUACUGAUCAUGUCAUAGGCUUUUUCAUAGUCUAAUUUAAAGCAAAAACCAGACAUUUUGUUAGUGGCAACUGCAUGAACUACCUCAUGAGCAGCCACUAUGCUUUCAAGGAUAAAUCUACCCUUUAGGAAAUCAUUUUGGUUAGGAGAAAUGAGAAAGUUACAAAAACCUAUUGGUGGCACAUUUAGCAAAUAUUUUAAAGCUACAAUUAAUCAUAGCUAGAGGCCUGAACCUAUCAAGCUUAACAACAUUGGGUUCUUUAGGAACUAAGGUAAGGAGGGAGAAAUUGGGUCUGUACAAAUCAAGUUCUCCAGCCAAUCUCUGAAGAGAGCAAACAAAUCAUUUUUGAUUAACUCCCAGUAUUUUUGGUAAAACAGGAAAGGAAACCCAUAUGGCCAGGUGCUCCCUCAGCAUAAGAGCCAAAGACAACAGUCUUGAUUUCCUCCUCAGAGAAGGGUUUUUCAAGUAAAUUAAAGUGCUCAGGAGAGAGCAUACUAUUUUAAAUUGCCAAACAUCUAUGGCUUUGGUGGCAUUACAUUCAGUGUUCCAGGCUUUAUGAAUAACAUCAUCAAAACCAGGAAUUUCUAGCCACCAUUUCUCAAAUCUAAAAAAUUUAGAAGAAGAUUCAGGGAGCCCAGUGGCAGUAUUCAACACCAGAGGAGUGUGAUCACUCCCCACUCUGGGUAGGGCUUUGAUAGAGGCCCCAGGGAAAAGCCCAUCCCAAUCUACGGAAACAAAUACUCUAUCUAAAGUGGCCAUAAUUAAAUUGUCUUGGUUAUUGGCCCAAGUAAAUCUCCUCCCAGCAUUUUUAGUCUCAAUGAGCCCAAACCUGUUGAUCCAGUCAUUAAACAGAUCAGCCCAAUGUUAAUUUGUAUUGCCAGUAUUUUUCUCACUAGUGUUCCUAACUAGGUUAAAGUCACCCCCCACUAGAGUGGGACCAAACCAGCUAGAGAGAACACUACUGAGUUCAUUAAGAAAAUCAAGUUUUAACUCAUCAUAAGCAGAACCAUACACAGAGAUUAAUCUCCACAUGGUAUCACUAUGUUUGAACCUCAAAAUACAGGAAAUGCAAAAGGUGCCAAUAUCACACUGUAAAAUAUCAAAACAAUCCUCUUUAACACCCACAAGUAUACCACCUGUAGUGCCAAUAGCAGGCAGCCACUUCCAAGCAAAACCACUUCUAGUAUCUAUGGCAUCUAGUUGUGGUAUGGUGAAGUUGGCUUUUUUAGUCUCAGAUAAGCAAACAAAGUCAGGGCAGCAAGCUUUUAUGAGCUCCUGCACUCUAGUAUUCUUGGCAAAGCCAUUGAGGCCUCUGAUAUUCCAGAAAGCACCAAUCAUAGAAAUUAUUUAGAUUUCAUCCAUCUAGAUUGACACUUUUUAAUCCUUUGAUGGGAUACCUCCAACCAAGGGAUCUCUCCUUCCUCCCUAUCUAAUUAUUCUCAGUGCAAGAUGAAGGAUGCUUUCCAGUGUCAUUAUUAUUGCUAAGAAAAUCCACUCCAUUAACAUCAAUGUUAGGAGGAAGGAACAUGUGAGGGUUGUCUUUAUGGAAAUUGGGCAACCUCUCAAGUUCUUUUUGCUUAAUAAAAUUAAUGUUACUAUUAGUACUAAUGGGAUCAUUCCCCAAUUUUAAACCAGCUAAAUCAGCAUUAUGCAAAAGCAACUCAUUGUCUAAGCAAGCAAAGGAAUUCUGGGAAUAGACAACAGAACUACCUUUGGAUGAAGAGGUGUAAAUUCACAGGGUAUUGCUCUGUGAAACCAGAAUCCAAUCAGGGCCGUAAUGGUGUUUGUUACGUGUGAAUAUUACUGGGCGAAGUUGAGUGUGAAAUACAUAUACUACAAACUUAACACUUAUUAUCGCGUCAUAGUUCACUGGACUAUUUGCCCCCGAUGUAGUACUUCAUAACUAGAUUGCCAUGGUUGACGAUGGGCGUGUUCCCCUAGCGGCAACAUCUAUAUCAUGAACAGUUUAAACUUCACGAAAUCGGUGGCUUGAUGACUUAUGCCUUGGUGCCUAUAUGACUAUAUCGUACACUCUUUUGUGAUGACAAAGAAACAAACAUUAUUAUUUUUGGAGGUUAAAUAGAAACACAUGGAGUGAAUGAAAUGCAUGUUGUACCGGUAAGACAAAAUUUAAAACAUUAGAUCCGCUGAUGAUUUCCUUGAUAUAAAAUUCAGGUGUGCUCAACAACAACCCACCCCACCCGACCCCGGGAACUCCUAUUUGGCACGCUAUGAGGUGGCGAUCGAGCCCGUGUGCAUCCCCUUCCCCUGCGCGCCCUUUUGGCCUGCCCAAGCGCGGAGCGAGAUGUGCCCUUUUUUCCAUUUUGUUUUCUUAUUUCUUUUAUUUCCUUUUUUAUUUCUUCUUUAAAGUAAUAAAGGAUAUAAAAAAUUCCAAAUUUCAGAAAAAAAUCAAUUUUGACAAAAUGUUAAAGAAAUAAUAAAAUGUUCGUGGAUUCAAAAAAAUGAUCUUGGUUUUGAAAGACGUGUUCGCAUAUUCCAAAAAUGUUCAUGAAAUUGAAACAAAUGUUCACACCUUCAAAAAAUGUUCAAAAAACAAAAAAUGAUUCUUAAUUACGAAAAUGUUCAUCGAUUCAAAAAAUGUCCACUAAUUUUUAAAAUAAUUCGUCAAACAAAUAAUGCUCAUGAAUGUCAAAUUGUUCCCAAAUUUAAAAAAAUGUUUGUCGAUUGAAAAAUUAUUCACCGAUUCAAACGUUCAUGAGUUUCAAAGAAAAGUUCACAAUCUUUUUAAAACAGUUCAUGAUUAAAUAAAAUGUUCACGAAUUUGCAAACAUGAUUGUGAAUUUGAAAAAUAUUCACAAUUUCAUAAAGCAAUAUUGUUGAAGUUGGAAAAUGCUCACAAUUUCAGAUAAUGUUAAACAUUUUCAUGAAUUUAAAAAGAAGAUCAAAAUGAAAAAAUAAAUGAAAAUAAAAAAGAAUAGAAAAGAAAAACAAACAUGGAAAAAAGAAAAUAUAUAAAGUAAAAAGAAAAAAGGAAAAAGAAAAAUGAAAUGAAAUGAAAAAAAUGAAAAAACAGAAAUAACUCGAAAGGAAAAAGAAAUAAACUGGUCUGGAAAGGUCCAAGAACUUUCCUAAAACCGAAAAGGAGCAACUUGGGCUGGCCCACAAUGUGUACCUAGCGGGAGGGUGGUACGUGCUAGAUCGCCAACCAGCGAUCUACAUGCCGAAUAUGANNNNNNNNNNNNNNNNNNNNNNNNNNNNNNNNNNNNNNNNNNNNNNNNNNNNNNNNNNNNNNNNNNNNNNNNNNNNNNNNNNNNNNNNNNNNNNNNNNNNNNNNNNNNNNNNNNNNNNNNNNNNNNNNNNNNNNNNNNNNNNNNNNNNNNNNNNNNNNNNNNNNNNNNNNNNNNNNNNNNNNNNNNNNNNNNNNNNNNNNNNNNNNNNNNNNNNNNNNNNNNNNNNNNNNNNNNNNNNNNNNNNNNNNNNNNNNNNNNNNNNNNNNNNNNNNNNNNNNNNNNNNNNNNNNNNNNNNNNNNNNNNNNNNNNNUGGGUAGAGCAGUGGUCUAGAUUAAAACUCCUCAUUUUGUAAACGGCAGUGGUCUAGAUUAAAAGUCCUCAUUUUGUAAACGGCAGUGGUGUACCCAAGCACCCCUCGAGAAAAUUGUCGUUGCCUUGAUCCAAAAAAAGAAACCAAACACCCCCACCCCCUCCCACAAGCCUCUGCAACGAAUUGUACACAACCAGUAGUUUCUACAUUGAUGCAUAUGAAUGAUGCUUGCGGUACAAAUAAAAGGCAACUCAUUGCCGCUUACAACUCAAGAGCAAAAGGCUACUAAGAGUAGAGUUUGACAUAGGCUAGAGUAAGUGCAUUAUAUAUCCUUAAUUCUAGUGAGUGAUUCCACCCAAGAUUGCAAUAGAACACCAGGUCAACUGGCAAUCCAAUCCCUGGUGUUCUAUUACAUGUCGAGUUGAAUCCCUUAUUGCAACUAAGUAGUAAAAUGCUGCAAGGAGUAGAGUCUGAGAUGAACCAAAGUAAGUGUAUUAUAUAUAUCCUCAAUUAUAGUGUGAGUCUGAGAUUGCAACUGAACACCGGGUUGGCUGACGAAACCAAUCCAGUCCAAUCCCUUGUUGAACUAAAGGUCUAUAUGUAGUUAGGAUUUGCCUAACUAAAGCAUACAGUUCAACUUGAUAGAUCCAAUAAGAUUCGACUUGAUAAUCCUUUAAUUCCCAAUGGUUUUCAAAAAAAAUAUAGUUAAAAUAACUAACUCAAACGAAAAAUAAGUGAACAAUAAAACAUCGACCGACUCCACAUGGCUUCCAAAUAAGACUAUUUAACAGAUCAAGUAAUAAGUUGUUUAUUCCUUGCUCUCAAUAUGAGGUCAUACAUAACAUGUUUUGGUCCAUCCUGAAGUAAGUACCGCCUAACAAGUACUCCCUCCGUUCGGAAUUACUUGUCUUGAAAAUGAAUGUAUCUAGAACUAAAAUACGUCUAGAUACAUCCAUUUUCGCGAUAAGUAAUUCCAAAUGGAGGGAGUACUAGCUAGUAUUUCAGUCUCUGCUAGCAAAUGUUGCAUUAGCAAACAGCCUUGAUGGCGUUCUUCUUCUCACAGUGGUAGUCCUUGAGGUUGCCCUUCCUAUCACGUGCAAACACCUCGCAUGUGGCCUUGCACAGGGGCUUGGUGCAGAAAAACUCCCCACCGUCGUCAACGACCGUGCAGUUAUCUGCACAACACCAAGAAAACACAAACCAUUAUAUUAGAAGAUUAGCAGCAAAACCCCAUUAGAUUAGAUUAGCAGCACCACCAAGAAAACACAAACCAUUAUGUUUGACGAACACAAUUAAACACACCUGCAGAAAUAGGAGUACCCACUAGUGCUAGCACCACGAGGAAGCAAACAAUAGCAGCCCGUGUGUCCAUCCCAAGGGUUCUCUCCUUUUUUGAUCUAUAGGAAGGAAAAUAUGCGUUCUCUUCGUCUACUUUAAUUUGGCAAUGGGACUAAUGUUUAUGUCUUGGAGUACCUGGAGUGUUAUCUUAUAUAGACUUGUUAAAAGGGACAAAAAUAAAAGCAUUUAAACGCUUGUUAAACUUGGCAAAAGAGAUAGAGGUGAGUCACACCCCAAAAAUGGAAGCACUUAAUGCUGGGUGAGGAAUUAAAUGACAAAAGGCAAAAGAAUACAUGAGUAAUGUCUAUCCAAUAUUUAAGGCCUUUAAUUUUCUACUACAAAAUAGGCAUGACCAUUCAAAAAAUGGAGUCAUCUUUUUGUUGCCGGUGACAUUAAUAAAACAUGCUUUUUAUUAUAAAAAAUUGUCUAGCCACUUUAACAGUAAACACCAUUGUGCAUUGAAAUUCAAUUGACUGACUUCGGUAAAGAGUCUGCAAUUGGACUGGAGCAACGAUGUUGCCACUCUUUUACCCGCACGAACAUUACCAAUAAUGAUUUUUGAAAGUGCCUUGAGUCACCCAUGGAAAAAUAUGGGAAGCCUUGAUUGAUGAACACACUUGGCCCGAGGAUGAUCUCUUAGAAGUGCAGAUUGUGGAAUCACUUUAUCUUCACCAUAGUGUUGAUGAAAGAUUUCACCUCCAUAAAGAAUCAAACAAAUAAAAAAAACUGGACACAACAACAUAAACUUAUCAGAUCCGAAUAAUCGGAUCCGUGAGGAAAAAACUCUCUAAUCUCAUGGCACUACCACAAGAAUGAGAGGAAAUCUAUUCUCACAAAACUAUGAUGAUCACUAGACGUUGACGAAGAAUAAAGAGGUCUUGAAGAUCCGAGGUCCCCCCACCUCGGAGCGCCAAGAUGGAAGCCGGAGGCGAGGGAGCCUAAAUUUCUCAGAGAGUGGGGGCGGCGGCGACGGCACCAGAGGAUACACUUGAAUUUUUUUUAUAAUUUUUGUUGAGAAAAACUUGAAGGCUCAUCUGGCCCACAACAAUAGCACGCGCCCCAACUGGACCAGCGUGGGCCUCUGAGUAGAGCCCAGCUCGGCCCCGAUACGCGCUCUGGCCUGGACCGAGUCAGUCAGUGUCGCCUCGUGCCCUAGCGGAAAACAGCAGCAGGUGUUCCGCAUCUCAACCUACUCGCCGCCGCCGCCCGCCGCCGUCCGUCGUGGGGAGAGGAGAAGAGAAGAGAAGAGAAGAGAUGAAGCCGGUGGUGGGGAUCGUGGUGUCGAACAAGAUGCAGAAGUCGGUGGUGGUGGCGGUGGACCGCCUCUUCCACAACAAGGUGUACAACCGAUACGUGAAGCGCACCUCCAAGUUCAUGGCGCACGACGAGGCCGAGACCUGCAACAUCGGCGACAGGGUACGUACGCCAUUGACCCCUCCCUCUCAACUCUCAUGUCAUCUGAUGCUGCCUUUGGUGGAGCGGAUUUUAUGAUCCAUUACUUCUCCAAAUCGAAACCCAUUUCCUUCCUGUUGAGGUUAAUAAUGAAGGUUUCUAGUCUGUCCGGGGGCUUUUCUUUGGAUUCAGCCUCAUAGAAUUUAGUUUAAGUUUAAUGUUAAAAAAGGUCUUUGUUGGUUCACUGGCUCAUUUCCUUCAUUUUGAUUAGGUUGAUUAAGGUUUGUGGUCUGUCUGUCUGUCUGUCUAAUGACACUUGAAUUUUAACUUGUUAGAAUUUAGUCUAAAUUUAAUGAUGAUAGUUCAACUUGUAGUCCAGCUGAGAAAUUCAUGCUUUCUAUAUACAUGGUUUGUACUAUGCAUUUUAUUCAAUUCAUUCACUCCUUUUAAUUGGGUGAUUCUGCUGCAAACAAUGUUUACAUGUUGCUCUUGUAGCUGAGAAAUUUUGAGGUCUGUCCGAGGAAUGUAGCAGAUUUAUUACUAGCUUUUUACUCCAAUAGAUAGAUAUCCAUCAAUACAUGGUCUUGAACAUGUCACGUAAUGGCACGGCUGUUUUACGUUUCCACAAUACGUCAACCUAUGAUAUUAUCACCGGGCUGGAGCUAUCUAGAUAUUUUUCAUUGGGAUGAAGCUAGCUAGAUUUAGCAGUUUAUCUCCUGGCAUAUUCUCUUCUGUAAACUUCAAACAAGAUAGAUGUGGUUGACUUUCUUAGGCUUGUAAGCUCAAGAUCCAUUAAGCUAGCUAGUUUAUUGGAGAAACUCAAUUAUUGUUUCGUUUGCCAUCUUUAGAGUAAACAAUCUUGCCUCCUGAUCACUUGAGUGAUGAUGCUUGUUGUUAUAGCAAUGGUGAUCUUUUUUCUCCUUCCAUCCUUCAUAAUAUUCUAGGAUACCAUCGUUUAGUUUGAAAAGAUUGCUUGGACCUGGUGUUGUGUGCAUGUCAUGUCAGUUAAGGCUGCAAUUUGCUCAUAAUAUGUUUUCUGCUGAACAAAAUUUUGCUUUCAGUACCGAGAGAGAGAGAGAGAUCCACAUUACUUAGGAGCGGUUGGUUUUAUAAAGAAGCUUGUGUGACUGUGAAUAUAAAAAAGUUAUACAGUUGCUCUGUUGAAUAGAUUAACGAGUUUGCGUCAUUUUGUCCUGUGUUGUAUUCUAUUUAUCGGCUUACUUUACUGGAGACUAGGCUAGUGUUCUUUUUGCACAUUGAUUCAUUCACCCAAGCUGUAACAUAACAUAAACUAGAACAAUUUUCUUCUUUUCUAUAAUGGAUGGAUCAAUGUCUCUCCAGGUUAGGCUGGAUCCUUCUAGGCCGUUGAGCAAGAACAAGCAUUGGAUCGUUGCCGAGGUUCUUCGCAGAGCUAAGAUGUAUGUUGCGCCGCCACCUGCACCAAAAGCUUCUGGUGCUACAACUCAACAAGCUAGCACCAAGUCAUCUGCCUGAAAGAUCCUCAGAGCCCAACACACGGCCUGUUCUUUACUGACUGACAGCAUGUCCGAGAACCAUCUCAUCUCACUGAAUAAACAACGGCUGGUAAAAGCUAGUGGUUUCAAUGGUGCUCAUCAUGUUCAGCUUAUCAGUUUAUUUGUUUGCAAUCCGAAACUUGGUGAUUGGGAAUUAUGUUGGACCCUAUAGCUUCGAGUUUGCCCCAGCAAAAUUCGUAGGUGCAACUUAACCAUUUCCUCAUAAUAGUUAUCCAUACAUGGAGGCGGCCAUGGUGGCGUUCAUGCCGGAGCUGGGGCCGUUCGAUAGCUAGUGUGUUCAUUGUGGCUGCUGGAUUAUUGCCGUGACAUUAAAUAUCUAGCAGAAGAAGUUCAAGCUUGCUCUUUUGUCCUUGUAAAACAUUUGUUGAAUGUACCGCGCCGCACUCGAAUAUAUGCUCUUGGUUAGAUAUAUCAUCGUGGUGUGAUCCCUGAUCUUAUGCGGGUGUACUAAUCUGAAUAAACAUGUUGGUUGUGCACGUUGCAACGUGUGAUUAUGUGCGGGCUUUGACGGAAAAGAGGAGCUAUUCGUACUGAAAAAUAGUUCAUCACCGAAAAUGGGGAGAAUUUGUUUGGAAGAACAGUUGAGUCACGCUUGCAGUGAGCCAACUAUUAUAUACAGGAGUAUAAUUUUCUGGUUGGGCUGUGAACCUAAUUUUCUUCACAUGGCAUCUUUCUGUUCUUGUGGAUCAGUGGAUUAUUAUGUCCGCAUAUAUGUAACCAACAAGGCUCUGUUACUUUCCCUCAAAAAAAAACAAGGGUCUGUUACUGACUCGUUUGUAAGGUCAAAUGGCCUGCUAGUUUUGGAAGCUAUGAGUAGAAAACACCAGAAAGGUUUCGUGGUGUAGUUGGUUAUCACGUCAGUCUAACACACUGAAGGUCUCCGGUUCGAACCCGGGCGACGCCACUUUAUAUUUUUUUUUUGUCCAUUGUGUAAAAAAAAGAAGUAAAAAAGAAGAAGAAAAAAAAAGUUAAUGGCCCAUACAGGUCUCGAACCUGUGACCUUCGCGUUAUUAGCACGACGCUCUAACCAGCUGAGCUAAUAGGCCCUUUGAUGCUUGAAAUAUUUUCUAAUUUAUAUAUUUGUAUAAGUGAAUAAACCCCACCAUCAUGUCAAUCUUUGGUUUGCGACGUUUAUAGCCAUGGACGUAUGCAUGGGUAUAAAAGUUGUAUAUCGAUUUUAUGAUGAGAAGAGAAUUAUUAAGAAGAGGAUGAAUUAGAAGAAAAAUCGUCGCAGGGGGCAAGUAGGAAAAUUAUAUCUGCUUGGGAGCCAUCUACAAAAUACAACAAUACAUCUUGGUCCUUGUCUAGUUUCCCAUUUCAUUGUCCAUGCUUGUAAAUAUUUUUGCCUUUGAAGGAAAAAAUUGUCACUGCUUUCGACUUUAAUGUGACGCGAUGUGUCCGCAAAUCAUCACGCGAUAGUUACAUAAUAAUAAAGCCAUAUUGUACAAAAGGAAAAAAAAUACUCAAGAUUCCUUUUUUGUUUCAUUUUUGUUUCUCUGGCGAAAGAUGGAUGCCGGUGAUGAGCCAGCAUGCCAUGUACUCCCUCCGUUCCCAAAUACUUGUCUUUCUAGACAUUUCAAAUGGACUCAAUAUAUGGAUGUAUGUAGACAUAUUUUAAAGUGUAGAUUCAUUCACUUUGCGCCGUAUGUAGUCACUUGUUGAAAUCUUUAGAAAGACGAGUAUUUAGGAACGGAGGGAGUACCACUAGAAUUUUUACAAAAUUUCUUCCCUACGUUGAUUUUUUAUCAUGCACUAAUGUUUAAUGGAGUGGACUGCUUUACGAAAAGACUUCAACUUGGUUCUCAAGACCAGAGGCCUGCCUGAGGGGGGUGCAGGUGUUGUCUUGCCAGCUUCAGUUCGCAAGGAAAAGACUUGUCCUGCUACAAAAAUGAUGAUACUUGUUGAGUAAGUAGGAACAAAAUAUAGAAAGAACAGGGGCUGGGUUUCUGGGGAGAAAUUUGUGCAGUUACACACGAACAAAACACCGCACCCGACCUGCUACAGGUUUAGAAAAUUCAGCGAGUGGAAUUUUUUAAUUCCAGAAGAAAGGAUGAUUGCAGGAAAAGAUUUUAAAAAAAUCCCCAAAAAAGGGACAUUUGAAAAAGAUAGGUGAAGUGGAAUUUUUUUUAUAUUCCAAAAGAACAGGAAAUAUUUAAAAAAAACUCGAAAAAGGGGAAAAUUCAAAAAAAAGAAUGGGGCGAGAGAGGCUCGAACUCUCGACCUCAGGAUCACUCGCAUAAUUUAGCUAUGAACUAGGAGCCAAAAGGGAAAUAAUUUAAAGCCAUAAAGCAAAAAAAAAUGAACUAGGAGCCAAAAAGGAAAUAAUUUAAAGCGCAAAAGAAAUGGGCAUAAUAUAUCUACAUAUUAAAUAAAUUAAAAAAUGAUUUGCAGAACAAAAAAUCAACAUGAACAAGGGGCAUAUGCCCCCCCUCCUUAGGGCACUUCACCACGUUCUAUUUAUUUAAUAGUUAUUUAUAGUUGAGUUCUUUAACAGGAGGUUGAUCACGAGCGCGUGCGCUUAGUGUGGCCGGUGCAACGGUGUUCUUUGUCUUGGUUCGUGCCACGUCACUAAAACCACUGUCAGAAACACUUACAGUGCCUUGGGGGUGUUUUGUCUGGUAUUUGAAAGUUUGGGGGAUUAAGUACCCGGUUUUUGAAUUGAGGGGGUGAUGUGGUGGAAAUUUGAACGUCUAGGGGGUUAUAUAUAUUUAACUCGACAGCAAAACACAAGAACUUAAGAAGGCACCAAGGACUGGAUUUGGUACAAGAACCGUGGGAGCAUGGCCUGAAUUUUUUCCUUUCUAGGUGUUGUUCUAUUAUCUUUUUUUAAUCUUUAGUUUUGCUAUCCCGUUAUCUCUUAGUUGCAGUACCGCCUGUCUAAUCCAUCAUACAGAAAAAUGAAAAAAGAUGGCAAGAAGUUUCGUUGUUGCAUACGAGCUAAGCAACAGGAUAGUCUAAACAAGUUGACAUAUUACAUUUUAACUAGGAGCCAAAAGGGAAAUAAUUUAAAGCCAUAAAGCAAAAAAAAUUAACUAGGAGCCAAAAGGGAAAUAAUUUAAAGCCAUAAAGCAAAAAAAAAUAACUAGGAGCCAAAAGGGAAAUAAUNNNNNNNNNNNNNNNNNNNNNNNNNNNNNNNNNNNNNNNNNNNNNNNNNNNNNNNNNNNNNNNNNNNNNNNNNNNNNNNNNNNNNNNNNNNNNNNNNNNNNNNNNNNNNNNNNNNNNNNNNNNNNNNNNNNNNNNNNNNNNNNNNNNNNNNNNNNNNNNNNNNNNNNNNNNNNNNNNNNNNNNNNNNNNNNNNNNNNNNNNNNNNNNNNNNNNNNNNNNNNNNNNNNNNNNNNNNNNNNNNNNNNNNNNNNNNNNNNNNNNNNNNNNNNNNNNNNNNNNNNNNNNNNNNNNNNNNNNNNNNNNNNNNNNNNNNNNNNNNNNNNNNNNNNNNNNNNNNNNNNNNNNNNNNNNNNNNNNNNNNNNNNNNNNNNNNNNNNNNNNNNNNNNNNNNNNNNNNNNNNNNNNNNNNNNNNNNNNNNNNNNNNNNNNNNNNNNNNNNNNNNNNNNNNNNNNNNNNNNNNNNNNNNNNNNNNNNNNNNNNNNNNNNNNNNNNNNNNNNNNNNNNNNNNNNNNNNNNNNNNNNNNNNNNNNNNNNNNNNNNNNNNNNNNNNNNNNNNNNNNNNNNNNNNNNNNNNNNNNNNNNNNNNNNNNNNNNNNNNNNNNNNNNNNNNNNNNNNNNNNNNNNNNNNNNNNNNNNNNNNNNNNNNNNNNNNNNNNNNNNNNNNNNNNNNNNNNNNNNNNNNNNNNNNNNNNNNNNNNNNNNNNNGUAAAAUUAAUUAAGACUUGUCUCCCUCCUGGAGAGAGAAGAAGAGUAAGAUCACCGGAGCCAUUUUUAGUUCCUCGCUUAUACUGAUCUUGUGAAUCACAAGAAAAAACCAUCUUUGCUCAAUGGAGCGAUCGGCAAAAUGCUACAAGCCUACAGCAGAUCUUGGUCCUUGGCUAUCUAGAUUCCCAUUUUACUGUCCUUGUUUGUAAGUGUCUGUCGCUCUUUGGGCCUUUUUGUCAUUGUUUCGAUGAUUUGAUGCGUUACACAAAUCAUCCCUUUGUCGUUGUUGAAGAAUUAUGCACUGUAUGUUGUCGUUGUUGCACUUGGGUUAGUUCUUAAGAAAAGGGAUACCCCAUAUGUAACAAGAUUGGCUGCUCUAACCCUUUCUGUCAUCCCUUUGUCCCCUCUAAUGAUGUCUUUGUGAUUGAAAACUAAGAGAAUUUUUCCAUGCGAAAGAAGCGAUAUCGGCAGCCGUGUUGUAUAUGUUUAUAUCAUGUGACAUGUUACUAGAGCGGAGUGGGGUGCUUUAAGGAAAGAAGGGGAGGAUUUGCGAGGAAAGAAAGGAACAUAUGAGCGCGUUGAGAAAAGAAGGAGCCCGAGGUUUGGACUUGAUCCAUGGCACCUGAGGGAUGAACACACAGUGACUGCAGCCGUUUGGAACAGUGGGAGGACGGCCUGAAGCUAUUUCUGCUCCAGGUGCUGUCCGUUAUCUUCUUUUUGUUUUGUUGUUCUUCUCUUGAAUUGCAGUACCGCCGGCCUAAUCCAUCGUAUGGAAAAAAUGAAAAGGAAAAAGUUGGCAUGAUGUUUCGUGGUUUCAUACGAGCUAAGCACCAGGAAAGUGGAAACAAGUGCAGAUCUAUUACAGUUUAAACAGGAGCCAAAACUGAAAUAAAUUAAAUCCAUGACAGCAAAAAAAUGGGGCGAGAGAGGCUCAAACUCUCGACCUCAGGAUCACUCGCUUUAGCUAUGAGACCUACGCGCCCCCUUAUGCUCACUUCUCAAAUCUACCUUUAUUGUACCUUUGUAAGUUUCUUAUCUGUGUUGGAACCAUUGGGCAAUUCUUGACAAAAUGGUCAAUCAGUUCACGGAGGCAUGAAGCUUACUUCGAUACAGAUCAGGUGUGCCCAUCAAGGUGUACCAUGCAUGUGAUCAAGCCCUUGCACUUUUUUUCGUUAGUUUCACGUCCCAGCAAAUUAAACCAAGCUCAGUCUUUCGGAGGUGCUCAUAGGGAUAGGGUGUGUGCGUUCAUAUGGGUGAGUGUAUGCGUGUGUAUAUGAACGCUUGCGUCUGCACUGUGUCCAAACAAAUAAACCAAGCACCAGGAAUGAAAACAGAUAGUGUCCGACAGGCUGCAAUAACAAAAUAUUUGUUCAUAACAUGAUCCAUGUAUGGAUACAUCGACCCCAUCUCACCUCACCGCAUCAAGAUAAUAAACAUUAAGCAACGAUACAAUACUCACCUUGAAGCGGCAGGGUGCUCCGAUUUAGGGUUGUUCUGACAAUUUAGAGGAGGAGCUUCGACAAUCAUUUGUUUUAUUCGUCUGGGAACUCCGCUAUGCGUGAGACUCUGAAUUUUUAUUGUUUUAUGCUUAUGUUCAGAGUGCAGGUGUCAAUGCUCUGGAGCACCUGGACAUCCAGCAUCAACUUGAGAUUGAAGAGGGGAGAGGUGUGGCUGAUCUCGGGAGUAGAAAAUCCAGUCUCGGAUUACAAUCCACUCAAACUUCUUUUUCAAAUUCCUGUGACUUCCCUAUGGUGCAUCAAACAUCAUUUGCUAAUUCCUACAAGCUUCUAAGAAUAAACAUGUCAUGACACUCCAAUCCUACCAUUUUCCUAUUCAAAUGUCAAUAAAAUCCUAUGAAUCAAAGAGGCCUUAAUUCAGUAUGUCUCUGUUCGGCAAGAGCAGAUAGUAUAAAUUGUCACACAAUGAUUAAUUAUUAUGUUGAUGUUAAUAUAUAGACAUGCGAACACAUCAAGCAAGCAAGAGAAUGAACCCAAUAAGAUGCCUGAAGAAUAGGCCUACGCCUAGAGAAAGAGAUGCCUGAAAAUAGUAAGUACUCCCUCCAUCCGGAUAAACUUGUCCCAAGCUUGUUUCUCAAAUGGAUGUAUCUAGCACUAACUUGAUGCUAGAUACAUCUAUUCGAGGGACAAGCUUUUUCGGACGGAGGGAAUACAAAAACACUGCACGUGCGCAUAGCUAUCCAGCAGAAAAUUUCCCACUCAUAUCAAAUCCAGCAGCAAGAUACACACGACUAUUUGGCUGAAAACUAGCUUUGAAGCAAAACUUACAUGUUGUUGUCAUGUGGCGCUCAAAAUCUUACCAUGUGUGUGUAUGUAUUUUGGAAAAAUUAUGCAAUGUACUCCCACCGUUCCUAAAUAUAAGUCUUUGUAAAGAUUCCACUAGAUAGACUACAUACGGAGCAAAAUGGAUGAAUCUACACUUAAAAUACAUCUAUAUACAUCCGUAUGUGGUUUAUAGUAAAAUCUCUACAAAGACUUAUAUUUAGAAACGGAGGGAGUAUGUUGCUGUGCUUGGUUUGAUUCUGGGAAUCUUCUUAUUCCAGAAGAAAUGAUGGUUGUAGGAAAAAAAAUAGAAUGAAAAAUCUCAAGAAAAAAAGGAACAAGUAGGAUUUUUUAUAUUCCAGAAGAAAGGAUGGUUGCAGGAAAUACUUUUUUAAAAAAUUCUCGAAAAAAGGGAAAAUUCAAAAAAAAAAGAAAAGAAUGGGGCGAGAGAGGCUCGAACUCUCGACCUCAGGAUCACUCGCAUAAUUUAGCUAUGAGACCUACGCGCUAGCCAACUGCGCCACCGCCCCCUUGUGUUCUGCCUCUCAAAUCAAAUAUUAUUGUCCGUUGACGUCUCUUAUCUGUGGUGCAACCUACAGUCAAUUCUGGACACAGUAAAGGACAAUCAGUUUGUGGAGCCUACUUGGGUAAUAGAUAGGAUGUGCCCGUCAAAGUGUACUUUCGGGGCACAAACAAGGCCAGGAGCCCUUGCACUUGUCUUGUUCAGUUUCAUGUCCCAGCAAAUUAAACCAUGCGCCAGGAAUGAAAACAGAUAGUGGCCGGCAGGCUGCCAUAACAAUUUUUUUCUUUCAUAACAUGAUCCAUGCAUUGAUACAUACAUCGAUCACCUCUCACCUCUCACCGCAUCAAGAUAAACAUUAAUCAACGAUGCAAUACUCACCUUGGAGGAGAGAAGAUCACGGAAGAACGUUGUUGAGUAACAUACAUACACAACAUCAAAACUAAGCAGGUGACUUCAUUAGUUUACUGCUAAGGCAAUGAUUUUUUGUUCUUCGGGCUUCAGGAUUCAGGAGCAGCAGAGUUAUUGGAAACAAAGUAGUAUGAAGCGUCCAAGUAAGUAGUGGGGCCCCGCUGUAAGUUGGAGACGCCGUUUCACCCUUGCCAUUUGCCAACGUAGAAAAAAAUCAGCCCGACGUGGACAGCAACAGAUCCUCUCCCCUUCUCGUCUCUUCUCCAAUGUGGCGGCGCGCGGCAGCGAGGUCGGUGCUCGUGGGACGAGAGCUCUGACUCGAGCCUCCACUACAAAUCACCCGGCAGCAGGAAGCUCUGAUUUCAUUGGUAGGGGGCUCUGCUAUGCGUGAGGUUCUGAAUUCUUAUUGUUUUAUGCUUAUGUUCAUUGUGCAGGUAUCAAUGCUUCUGGAGCAGCAAUCAGCAAUUUUAUGACAUGUUCUUAAGAUGCUAAAUAUGUCAGGUGCCCACAGAGGACACGUGUCGCCGUUGGCGCAGGCGGCUAAAUUUUGUGAUACAUUCUUAAGGGGGGAUUAAAUCUAUCAAAACAGACUUGAAAGGAGCUAAUUAUGCCCAAAAAAAAUAUCCAAAGCAACCAUGCUAGCCGAUGCAAAGCAACAAUCAGCAAGAUACCCCUAUUGCAAAGGAAGUGUAGCAAGAUACACAUGACAGUUGGCAAGUCGUGGCAUCAGACCUCAGUAAGGCCCAAAGAAAUAUAAGACCAGCACUCUAGAGUUAUGCUGGAACCACUAGCAGAGUAAACAAACAGAGUACAUGGAAAAUCUUCAAGUAAGAUGAGCUAAACAUUCUUUCUGCUAUAAUUAUUCUUGUAAGAAAGAAAACGCAGUCCGGAAAAUUAAGGUGAUUCAAGUGCUUGUGCUUCAACUAGGCCCUCAUCCCACCGUCCAUAAACCCACCUGAAAUUAAAAGUUAUGAACAGAGUGAGAUAAACAGCUGGGCAAGUGACAAAAAGUAAGUAUCGCCCAGAAACAGAAAGCUCCAUUAUGUUUGCAACCAUAGUGAAAACACAUUUAACAAGCCAAGCUUGUGUAUGUAUUUCAUAAGCAUCGACAACAAUCUCACUCAUUUAUGGCCAUACAUACAUCUCAAUUGCAUUAUCAUUCUAACCAAGAUAAGAUGUCAUAGCACAAAUGCUUAACAGGCUUGGCACAGAUUGUGGGUCAGCCUUAGUCUACAGUUUGACACAUCAUACACAGUUUACAAAGAGAUGUAGCUCACUAUUCACAACUCAAUUGAACGGGAAGGAGAAUUCACUUUAACCCAACCCCAAUAAGAGAAGUAAAAUAUGGGAUACUGAUCACAAAUAUUGAACAUCACAGUCACCUGCCUUAACCAUGUGACAAAGAUUUGCCGGCGAAGAUGAAACCUGACGUGCGGCACUAGAACCUGAGAAUUAUAAUUAUAAGGUACAGCUCCUUAAAACACUUGUCAAACUAAAAUUAAAUAAAAGACACGCUCCUAUGAUUUGACACGUCACCUCUCUUAUAAUAUAAGUUCACUUCAGGAUUUUGUAUCAGUUAUCUAUACACACAAAUCUCAACUUUACUAUUAUCAAGAAAAUUUAAUUCAAUCAUGCCCAAAGGUUGAAAUUGUGCUACAAGAUAAAUGGGCUACAGUGAAGAAAAACAGAGUAAUGCACAGGAGAGCAGGUUGAAGUCAGACUGCCCUAACUUCUGAUCUACCCAACCAAUCUUCGCAUACUUCUGAUCUUUUUGGUAUGGUAAUGAAAGUACAUACUCCCUCCAUAAAGAAAUAUAAGAGUGUUUAGAUCACUACUUUAGUGAUCUAAACACUCUUAUAUUUCUUCAGAGAGGGAGUACAAUCUAAUAGGAAUAUAGUUUGGAAUCUACAAUCUACCAAGACAUCCAUUUUCAAAAUGUAGAUUGGAAAUUGACCACAACAUACUAAUAGCUAAAAGAUAGCCACACGAAGAUCUAUGAGGAUAGCAAAGGCAUGAUGUGGUCAACGUGGGUUAUUUUUGUCCUGUGUUCCAUCAUUUAUCACAAGUUAGGCUGGAAGCUAAAUACAAGCAACACAGAUUGUUCUGCCACAACGCCCAAGUUAGCACCAACCGAAUGUUUUUAUUAUUUCCACCCGCCGCAACUAAAGAAAAUUUCAUUUCAGGAUAACAAAAGAGCCUUGCUACAAUGCAGCAAGGGUAAACUUUGUGCAGUAUCAGCUGCUGAUAUCCAAAUCCAUUUCUAAUAACAAUAUCGUAACCUCACCUUUGACGCACGCACAUUCCCAUUUCUUACUUCUUCUUCCCCUUUCCUUGACCGCCCUUCGCCAAAAUGGCCCGAUGGGGCCUCCGUCUGCGCGUAAAAGCAAACUCCCCAAGCUUAUGGCCGACCUUCCCCUCGGUGAUCUUGCAGCGGACGUGAGUCUUGCCGUUGUAAAUGAGCACGGUGGAACCGACGAACUCCGGCAGGAUGGAAGACCUGCGAGACCAGAUCUUCUUGCCGUUGAGGUUCUCCCUCUUGUUCUUUAUCCUUUGCAGGAACGCGUCGACGAACGCUCCCUUCCAUAGAGGCCUUGAGCUGCACACACACACAUACAGGACAGCAGGGUAGGGCAUACAUUCGAUUCAAUUUCAAUGUUGAGCGGAUCAGCUAGUUAUCUGUGCACGUACGUAGUGAGUUGAGCUGGUGAUGGUGGUUACCUGAAGGCGCGAGUGAGUGGUCCGAAGCCGGAGAGCAGCGGAGAUGCGGCGUGCUGGGCCCUGGGCGCCUGACCACCACCAGAUCGCGCGCGCGGUGGAACAAACCAGCAUAUCAGAUCAACAUCGGCGGAGGAACAACCAAGAUUUGCAUUUUGAGCAAGGGGCAAGAGUUGGAGGGGGAGGCGGCACCUGAGAGAUGGCCGCGGCGGCGGCGGGGAGGGCGUGCCCGUGGCCGGACCUGGCGAACCUGGAGGCGAUGAGAGAAGCAAUCGCCAUGGCUGCUGCGCUCAGGCGCGGGAUCGGCUCCCCGUAGGAGCGGGCGGCGGCGGCGUGGAGACCGGAGAGACGGAGAGGAGGAGGAGCAAAUCUUCCUUACCGGAACCACACUGUGAGCGGGCCGUGGCCUUUGGCCCAACCCAUGAAGAUGGCCCAGGCUUAUUUUCUUGUGUAGAAAAAAAAGGAGCUAAUCUUUGCGAUAAAGCCCCUGGACUUCUCAUGAAUUACGGAAAGGUCCGACCAGCGUGAAACCCCUUGUCGGAAAUUGCAGUCAAAUGUGAAGUUUUACAUUUUAGUCCUUGUAAUUAACUUUAAUUUUCUAUUAUUAAAUGCUUUCUAGUGCCUCUUAAUAUAAUUGUUAUUGUAGCUUUUAUUAUGCAAGUAAUCUGAAAUUGCUUUAAUCAUGAAUUAUUGCUAGUAAUCCUAUUAUACGCAUGAAAAACUAGAACCGGAUUCAUCAUGGGCACAACUAUCUCGCCUGGAGAUUGGAUGUUGAAAUCAUACUCGAAGGAAGAGGUUUAGGAAACACCGUCGCCGAAGAUUCAGUCGAGGGUGCAGCCCGACAAGGAUUGAGAACUUUGAGGUUCUGCAUUUUCCACGACGUCAUCUCUGGACUAUUCUCAAGAAUGAGUACCUGGCGGAGAGGGACCCCAAGACUCUCUGAAUUUCCCUGAAGAAUAGAUUUCAGAAACUCACGUACACCAUUCAACCUCCCGCAGAGCAUGACUGGAUGAACUUGAGAUUCCUGGACUUCAAAACCGUCGUUGAGUAUAAUUCGGCAGUGCGUAGGGUUUGCACGUAAUUUGGCAAAUGGUUUAUGUUUCUUGACCAUAAUUUUGCUAUGUUUCUGGUGGUACACUUUGUUCUCAAAUCUGAGCAAACCAAACUCAUGUUUGCACCAAGUUUGGGCAAAGCACCCCCUAACUUUGUCCUAUGCACAACUUUCACAUCAUUUGUCCAAUCCCAUGUAUUUUAUAUGCAUUCGGGCCUUCUCAAACCUUGCAUUCUAGAAAUGCAAAUGGUUUUCUAACUUGUUGCUCCCAACAUCAUUUCAUUCCUGGUUACACUUGUAGCCUUCCGAUUCUUGUUUCGACCAUAUCUAGAGUUACACGGGCCUCCUCCUGGAAACAUGUGACCGAGGAGGAAGGAAGGAUAAGUGGCAUCCGUAUUUGCCAAGCGGCACCAAGUGUUUCACAUAUGUUUUUUGUAGAUGAUUCGAUGGUCAUAUUAAAGGCAAUACAGGAGGAGGCCAGUACCCUUCGAGGAAUCCUUGACCUAUAUGAAAAUUGCUCCAGUCAAUUCAUAAAUGUUGAGAAGUCUGCGGUCAUGUUUUGGGCCAAUACUAGUGAACUGGCAAGGAAUCAGAUGAAGAGUGCGCUAGCAGUCCAGAGUGAGAAUUGGAAUGAUCAUUAUCUCAGCUUACCUGUCCAUGUCGGUAGUUAUAAAAAGAAGGUCUUUCGGUACAUAAAAACAACAUGUGCAGCCAAGUGCAUGGGUGGCAGGAGAUGCUUUUAGCUAAGGCAGCGAAGGUAGUUCUAAAAAGAAGGUCUUUGGGUAAAUAAAUUGCAGAAAGGUAUUUUUGGGUUUUUUGGUAUAUGAUGGAAAAUAGACCCGAGGGUCAUAGGUUUCACUAGAGGCUUCUCUCUUGAAGGAAAAUAACACGGUGGGUGAACAAAUUACUGUCAAGCAGUUGAUAGAAAAGCGCAAAGUUAUGACGAUAUCCAAGGCAAUGAUUAUGCAUAUAGGCAUCACGUCCGUGUCAAGUAGACCGGAACGAUUAUAUAUGCAUCUACUACUAUUACUCCACACAUCGACCGACUCCUGCCUGCAUCUAGAGUAUUAAGUUCAUAAGAACAGAGUAACGCAUUAAGUAAGAUGACAUGAUGUAGCGGGAUUAACUCAAGCAAUAUGAUGAAAACCCCAUCUUGUUAUCCUCGAUGGCAAUAAUGCAAUACGUGUCUCGCUACCCCUACUUUGUCACUGGGUGAAAUCAUGCAAGAUUGAACCCAAAGCUAAGCACCUCUCCCAUUGCAAGAAAUACCAAUCUAGUUGGCCAAACUAAACUGAUAAUUCGAAGAGAAAUACAAAGAUAUCAAAUCAUGCAUAUAAGAAUUCAGAGAAGAUUCAAAUAAUAUUCAUAGAUAAGCUGAUCAUAAAUCCAUAAUUCAUCGGAUCUCGACAAACACACCGCAAAAGAAGAUUACAUCGGGUAGAUCUCCAAGAACAUCGAGGAGAACAUUGUAUUGAAGAUCGAAGAGAGAGAAGAAGCCAUCUAGCUACUAGCUAUGGACCCGUAGGUUUGUGGUAAACUACUCACACUUCAUCGGAAGGGCAAUAAACUUGAUGUAGAUGCCCUCCGUGAUCGAUUCCCCCUCCGGCAGAUCGCUGAAAAAGGCCCCAAGAUGGGAUCUCAUGGGAACAGAGGCUUGCGGCAGUGGAAAAGUAUUUUCAUGGACUCCUCUAAUAGUUUGGGAAUAUUUUAGGAUUUAUAUAACUGAGAGGGAGGUCGGUGGACUCCCGGGUGGGGGCCACAAGCCAGGGAGGCGUGCCCUGGAGGCUUGUCACCUCCUCGGGACUCUUCUGACUUGGACUCCAAGUUCCAUGGGUGUCUUCUGGUCCAAGAAAAAUCAUCGCGAAAGUUUUAUUCCGUUUGGACUCCGUUUGGUAUUCCUUUUCUGUAAAAUUCAAAAACAAGGAAAAAACAGAAACUGACACUUGGCUCUGGGUUAAUAGGUUAGUCCCAAAAAUAAUAUAAAAUAGCAUAUUAAUGCAUAUAAAACAUCCAAAACAGAUAAUAUAAUAGCAUGGAACAAUAAAAAAUUAUAGAUACGUUGGAGACGUAUCAAGCAUCCCCAAGCUUAAUACAUGCUCGUCCUCGAGUAGGUAAAUGAUAAAAACAGAAUUUUUGAUGUGGAAUGCUACCUAACAUAUUUAUCCAUGUAAUUUUCUUUAUUGUGGCAUGAAUAUUCAGAUCCAUAAGAUUCAAAAAAAAUAUUGACAUAAAAACAAUAAUACUUCAAGCAUACUAAUAAAGCAAUCAUGUCUUCUCAAAAUAACAUGGCCAAAGAAAGUUAUCCCUGCAAAAUCAUAUAGUCUGGCUAUGCUCCAUCUUCAUCACACAAAGUAUUAAAUCAUGCACAACCCCGAUGACAAGCCAAGAAAUUGUUUCAUACUUUUGAUGUCAAACUUUUUCAACUUUCAUGCAAUACAUGAGCGUGAGCCAUGGAUAUAGCACUAUAGGUGGAAUAGAAUAUGGUCGUUGCGGAGAAGACAAAAAGAAGGAGAUAGUCUCACAUCAACCAGGCGUAUCAACGGGCUAUGGAGAUGCCCAUCAAUAGAUAUCAAUGUGAGUGGGUAGGGAUUGUCAUGCAACCGAUGCACUGGAGCUAUAAGUGUAUGAAAGCUCAAAAAGAAACUAAGUGGGUGUACAUCCAACUCGCUUGCUCACGAAGACCUAGGGCAAUUCCAAGAAGCCCAUCAUUGGAAUAUACAAGUCAAGUUCUAUAAUGAAAAAUUCCCACUAGUAUAUGAAAGUGACAAAAUAGGAGACUCUCUAUCAUGAAUAUCAUGGUGCUACUUUGAAGCACAAGUGUGGAAAAAGGAUAGAGCAUUGCCCCUUCUCUCUUUUCUAUCAUUUUUUAUUUUGGACUCUUUGGCCUCUCUUUUUUUUUCUCUUUUUUUUCUCGUCCGGAGUCUCAUGCUGACUUGUGGGGGAAUCAUAGUCUCCAUUAUCCUUUCCUCACAUGGGACAAUGCUCUAAUAAUGAUGAUCAUCACACUUUUAUUUACUUACAACUCAAGAAUUACAACUCGAUACUAGAACAAAAUAUGACUCUAUAUGAAUGCCUCCGGCGGUGUACCGGGAUGUGCAAUGACUCAAGAGUGACAUGUAUAAAAAAUAUGAAUGGUGGCUUUGCCACAGAUACGAUGUCAACUACAUGACCAUGCAAAGCAAUAUGACAAUGAUGAAGCGUGUCAUAAUAAACGGAACGGUGGAAGUUGCAUGGCAAUAUAUCUCGGAAUGGCUAUGGAAAUGCCAUAAUAGAUAGGUAUGGUGGCUACUAUGAGGAAGGUAUAUGCUGGGUGUAAUGCACUAGCGAGAGUUGCUCGGUACUAGAGAGCGAGGCUAGCAAUGGUGGAAGUGUGAGAGUGUGUAUAAUCCAUGGACUAAACAUUAGUCAUAAAGAACUCACAUAAUUAUUGAAAAAUUCUAUUAGCUAUCGAAAAAAGUACUACGUGCAUGCUCCUAGGGGGGAUAGAUUGGUAGGAAAAGACCAUCGCUCAUCCCUGACCGCCACUCAUAAGGAAGAGAGUCAGUAAAUAAAUCAUGCUCCGACUUCGUCACAUAACGAUUCACCAUACGUGCAUGCUACGGGAAUCACAAAAUUUAACACAAGUAUUUCUACCAAUUCACAAUUACUUACUAGCAUGAUUCUAAUAUCACCAUCUUUAUAUCUCAAAACAAUCAUAAAGAAUCAAACUUCUCAUAUAGCAUUCAAUGCACUUUAUAUGAAAGCUUUUAUUAUCCCUCUUGGAUGCCCAUCAUAUUAGGACUAAAUUCAUAACCUAAGAAAAUUACGAUGCUGUAGAGACUCUCAAAAUAAUAUAAGUGAACCAAGAGAGUUUGUCAAUUUAUAUAAAAUAAAACCACUGACGUGCUCUAAAAAGAUAUAAGUGAAUCACUAGAGCAGAUUGCCUAGCUCAAAAGAUAUAAGUGAAGCACAUAGAGUAUUCUAAUAAAUUCACGGUUAAUGCGUGUCCCUAUCAAAAGGUGUGUACAGCAAGGAUGAUUGUGGUAAACUAAAAAUCAAAGACUCAUAUCAUACAAGACGCUCCAAGCAAAACACAUAUCAUGUGGUGAAUAAAAAUAUAGCCUCAAGUAAAUUUACCGAUCGAUUGAAGACGAAAUAGGGGAUGCCUUCCGGGGCAUCACAAGCUUAGGCGCUUGGUUGUCCUUGAAUAUUACCUUGGGUGCCUUGAGCAUCCCCAAGAUUAGGCUCUUGCCACUCCUUAUUCCAUAGUCCAUCAAAUCUUUAACCAAAACUUGAAAACUUCACAACACAAAACUCAACAGAAAACUCAUGAGAUCCAUUAGUAUAAGAAAACAAAUAACCACUUUUGGUACUGUUGUGAACUCGUUAUUCAUUUAUAUUGGUGUAAUAUCUAAUGUAUUCCACCUUCUCCAUGGUUCGUACCCAACGAUACUACCCAUAGAUUCAUCAAAAUAAGCAAACAACACAUAGAAAACAGAAUCUAUCAAAAACAGAAUAGUCUGUAGCAAUCUGGAAACUUCUAAUACUUAUGUAACUACAAAAAUUGUAAAAAUUUAGGAAAACCUGGGAAAUUUGUAUAUAAAUCUGGUGUAAAAAAUUCAGAUCAAAAUAACGUUUCUAUGAAUUAAUAAAAUUAUUUUACUGGGCGUAAAAGUUUCUGUUUUUCAGCAAGAUCAAAUCAACUAUCACCGUAAGUCAUCCCAAAGGUCUUAGUUGGUUCAAACACUAAUUAAAACACCAAAACACAUCUAACCAGAGGCUAGAUGAUAAAUUUAUUAAAAAACAGAAACAAAAACCAAGAACAAAAAUAAAAAUAAAAUUGGGUUGCCUCCUAAUAAGCGCCAUUGUUCAACGCCCUUAGCUAGGCAGAAAACACACAUCUAGGUAUUGUCAUCUUUGGUAUGCAAUCCGUAAGUAGCUCUCAUAAUAGAUUCAUAAGGUAACUUAAUUUUGUUUCUUGUAAAAUCUUCCAUGCCCUUCCUUAACGGAAAUUUAAUCUAAUGUUUCCUUCUUUCAUAUCAAUAAUUGCACCAAUCGUUCUAAGGAAAGGUCUACCAAGAAUAAUAGGGCAUGUAGGAUUGCAAUCUAUAUCAAGAACAACGAAAUCUACGGGCACAUAAUUCCUAUUUGCAACAGUAAGAACAUCAUUAAUUCUUCCCAUAGGUUUCUUUAUAGUGGAAUCCACUAGAUGCAAAUUUAAUUCUUCCCAUAGGCUAUGGAGGUGGGUUGCUCUCAAACGACAAAAGUCGUGCACUAACUCUGAGCAGCCACCAAUUUAUGGUGUAGGGGGGGUGGGCUAUUUAUAGCCAGGAGGCAACCCGACAUGCUUUGUCCGAAAUGACCCUGGGACACUAAGGAACCGACACGUUUCCAACAACCGGAUUUCAAACACACGCGGCAGCUAUUGGGGAACAUAGUAAUUUUAAAAAAAUCCUACGCACACGCAAGAUCAUGGUGAUGCAUAGCAACGAGAGGGGAGAGUGUUGUCCACAUACCCUCGUAGACCGAAAGCGGAAGCGUAAGCACAACGCGGUUGAUGUAGUCGUACGUCUUCACGAUCCGACCGAUCAAGUACCGAACGUACGGCACCUCCGAGUUCAGCACACGUUCAGCUCGAUGACGUACCACGAACUCCGAUCUAACAGAGCUUUUCGGGAGAGUUCCGUCAGCAUGAUGGCGUGAUGACGGUGUUGAUGAUGCUAUCGACGCAGGGCUUUGCCUAAGCACCGCUACGAUAUUACCGAUGUGGAAUAUGGUGGAGGGGGGCACCGCACACGGCUAAGAGAUCAAGAGAUCAAUUGUUGUGCCUAGAGGUGCCCCCUGCCCCCGUAUAUAAAGGACCAAGGGGGAGGGGGCGGCCGGCCAAGGGAGGGCGCGCCAGGGAGGAGUCCUACUCUCACCCGUAGUAGGACUCCCUCCUUUCCUAGUCCAAGUAGGAGAGAGGAAGGUGUAGGGGAACGCAGCAGAAAACAAAAAAUUUCCGACCUACGCACCAACACAGGACCACUAUGGAGACUGCAUACAUGGUUUGAUCUUUUUCGUUACCGACUCGUAGCGCAGCGGGAAGUAGAGUCGAUGACGAACGGCGGUGCAGAUCCCCGCAGCUAGUAUUUACAACCUCCCAACUGCGAGGAUGUAUACCCUCAUCUGCUCCUCAGACAGCCCUCUGAGAGACGGUCGAACAGCCCCCCGGACGGUGUCGCGGACAGCCCUUCGGGAGGACCUUCGAAACUCGAACGGUCACUCGGACAGCCCUUCGGGAGGACCUUUGAAACUCGGACGGUCACACGGACAGCCCUUCGGGAGGCACUCACGAACUAAGACCGAAACUACGAUCUCUCUACAGAGUUGCACACAUACGGUGUCAUCUAUCCGGCAGGGCUUCGCCGUCCAGAACUAGUUCCUGCCGGAACCCAGACAGCCUUUUGGCUCUACGAAACUGUUUCGCUGGGAGGGAGAGAGAAGCCAGAUCAUGCAUGGCACUUGUAUGUGAGAAAGACUGAGUGUGUAGGGCUGCCCCUCCACCUCUAUUUGUAGGAAAUCCCAAGGGGUAGGGUAGUUUAACACAAAAACCCAAAAUGCACAUGAAUGAAGUCCUUCCUCAAGGGCAUAGGAGUGAAACCAAGGAACAAGAGGGGCUCCAAGGUGGAGCCCCAAGUGUGGCCGGCCACACCCCUUGGGGGGCCCCAUGAGGGCCUCCCAAUACAUCCAUGUCAUCCCUAGAUCUUUUGAGUAAAGCCCCAAAAGGUGGCUUUCCAUAAAAUAUCCCAAAAAGCACUUUCACUAUUCACGACGACAUUUUUUAGCGUCCGUUCGAACUGAAAAUAUUUAUGUGGGCUUAGAACAUUUCCAAUACCCACCAUAAUAAUUUUCAACGCGUUCUGGAACAAUUCCAUUUUAGUGAUUUUCAUCUACGAAACGCAUCUGAAGGGGCUCCGGCAGCUCCGGAACAUUUCCGGUUUUUAUCUCAGAAAAUUCCAAAAAGCUUCUAGAAUGAUUCUGGCACCCUCCAAGAAUUAUGAGGCAUGUGUCGAAACCAAUUUGACUUAAUGGUAUAUCCCGAAACAAAUUUUCGGUAUCAUCGAAACUUAUCCGAUGACCUCUCUCUGCGGUACAAUUCCGCUGUCCGAAACCAUUCCGGUGUCCAAAACUUUUUUCGGUGAUUUUCUCUCAGACUCCCUGUCUAGUAUUCAGCAGAUAGAUGACCCUUAAGCGUGUGACCCUAUAGGUUCGGUGAAGUAUAUACAUGACCCGGAACCUCUUCCGAUCAAUGAUCAACAUCGGAGCCGUGGACACCCAUAUUGACCCCUAUACCCACACGAAUGAAUAUUCGAGUGAACCUCCAGUUGCCCUGUGCCAUUCCUGUUGCUUCGCGAUAUGUUACAAAGACCCGAGGUGAGAUUUACUUGCAUCCCCAUGGAUCAACAACUUGUCCACUAUGCUAGUUACCUCGUUACUGGUUUUGUUCUCUUUUCUCGUUUCCGUGUUCCGGCAUCCCUGUGAUCAAAUCACACUGUGUCUGGCCAGACGAUGAUGGAUACCGUAACACUGAGAGGGCCCGAGAAUAUCUCUCCAUCGUCGGAGGAGCAAAUCCCAAUCUUGAGCUAUCAAGUUACUUGACACACUUUUCCAUGAACCCGUAAGCCGCCGUAAUAGCCACCCAUUUACGGAUGACGUUUAACAAACCCCAAAUUUCAUGAAGCAAGUAUGAAGAAACUCGAUACUCUCAUGGUCUAAGGAAUUAUGCAAACAUUAACCAUCUCUGUGUUAUCAACCAUAAACUUGUGACGAAUGAAUCUCAUAGCAUAACAUCAAUACGGGUCGAUUCAACACAAAUGUUCUCUUAACAUUGUGCCCUCAAAGUUGUUGGCAUAGACAUGCCCAUGACCAGGAAAACAGAAUCAUCAUGCAACACUUGAGCUAGUCUUAGAGGCCAGACUAGGAAUACUUGUUACCGUUUAUUAUUCCACACGUGCAUAUGAGUCUUCCUCCGAGCCUCGUGUUAUUGCAGACUCGAGAACCAUAGCAAUUAUAGCAUGGAACAUAAACAUAAUUAUGAACAUGGAGAUAAGUAAUAGCAUUUAUUAUUGCCUCUAGGGCAUAUCUCCUACAGAAGGAAGGGGAGAAGAAGAGGAAGGAAAGGGGGGGCCGGCCCCCUAGUCCAAUUCGGUUUGGGCUAGGGGGGGCCUAGCUGGCUGCCUCUCCUCUUCCUCCUCAUGGGCCCAUGAGGCCCAAUAACCCCCCGAGGGGUUCCGGUAACCUCCCGAUACUCCGGUACACGUCCGAAACUCCCCGAAACACUUCCGGUGUUCGAACAUAGUCAUCCAAUAUAUCGAUAUUUACGUCUCGACCAUUUCGAGACUCCUCGUCAUGUCCGUGAUCAUAUCUAGGACUCCGAACUACCUUCGGUACAUCAAAACACAAAAACUCAUAAUACCGAUCGUCACCAAACUUUAAGCGUGCGGAUCCUACGGGUUUGAGAACUAUGUAGACAUGACCGAUACAUGUCUCUGGUCAAUAACCAAUAGCAGAACCUAGAUGCUCAUAUUGGCUCCUACAUAUUCUACAAAGAUCUUUAUCAGUCAAACUGCAUAACAACAUACGUUGUUCCCUUUGUCAUCGGUAUGUUACUUGCUCGAGAUUCGAUCGUCGGUAUCUCAAUACCUAGUUCAAUCUCGUUACUGGCAAGUCUGUUUACUAGUUAUGUAAUGCAUCAUCCCACAACUAACUCAUUAGCUACAUUGCUUGCAAGGCUUAUAGUGAUGUGCAUUAUCGAGAGGGCCCAGAGAUACGUCUCCGACAAUCGGAGUGACAAAUCCUAAUCUCGAAAUACGCCAACUCAACAUGUAACUUCGGAGACACCUGUAGAGCUCCUUUAUAAUCACCCAGUUACAUUGUGAAGUUUGGUAGCACACAAAGUGUUACUCCGGUAAACGGGAGUUGCAUAAUCUCAUAAUAGGAACAUGUAUAAGUCAUGAAGAAAGCAAUAGCAACAUACUAAAUGAUCAAGUGCUAAGCUAACGGAAUGGGUCAAGUCAAUCACAUCAUUCUCCUAAUGACGUGAUCCCGUUAAUCAAAUGACAACUCAUGUCUAUGGCUAGGAAACACAACCAUCGUUGAUCAACGAGCUAGUCAAGUAGAGCCAUACUAGUGACACUAUGUUCCUAUGUAUUCACACAUGUAUUAUGUUUCCGGUUAAUACAAUUCUAGCAUGAAUAAUAAACAUUUAUCAUGAUAUAAGGAAAUAAAUAAUAACUUUAUUAUUGCCUCUAGGGCAUAUUUCCUUCAGUCUCCCACUUGCACUAGAGUCAAUAAUCUAGAUUACACGGUAAUGAUUCUAACACGCAUGGAGUCUUGGUGCUGAUCAUGUUUUGCUCGUGGAAGAGGAUUAGUCAACGGGUCUGCGACAUUCAGAUCCGUAUGUAUCUUGCAAAUUUCUAUGUCUCCCACCUGGACUUGGUCCCGGAUGGAAUUGAAGCAUCUCUUGAUGUGCUUGGUUCUCUUGUGAAAUCUGGAUUCCUUUGCCAAGGCAAUUGCACUAGUAUUGUCACAAAAGAUUUUCAUUGGACCCGAUGCACUAAGUAUGACACCUAGAUCGGAUAUGAACUCUUUCUUCCAAACUCCUUCAUUUGCUGCUUCCAAAGCAGCUAUGUACUCCGCUUCACAUGUAGAUCCCGCCACGACGCUUUGUUUAGAACUGCACCAACUGAUAGCUCCACCGUUCAAUAUAAACACGUAUCCGGUUUGCGAUUUAGAAUCGUCCGGAUCAGUGUCAAAGCUUGCAUCGUCGUAACCAUUUACGACUAGCUCUUUUUCAUCUCCAUAAAUGAGAAACAUAUCCUUAGUCCUUUUUAGGUAUUUCAGGAUAUUGUUUACCGCUGUCCGGUGAUCCACUCCUGGAUUACUUUGGUACCUCCCUGCUAAACUUAUUGCUAAGCAUACAUCAGGUCUGGUACACAGCAUUGCAUACAUGAUAGAGCCUAUGGCUGAAGCAUAGAGAACAUCUUUCAUUUUCUCUCUAUCUUCUACGGUGGUCAGGCAUUGAGUCUGACUCAACUUCACACCUUAUAAUACAGGCAAGAACCCUUUCUUUGCUUGAUCCAUUUUGAACUUUUUCAAAACUUUAUCAAGGUAUGUGCUUUAUGAAAGUCCAAUUAAGCGUCUUGAUCUAUCUCUAUAGAUCUUGAUGCCCAAUAUAUAAGCAGUUUCACCGAGGUCUUUCAUUGAAAAACUUUUAUUCAAGUAUCCUUUUAUGCUAUCCAGAAAUUCUAUAUCAUUUUCAAUCAGCAAUAUGUCGUCUACAUAUAAUAUCAGAAAUGCAACAGAGCUCCCACUCACUUUGUUGUAAAUACAGGCUUCUCCAAAAGUAUGUAUAAAACCAUAUGCUUUGAUCACACUAUCAAAGCAUUUAUUCCAACUCUGAGAGGCUUGCACCAGUCCAUAAAUGGAUCGCUGGAGCUUGCACACUUUGUUAGCACUUUUUGGAUCGACAAAACCUUCAGGUUGCAUCAUAUACAACUCUUCUUCUAGAAAUCCAUUCAUGAAUGCAGUUUUGACAUCCAUUUGCCAUAUUUCAUAAUCAUAAAAUGCGGCAAUUGCUAACAUGAUUCAGACAGACUUAAGCAUCGCUACGGGUGAGAAAGUCUCAUCGUAGUCAACCCCUUGAACUUGUCGAAAACCUUUCGCAACAAGUCGAGCUUUGUAGACAGUAACAUUACCAUCAGCGUCAGUAUUAUUCUUGAAGAUCCAUUUAUUUUCGAUGGCUUGACGAUCAUCGGGCAAGUCAACCAAAGUCCAUACUUUGUUCUCAUACAUGGAUCCCAUCUCAGAUUUCAUGGCCUCAAGCCAUUUUGCGGAAUCUGGGCUCAUCAUCGCUUCCUCAUAGUUCGUAGGUUCGCCAUGGUCAAGUAGCAUGACCUCUAGAAUAGGAUUACCGUACCACUCUAGUGCGGAUCUUACUCUGGUUGACCUACGAGGUUCGGUAGUAACUUGAUCUCAAGUUCCAUGAUCAAUAUCAUUAGCUUCCUCACUAAUUGGUGCAGUCGUCACAGGAACCGGUUUCUAUGAUGAACUAAUUUCCAAUAAGGGAGCAGGUACAGUUACCUCAUCAAGUUCUACUUUCCUCCCACUCACUUCUUUCAAGAGAAACUCCUUCUCUAGAAAAGAUCCAAAUUUAGCAACAAAAGUCUUGCCUUCAGAUCUGUGAUAGAAGGUGUACCCAAUAGUCUCCUUUGGGUAUCCUAUGAAGACACAUUUCUCUGAUUUGGGUUCGAGCUUAUCAGGUUGAAGUUUUUUCACAUAAGCAUUGCAGCCCCAAACUUUAAGAAAUGACAACUUUGGUUUCUUGCCAAACCACAGUUCAUAAGGCAUCAUCUCAACGGAUUUUGAUGGUGCCCUAUUUAACGUGAAUGCAGCCGUCUCUAAAGCAUAACCCCAAAACGAUAGCGGUAAAUCAGUAAGAGACAUCAUAGAUCGCACCAUAUCUAGUAAAGUACGAUUACGACGUUCGGACACACCAUUACGUUGUGGUGUUCCGGGUGGCGUGAGUUGCGAAACUAUUCCGCAUUGUUUCAAAUGUAAACCAAACUCGUAACUCAAAUAUCCUCCUCUACGAUUAGAUUGUAGAAACUUUAUUUUCUUAUUACGAUGAUUUUCCACUUCACUCUGAAAUUCUUUGAACUUUUCAAAUGUUUCAGACUUGUGUUUCAUUAAGUAGAUAUACCCAUAUCUGCUCAAAUCAUCAGUGAAGGUGAGAAAAUAACGAUACCCGCCGCGAGCUUCAAUAUUCAUUGGACCACAUACAUCAGUAUGUAUGAUUUCCAAUAAAUCUGUUGCUCGCUCCAUAGUUUCGGAGAACGGCGUUUUAGUCAUCUUGCCCAUGAGGCAUGGUUCGCAAGUACCAAGUGAUUCAUAAUCAAGUGAUUCCAAAAGUCCAUCAGUAUGGAGUUUCUUCGUGUGCUUUACACCAAUAUGACCCAAACGGGAGUGCCACAAAUAAGUUGCACUAUCAUUAUCAACUCUGCAUCUUUUGGCUUCAAGAUUAUGAAUAUGUGUAUCACUACUAUCGAGAUUCAACAAAAAUAGACCACUCUUCAAGGGUGCAUGACCAUAAAAGAUAUUACUCAUAUAAAUAGAACAACCAUUAUUCUCUGAUUUAAAUGAAUAACCGUCUCACAUCAAACAAGAUCCAGUUAUAAUGUUCAUGCUUAACGCUGGCACCAAAUAACAAUUAUUUAGGUCUAAAACUAAUCCCGAAGGUAGAUGUAGAGGUAGCGUGCCGACUGCAAUUAGAUCGACUUUGGAACCAUUUCCCACGUGCAUCGUCACCUCGUCACCUCGUCGUUAGCCAAUCUUCGCUUAAUUUGUAGUCCCUGUUUCGAGUUGCAAAUAUUAGCAACAGAACCGGUAUCAAAUACUCAGGUGCUACUGCGAGCAUUAGUAAGGUACACAUCAAUAACAUGUAUAUCACAUAUACCUUUGUUCACCUUGCCAUCCUUCUUAUCCGCCAAAUACUUGGGGCAGUUCCGCUUCCAGUGACCAGUCUGCUUGCAGUAGAAGCACUCAGUCUCAGGCUUAGGUCCAGACUUGGGUUUCUUCUCUUGAGCAGCAACUUGUUUGCCGUUCUUCUUGAAGUUCCCCUUCUUCUUCCCUUUACUCUUUUUCUUGAAACUCGUGGUGUUGUUGACCAUCAACACUUGAUGCUCCUUUUUGAUUUCUACCUCCGCAGCUUUUAGCAUUGCGAAGAGCUCGGGAAUAGUCUUUUUCAUCCCUUGCAUAUUAUAGUUCAUCACGAAGCUCUUGUAGCUUGGUGGCAGUGAUUGAAGAAUUCUGUCAAUGACACUAUCAUCAGGAAGAUUAACUCCCAGUUGAAUCAAGUGAUUAUUAUACCCAAACAUUUUGAGUAUAUGUUCACUAACAGAACUAUUCUCUUCCAUCUUGUAGCUAUAGAACUUAUUGGAGACUUCAUAUCUCUCAAUCCGGGCAUUUGCUUGAAAUAUUACCUUCAACUCCUGGAACAUCUCAUAUGCUCCAUGACGUUCAAAACGUCGUUGAAGUCCCGGUUCUAAGCUGUAAAGCAUGGCACACUGAACUAUCGAGUAGUCAUCAGCUUUGCUCUGCUAGACGUUCUUAACGUCGUCAGUUGCAUCUGCAGCAGGCCUGACACCAGGGGUGCUUCCAGGACGUAAUUCUUCUGUGCAGCAAUGAGGAUAAUCCUCAAGUUAUGGACCCAGUCCAUGUAAUUGCUACCAUCAUUCUCAACUUAGCUUUCUCAAGGAAUGCAUUAAAAUUCAACGGAACAACAGCACGAGCCAUCUAUCUACAACAAACAUAGACAAGCAAAAUACUAUCAGGUACUAAGUUCAUGAUAAAUUAAAGUUUAAUUAAUCAUAUUACUUAAGAACUCCCACUUAGAUAGACAUCCCUCUAAUCAUCUAAGUGAUCAUGUGAUCCAAAUCAACUAAACCAUGUCCGAUCAUCACGUGAGAUGGAGUAGUUUUCAAUUGUGAACAUCACUAUGUUGAUCAUAUCUACUAUAUGAUUCAUGCUCGACCUUUCGGUCUCGGUGUUCCGAGGCCAUAUCUGUAUAUGCUAGGCUCGUCAAGUUUAACCUGAGUAUUCUGCUGUGCAACUGUUUUGCACCCGUUGUAUUUAAACGUAGAGCCUAUCACACCCGAUCAUCACGUGGUGUCUCAGCACGAAGAACUUUUGCAAUGGUGCAUACUCAGGGAGAACACGUAUACCUUGAAAUUUAGUGAGAGAUCAUCUUAUAAUGCUACCGUCAAUCAAAGCAAAAUAAGAUGCAUAAAGGAUAAAUAUCACAUGCAAUCAAUAUAAGUGAUAUGAUAUGGCCAUUCAUCAUCUUGUGCUUGUGAUCUCCAUCUCCGAAGCACCGUCAUGAUCACCAUCGUCACCUGCGCGACACCUUGGUCUCCAUCGUAGCAUCGUUGUCAUUUCGCCACCUAUUGCUUCUAUGACUAUCGCUACCGCUUAGUGAUAAAGUAAAGCAAUUACAGGGCGAUUACAUUGCAUACAAUAAAGCGACAACUAUAUGGCUCCUGCCAGUUGCCAAUAACUUGGUUACAAAACAUGAUCAUCUCAUACAAUAAAAUAUAGCAUCACGUCUUGACCAUAUCACAUCACAACAUGCCCUGCAAAAACAAGUUAGACGUCCUCUACUUUGUUGUUGCAAGUCUUACGUGGCUGCUACGGGCUGAGCAAGAACCGUUCUUACCUACGCAUCAAAACCACAACGAUAGUUCGUCAAGUUAGUGCUGUUUUAACCUUCUCAAGGACCGGGCGUAGCCAUACUCGGUUCAACUAAAGUUGGAGAAACUGACACCCGCCAACCACCUAUGUGCAAAGCACGUCAGUAGAACCAGUCUCGCGUAAGCGUACGCGUCAUGUCGGUCCAGGCCACUUCAUCCGACAAUACCGCCGAACCAAAGUAUGACUUGCUGGUAAGCAGUAUGACUUGUAUCGCCCACAACUCACUUGUGUUCUACUCGUGCAUAUAACAUCUACGCAUAAAACCUGGCUCGGAUGCCACUGUUGGGGAACGUAGUAAUUUCAAAAAAAACUUCCUACGCACACGCAAGAUCAUGGUGAUGCAUAGCAACGAGAGGGGAGAGUGUUGUCCACGUACCCUCGUAGACCGAAAGCGGAAGCGUAAGCACAACGCGGUUGAUGUAGUCGUAUGUCUUCACGAUCCGAUUGAUCAAGUACCGAACGUAUGGCACCUCCGAGUACAACACACGUUCAGCUCGAUGACGUCCCACGAACUCCGAUCCAGCAGAGCUUUGCGGGAGAGUUCUGUCAGCACGACGGCGUGAUGACGGUGUUGAUGAUGCUACCGACGCAGGGCUUCGCCUAAGCACCGCUACGAUAUUACCGAGGUGGAAUAUGGUGGAGGGGGCACCGCACACGGCUAAGAGAGAGAUCAAUUGUUGUGCCUAGAGGUGCCCCCCUGCCCCUGUAUAUAAAGGACCAAGGGGGAGGGGGCGGCCGGCCAAGGGAGGGCGCGCCAGGGAGCUCCUACUCCCACCAGGAGUAGGACUCCCUCCUUUCCUAGUCCAAGUAGGAGAGGGGAAGGAAGGGGAGGAGAAGAGGAAGGAAAGGGGGGCCGACCCCCUAGUCCAAUUCGGUUUGGGCUAGGGGGGCCGCGCGCCCCUAGCUGGCCGCCUCUCCUCUUCCUCCUCAUGGGCCCAUGAAGCGCAAUAACCCCCCGAGGGGUUCCGGUAACCUCCCGGUACUCCAGUAUACGUCCGAAACUCCCUGAAACACUUCCGGUGUCCGAACAUAGUCAUCCAAUAUAUCGAUCUUUACGUCUCGACCAUUUCGAGACUCCUCGUCAUGUCCGUGAUCAUAUCCGGGACUCCGAACUACCCUCGGUACAUCAAAACACAAAAACUCAUAAUACCAAUCGUCACCAAACUUUAAGCGUGCGGACCCUACGGGUUCGAGAACUAUGUAGACAUGACCGAGACACGUCUCUGGUCAAUAACCAAUAGCGGAACCUGGAUGCUCAUAUUGGCUCCUACAUAUUCUACGAAGAUCUUUAUCGGUCAAACCACAUAACAACAUAUGUUGUUCCCUUUGUCAUCAGUAUGUUACUUGCCCGAGAUUCGAUCGUCGGUAUAUCAAUACCUAGUUCAAUCUCAUUACCGACAAGUCUCUUUACUCAUUAUGUAAUGCGUCAUCCCGCAACUAACUCAUUAACUACAUUGCUUGCAAGGCUUGUAGUGAUGUGCAUUAUCGAGAGGGCCCAGAGAUACCUCUCUGACAAUCGGAGUGACAAAUCCUAAUCUCGAAAUACGCCAACUCAACAUGUACCUUCGGAGACACCUGUAGAGCUCCUUUAUAAUCACCCAGUUACGUUGUGACAUUUGGUAGCACACAAAGUGUUCCUCCGGUAAACAGGAGUUGCAUAAUCUCAUAGUCAUAGGAACAUGUAUAAGUCAUGAAGAAAGCAAUAGCAACAUACUAAAUGAUCAAGUGCUAAGCUAACGGAAUGGGUCAAGUCAAUCACAUCAUUCUCCUAAUGAUGUGAUCCUGUUAAUCAAAUGACAACUCAUGUCUAUGGCUAGGAAACACAACCAUCUUUGAUCAAUGAGCUAGUCAAGUAGAGCCAUACUAGUGACACUAUGUUUGUCUAUGUAUUCACACAUGUAUUAUGUUUCCGGUUAAUACAAUUCUAGCAUGAAUAAUAAACAUUUAUCAUGAUAUAAGGAAAUAAAUAAUAACUUUAUUAUUGCGUCUAGGGCAUAUUUCCUUCACAGCUUCACUUGGGCUACAAGCAAAGCUGACUCAUCCAACUCUGCAUUAGAUUUCCUCUCAUUGUUUUCACUCGAAGACAUAGGAUUUUUGGUAAGCAUCACGUUAGUUUUCUAACUUUGUUCACUUGGACCCUGCUACUUCUUGAGCUUGCGUUGGUUUUUCCCUUGAAGAGGAAAGGGUGAUGCAGCAAAGUAGACUAAGUAUUUCCCUCAGUUUUGAGAACCAAGGUAUCAAUCCAGUAGGAGACAACGCACAAAUCACCGAAUACCUGCACAAACAAUCAAAGAAACUUGCACCCAACGUGAUAAAGGGGUUGUAAAUCCCUUCACGGUUACUUGCAAAAUUGAGAUAUGAUAGAGAUAGAUAAACGAUAAAGUAAAUAUUUUUGGUAUUUUUGUUUAUAGAUUGGAAAGUAAAAGCUUGCAAGAAUAGUAGAUCGGAAGCUUGUAUGAUGGAAAAGAGACUUUAUAUGAUGGAAAAGAGACCCAGGGGCCAUAGGUUUCACUAGAGGCUUCUCUCAAGAUAGAAAAUAAUACGGUGGGUGAACAAAUUACUAUCGAGCAAUUGAUAGAAAAGCGCAAAGUUAUGAUGAUAUCUAAGGCAAUGAUCAUGAACAUAAGCAUCACGUCCGUGUCAAGUAGACCGAAACGAUUCUCCAUCUACUACUAUUAUUCCACACAUUGACACUACAAAAAAAUAAACUUCCGUGAUGAUACGUGUUUGUCACAGUAGGUUGCGUUUUUUGUCAUGCAUGUACAUCCAUGACAAAUUUAUGACAGAAUCAAGAUAGUCAUACAUGUGCUGUCGUAGAAGUGUUCCAUGACAUUACCAAAAUUAUCAUCAUGGAAGUGUCCACUUCCAUGACGAUAAAUCGCGCGCCGCAGAAGUGCUUUCGUCAAGGGUGACCGACACGCGGCAUCCACCGUAACGGAACGCCGUUAAGCUAUCGGGUCGGGUUUUGGUUCCGAUAACCCGUUAACAGCCCCAACCAAUGGGGAUUUUCCACGUGUAAAAUCAUUAUUGGCUAGAGGAAACAUGUGUCGGCUCAUCGUUGGGACAGAUGUCAUCCACUCAUUGGACAGAAGGCGCCUAUGAUACAUCAACACGUGGCACGGCCAAUCAAGUUUAAAUGGGCCGGCCCAACUAAAGGCCCACAAGAUUUUGCAGCCCAUAAUGGGCCGACCCAGUUAAAGGCCCACGAGAUUUUGUGGACUAUAAUGGGCUGGCCCAGCUAAAGGCCCACAAGAUUUUGUGGGCCAUAAUAGGCCGGCCCAGGUAAAGGCCCACAAGAUUUUUGUGUGCCAUAAUGGGCCGGCCCAGGUAAAGGCCCACAAAAUUCUUGCGGAUCAUAAUGGGCCGGCCCAGCUAAAGGCCCGCGAGAUUUCGCCGACAUUAAUGGGCCGGCCCAGCUGUAGGCCCACAAGAUUUUGAGGACCCUAGUAGGCCGGCCCAUUAACUGGCUGCCAUGUUUUGGGCCAAAUGCCGGCCCAUAAUUGAUCCGGUCCAUUAAUGGCCUGCCACAUUCCGGGCCUAAUAAUGGCCCAUAUAAGAUCCGGCCCAUUAAAAGCCUCCCACUUUCUGGGCCAAAUUACGGCCCAGAUCAGGUCCGGCCCUUUAAGAGGCUUUGGGCUCAAUUAUGGCCCAUAUCAGAUUCGGCCCGUUGACUGGACGCUAUGGUUUUGGGCCCACUUGCUAAAGGCCUAUUUAGUAAUUCGGCCUGAUAUUAGUUUCAGCCUUUUAAGGGCCCAUUUAACAUUUCGGCCCUAUAUUAAUUUCGGCCUGUUAAAAGCCCGUCAUAUAGUUGGGCCUAACUACGGCCCGGUUUGCAUCCGGCCUGCUCGCAGCCGAUAUCUGAUUGGGCCAAACAAGGACCGAGACAACUUUGGCUUGUUAAAAGCCCGUGAAAUUGAUUCGCACAAUCAUGGGCCGGGGUCCAUUUCGGGCCGCCGUCGGCCUGUGAGCUAUUCGGCACGUUUCAGGCCCAGCCUACUUCUCAGCCUCCUAAAAGCCCAUUGAGUUUUCUUGCGAAAAGAGGGUCGGGGGUUACUCGGCCUAUUAAAGGCCCGAAUCUACUAGUGGGCCAGUUUAACGGGGCCCAUGAUGCGGAUCAUACAUCGUGAUUGCAUGACGGCCCGAUUAUGUACCGUAAUUUUACGGUUUGGUCGGUUUACUGCGAAGACAAGAUAUAUAUAGAGUAAAAUAACUGCAACAUCGUGAAUAAGAAAAAACCUAGACUAUACAAUAAAGAAAUUACGACAUAUUACAACCACUGGGCAUCAAAGUUCGCCACUAUGAUAAUAAAGCACCAGCAGACAGCAGAUUACAUACACUGGGCAUCAAAGAUCGCCACCAGUGCAAAUAAACACACCGACAAAAUAAUAUACAAAACCGACAGCACUUCAAUAGAGUUCAAGAAAGGUUAGCCCUGCUGGGGAGCUGCAGCGCAAGCAGCUGAGCAAGAUGAUGAGACUGCGCUUGUUCAACACUUAUAUCUUCCUCACUCUGAAAGAUAAACAAGCAGACAGAUGACAUGUUUUGCACAUAAAAGUAUCAGUGCUGACAAUUCAUCACAUUUCUUACUGACGAAUAAAGUGACACAGUUUAAAAUUGCAUUAACACAAUAUGGUAUUGUUCAGGUCAAGACAUGACAGGAAAUGACAUUGUGAAGGAGUUGGCAGCUUCACGACACCACUGGAUUACAGAUCAAGAACUCAUAAGUAUCAAUGGUUAGUGUGUUGUCAAUUUAUCCCAUUUCAGAUUGGCAAAUAAAGAGACGGUUUAAAUAAUAGUAGAAUGAUAUGACAUUGUUCAUAGUUAAGACAUUGCAGAAUAUGACAUUGUGAUGUAGUGGGUAGGUUCACCACACCACUGGAUUACGGAUGAAGAACAGAAGCAUACAUGCAGUGCAAAAGAAGAUCACUUGCUCUGUAUAGUUUAAUUUACAUGGUAUGAAGAAGGAACUUGGUUGUACAACUGAAAACUUAAAUUGAGAAGGACAAACUUUUGUUUAUGAACUACAUAAUAAACUUUAAACAUGCAAUUUGAUGCAAACACCAAAAAUAAACAGUUGUUGUAGUCAUGCCUAACCAAAUAUACACAACAAAGUUUGAAGGCUUGAGAAGGACAAACUUACAUUACUGGUGAAGACAGGCUCUAUAAAGCCCUUGUCCAUGCUAAUGGGGGGGGGGGCAAUUCAAGAAGUUUAGCACAAAAUCUUCUUCAUAAGCAUUGCCUUUAUUCUACAUUUUGUUAAGAGUAAAUAUAGAUGUGAUAAUAUACGAAAAAAUGGAGAAUAUUUAAGAUAAGAUGAAGAGUGAUGCUACAUAACCAAGUAGCUAUAAAUGUAUGUCCAGCGAUACAGGCAAAAGGCACAGCCAAGAGCAAUGCACAGCUAAACUUCUUCAGUAUCAACCUUAUGGUAAGAGUAAAUAUAGAUCUGAUGUGUAGAAAAUGGAGGGGAAAGGAAAAUAAGCUGCAGAGUGAUGGUACAUGAACAACUACCUGUCAAUAUAAGUACACUAAUAAAGGACAGCAUGUACUUACAAGAACAAUGCAGAGCUAAAAAAAUUCAUUGGCAUUGGAUAUAUUCUACACUAAUGUAACCAUUCAUACAGAUCAAAUAAUUUGGAGCGAACAAUUGAUAAGCAAGCUAUCAUGCAUACUGCUGUCACAUAAUGAACCAGGUAUGUAUGCAAGUACAGUGAUACAGGACAACAGGUAUGAACAAGAGCAAAGCAGCAGGCAGCAUAUUUGCGAUAUCCCGUCGUUCUUUUCAAACCGGAAUUCUUCUUCGAGCUAAUUUCCUGCAAAAAAGAUCCGUAAGGCACAUGCGGAAAAGUAGAAGUUCAAAUUGUCAUGUGAUUUCAUAGACAAUACCUCAUCCUGGGAACGAGACCAGUGCAUAGCAAGGUUUUUCCAUUCAAUGUCUUCUAAAUUUAGCACAGGAGACUUCACCAGAAAUUCGUUUAUAGACUUGCCAUCAAAGUGUGAUUUCCUCAGGUAACACCGAUACUGCUGCAAUGCUUCCUUGAAAAGCACAAGCAAGCUUUGCUCGUCAUGACUAUCCAGAUUGACCCUCACCUAGUUACAACAAUGUAAUGUAAAUCAUUGAUGUGUUCGAUCAGCAGAAAACAGGAAAAUAAUAACCAUGAAUAAUAGCACUUACACGUAAGUUGGACAGGAAGAUGUGAAAAUGGUGUUUGUCUUCACUAUAAUCUUCCCAUGAUGGGAAUAUAUGCACGUAGUCCCUAACAACAUUGAAAGCAUUGUCUUUUAAACUGGGAAUAAAUGGAAUGGGGUUCCAAUCUGCAAGAAUUGGCCGUCUCUGCAGUUGGGAUAGGUCUUUGGCCGGUGGACUUGCUGCACCUUUUGCUGGAGUGGGAUUUUUCUGUGGUACGGCUGGUGCUAUGGCAAAUGAAAUCGGUAUACCUUUUGCUGGAGUGCAGGUCCUGUGUGGUGGGGCUAGUGGUGUGGCCAGUGAAGUAUGGGUACAGUCUGCUGGAGUCGGUCCUAUGUUUUGUGUCACUGGUUGUACAGCCAAUAUAAGUGGGGCGCUGUCUGAUUUCUCUGGCACCACCACGUUUUUCAAGGACUUUGCUGGUGCUCCUUCAGGUUCGGCAAUCACCCUCUUCCUUUUUGAUGUCUGAUGCAUAAGAAUAGCAUUUGAGUGGAAAAACAUGGUAUGAUGACAGAUGGAAUAUGUAUUGAUAAUGGAUGGGCAUGGCAUCUCGAGUUAUAUGAUGAGUAAACUAAGCAGAUGGUGGUGCAACAAAGUAGAAGAAAUGCAAGACAACAUAUGCAAGAUACGCGCAAUCAAUAAACCUUGCCAAAUUAGAACAGGCACCUUGAUGGGUGAACAGGACAGGCCAUCUGCCUUUGACUCCUCGAGGUUAGAAUAGUCAUUAGGAUGAUAUUCUGAACAAGAAUCAACAGGUGGGGAGCGUACGAGUUUCAUUGCUUCCAGAAUGGCACUCAAUGCCUUGGUGCCAAUUUUGUAAGUCAUUGCAGUGUUCCACAAUAUUCUUCUGAUGCGCGGAUUCUGAUAUUCAUUGUAAUUGCGUAUAAUAUCUGAGAACCAUGAAAACAUAAAUAGUUGUGAGAUUAUCUUUGUAACGCAGAUGAUAUUCUAAUAUAGGGGCGCCCCUAUAACACUUAUGUGCUAUCACUGGAUUCUGAUGAGAGAGCUCAUGUGUGCUGUAAUAUCGUGCGUGCAUUUACUGGCACAAGUACACAAAAAAUAGGCUCCAGAAGUAAGGAUAGCUGGCAGAUGAUAGGUUCAUAAUAUACUGUAUAGAGAGUUUAUUGCCAAACCAUGAUAACAAGAGCACACAACAACUAGGCAGAUCAUAGUGUACAUAACAGGGGUACACCAUAACAACAAUAUAUAAAUCAGGAAAGUGGAACUGGCUUGAAAAUACGGUGUUGUAUUGCCGCUAGUAAUUGAAAGCCUAUCGAUCAUGUAUACGCCAGCACUAUCGAACAUGGUAAAAAAAGAGCAAGCAGAUUUUGGAUAAUAAAAUGUUGGUUGCGAAGUGCCCACACAUGAUGAACCAGAGCACAUUAAGAAUGCAACUCCCAGCUGUCUCUCGACCAUUUCAGGCGGUUGGAUGAAGAUCCUACAUCUCCUAACCCUUCUUCUUCCUCGUCUCUAAUUCUUCCCAUACAGAACAACGCACGGGCCGCCGACCGGACCACCGGCCCCCACCGCCUGUGUUCCUCCGCCACCCCCACCCCCACCCGCGUCAAGUUUUCUACGUUCGGCGAGGCCCCACAACCACCCGAGCCCCUUGGAUCGCACCGGCGAACUCCGACGAGCUCUGAAAAAUUGACUGGCCCAAUUUUGAAAUUUAGUCUACUGUGAUUUAACUAGUGUGGAAUAUAAAAGGGGAAAACCAUAAGCAUUGGGAGUAUAGUGUUGAGCGUGCCAUGGCGGAUCUGAAGGUGCAAACCGGCCAAAGGCAACUUCGCAACCAAGACAAGAAAUCAGAGUAAAGCAGUGGCGAUCUAUUUUCUUACUGCAAUAAAUAAGUUGAGCAGAUACGAAAGAGUACCGCCUCUGGUGCGGCGUCGUGUACGCAUCUGCUAAGAAUGUGAUGGUGCUGCGGUAGCGAUGGCUGUCGACAGCGUGGAAGAAGAUCUAGAAGGAUAGACGAUGGCGGCGGGGCGCGGUGGACGAGACGGUCGUAGGAGCGGCGCCGGCAAGGUGGACGACGGCGGGGAUGAAGCAAGAGGACGGGAUGCAAGGAUCCCGGUCCGAAGGCAUGGAUGAGAGAGGUUGAUCUCUUGUAAUGGACGGCGGCGUCGGGGUAUCAACUCCGGCAUGGUGGAGGAGGACGGCGGUGGAUGGGGUGGCGGACGGCGGCGGACGGAGGAGGGUGGGGUGGAGAGGGUGUUUUGGCGCCCACGGAGUACGAAUGGGGAAAAGAGAGGUAGAGAGGAAGGGGAACCAUGUAUUCAAGGCGCUCUUGUCUCAAAUGCGAGGAAAUUUACAAACUUAGCCCCCGUUUCAAAUUUCUACUACAUCACAACAACAUUAGUCGGUUGGGGAUAGGACGGUAAUCUCGCAUACACCGAAUAUUUGCCGACGAGAGUUUGUUUUUGGCACCCACCGUGUAUGAAUAUGAAUCGGGGAGGGUGUCAAUUUCGGCCGAGGGCACACUGUGUUUUGGCGCCCACCGUGUAUGAAUCCGGGUGAGAGGCGGUUACGUCACGUUUGGGUGAAAUUACAAACCUACCCCUAUUGAAACCUAUAGAAAUCCAGCAGAUAGGCUUUGCGUGGGAGGGAUAGGCAGUAGUGAUUUCCAUCUCGCAGAUUUUGGUUUCGGGCGGUUACUGCGACUUUCCCCGCUUUGUUCAAAUUUUGCACAAUGCAUGUUUACCGUGCCAACUCAAUUCGAAUCCCGUUUGUAUUCUACUAUUUUUUCGGGCGGGAUCCAUUUUCAAUUGGAAUUACAUUCUAUAUACAUCAUUUUUUAUAUAUACUUUUGAAAGCACAACACCAUUUAUACAUAAAUAUGGUUUACAAAUGGCAUGAUCUCAGAUUCAUAAGGUUGUAUCCAUCAAUUUGGAUUUUCAAAUAUUUGAAACCACUUUAUGUUGAAAUCCAAUGUAUGCAUUCCUCGCUAACUGUCUCCAAUUAAUGUGUGUUUCAUGCGGGUUUUUUAACUUCUCAAACAUGUAUAAUGUGUUUCACACACGCAACAUAUAGUGUAAUCCCGUUUAGACAUUAAUUUCAUAUAAACCAUGCAUUGUUUGUAAUUGAAGAAUCUAUGGAUCACCAAUAUUGAUAAACUAUAUAACAUUACACGUGUGCCCAAAUUCAAAUGAAUAUGCAUGUUUGAUACACCAAUUUGCGUUAUGAUAUUAUCGAUGUCGUGAUCUCCAGUUUAAAUAUUUGAAUCCCCUUUAAUCCAGAUAUUUGUCUCAUAUAGCUAUCACUCAUGUUUAUAUAGGCUAUCUCUUUGGACCUAUACGUGUUCAUUGUCUCUCAGGCAUCUCUCGUGCUACCUGUAUGUCGACAAUGAUCUUUUAUCUUCGUAACACACUGACGACACUCUCUCCCUCGACCUUCAUCACUCUAUCUCUCUCUAAGUAUAUCUCGCUCCCUUCUAUGUGUCUCUAGCUAUGAUUCUCCACGUGGAAUCUCUUUCUCUCACACAAACACAAAACUUUGUCUCCCAGGGUCUCAUUUCUCUCAACUAUUCCCAUGUGUGCCACUCGCACACCCUUCAUACAGAGAUGUCUUUCGCUCCUUAGAUAUGAGAACCUACGACUCUUCCUCUUCAAUAUCUCUUUCUCACACACAAACACA
rnacentral:lncRNA from 1 species